rnacentral:lncRNA from 1 species
GCCAUGUUUCUUCGAUGUAUUCGAGGAUUACAAGGGACUCGGCUACUGCUUUGUCACCAUGAAGAAGCACCGGAAUCUUCUUGUGAACUGGAUUGUGGUGUAACAGCAGCUGGCUCUUGUUACGAAGGUCUUCCUCUAUAUACUCAUAGUUUAUGCCCUUGAGUUUUAGGGUCCAUAUCACUCUGUAACCAAAAGGGCUUGCCCAAAACCCUAAUAGCUUCACUCCUGCCAUUGGUUUCUAGUAUGCCAGCUCAAUUUGCAGGGCUAUUAGUUUCAAAUCUUUGAACUUGGAGGAAGAUGGGAUCCUGCUCUUCAACCAAGGAUUUUCAGCCUGCGUACUUAAUUAGAUCUGUAACAAUAAAUAUGUAUAAAGGGAUAUUUUCAAAUUAAGAAAUCUUCACAAUGCCCAUAGCUAAGGCUAUAUUAGUUGUCAUUAUUUUCUAUUAAUAUGAAAAAAGAAAAAAGUUGUAUUGACUAGUGACCCUUAAAGGUCAAUGAGUUAGGCAGAUGUCUAUUUCUGCCACUAAUAUAACAUUGCUGGUUAUAAAUGUCCAAUUAGAAGAAGCUCUACCAUUUUCAUGGAAACAACAAAAAGGAAGAUUGAAAAAUCAAAAAAGUAAAGUCAAGUGUUUAUAAAGCAUCAUUUAUUUCACUAGGACAAGAUGUCAAUUGCCUGAGCCGGUCAAUAGAAGAUAAGAUCUAGGGCGAAGAUCCCAAAUAAGAAAGAGAAAAUUUAAGUAACAAACAGACCAUGUCAAUUAUUUACGAAUUCUAAAUUUUAUUCCUGAUUAUGUGGUGCACGUUUAGCAAUCAAAUAACCCCCUAAUAACUAUCAAUUCAUAUUCUAUUAACUACCAAUAUAUAUAUAUAUAUAUAUAUAUAUAUAAUCAAACGGCUGGUAUAAAAUCCAAUACCUCAAUCUUAGUUCAACUAAAUAUAACUUCAUGAUUUGCUUGUACGAGUAGCAUAUUCUUAUAAACUUUAAUGUAUAUCCCUUUAUUAUCUCCUAAAGGUUAGGAUUAGAUAAUUCUUUUAAUCUCCUCUUAUUUAUUUUCCUCUAUAUAUAUGUAACAACCCUCCAAAUGAAUAAGAUGAGCCAUUAUUCCAUACUUUAAUUUAUCAUAUGGAAUUAGAGCUCUUUAAUUCUACUCUUAUUAAGUUUCUCAAUCUGCCAUGUCCAGACUUCCUAUCACUAACACUUCAAACUCAUCUAAUUUAGAUCUGUUAGCUUUUAUACCCAAUGUUCAACUUCUAUUAUUAGCUUCUCAACUAGUUUCAUUUCCAUCUAUCAAUGUCAAUGCCCAACUUCCUUUAAAAUGAACUGUUCAUAAUUAUUCUUCAUGGCAUGCCUAGUUUUAUGCCCUUCUCUUUUGCUAUAACCUUUUAGGAUAUGAAGAUGACUCUAUAUUGUGUCUUCCUAUUUUUGAGGCUUCUGCUCAUCCUUUUAAGCUAUGCCAAGAUCAACUCAUUUUUCAUGCCAUUUUUGCCUCACUUUCAAAAUCUAUCAUGCCACUCAUCGCCUCAACCAAAACUUCAUAGAGCAUGGUUAAAAUUGACCAAACUUUAUGCUGGUUAAUCUUAAAGUCAUAUCCCUCAUCCCAAAGGAAAAAUUUCCUCAACCACCCCUGAGACAAAUUUGUCUUGGAGUUUUUACAAAUAUUCAAAAGCCUUUGCGAUCAACUUACCUUUAGUCAUGUAACUUUGGAUGAAGAAGAUUUUGUUGUACACGCUCCAAAUGGAAUUGGGAAAGAAUAAAAGGAAGUUGUUGUUGCUAUUCGAUCUAUAGGAAUUCCCAUUUCAUUAGAAGAACUUUAUCAUCAACUCAUAGAUCAUGAAGAGUUUAUGCAACAAGACUCUCUUAGCUCUAAAUUUGUUCCUAUGUCUACAAACCUGAUUUGCUAUCAUAAACAAUCUCAUACUAGAAACUUCCAUUCUCCUUUGUUUUGCCUUAUUGAAAAACCCAAUUCUUAUCCAUCUUAUCUCACCCAAGGAGGAAAAUGUCGAGAUAUAUCGGCGAUAUAUCGCCGAUAUAUCGUGUAUCGGGAGGGGUCGACACGAUAUUUUGUGAAGAAAAAUCGGAGGGGAGAUAUUUCCGUAAAUAUCGCCAAAAUAUCGGCGAUAUAUCGGUUCUGGGAGAUAUAUCGGAGAUAUUUUGAAAAAAUCGCCUCUGGUGACAAAAUAUCGAUGAUAUAUCGGCGAUAUAUCGGAGAUAUAUCGGAGAUAUAUCGCUGAUUUUUUUAUGAUAUUUUCACUCCUUCAUGCAACAUGAUCUGACGGCCCAAAUCACAUCCGUGUUGAUCCGACGGCCUAGAUGUGAUUCCAAUGGUAAUAUGACAAUCCAACGGCUAGAUUACUCCCAGAUUUUGAUCCAACGGCCAAAAUUGAUUUUCAAUGGUAAAUUAAUGUUCCAACAGCUAUUUUGGCCCAAAUUUCUUCUAUAAAUAGCCCAAAUUUCAUCUAUUUCAUCCAUUUUUUCUUUCAUUCUUCAUUUGCUCUCUCAUUACUCCAAUUUUUAUUAAGGUUGCUCAAUUAUUUAAUCAUUUUAAGGUAUAUUUAAUUUAAAUUGUAAUUAAUUUUGUUUGCAAUUGUAAUUAACUCAUGUAUUUUCAAUUAAUUAGUAUGUUUGCAAUAUGGAUGAUUUAAUGCUAUUUUUACAUUCAAUUGUAAUUAAUUUUUAUAUUUUUAUUGAAUUAACUUAGGUUAAUUUGAUUAUUUAAUUAUAAAUUGAUAUGUUUAUUUUAGAUUAUUAUUUGUGAUUUAUUUUCACAUUUAGAAUUAAAUUAAACUAGUUAACUUAGCUAAAUUAUUUAAUUAAUUUAAUUAACAUGAACUAGUAUAUUUUGAAUAUGAAAUAUGUUUAUUUAAUGAAUUUAAUGUGUACAAAUUAUUGAUAUUUAAUGAAAUAAAGUAUUUUAUGUGACUUUAUAAUGAGAACAAUUACAAAAUUAACAUUUUUUAUAGAUCAACAUGAUAUAAUUAUAUCUAAUAUCGCAAAUUAUAUCAUAUAUAUAUAUAUAUAUCAAAUUUUUCAAUAAAACAACUUUAAAAUGUCCAUUAUACUUCUAAUUAUAUUAUUAUGAGGUUUUCCUUGCAUUUCUAUGAGUUUUUAAUAAUUUUAGGUCUACCAAUAUUUUUUUUCAAUAUCCGCCGAUAUAUCUUCGAUAUAUCCGAAUAUAUCUCCGAUAUAUCCGAUAUAUCCGUAAAAUCGAAGUACCGAUAUAUCCAUGAUUACCGAUAUUUUCAUCCUUGAUCUCACCAAUCAACCAUCAAAAUGAAAGCAAUCCAACCUAAAUCCUAAUGUCUAUCAAUAUUGUGAAAAUUGAAUUUAGAUUGUCAAGAAUUGUUUGAAGCUCUUCCCUAAUCAUCAUCUUUUCCAUGCUAUUACCAACCAUAGUAUCCCAUACCCCAUCAAUACAUUUCCUUAGCUUAUUGAUUCAGGCACUUUGCACCAUGUUAUUAUUGAUUUAAGUAAUUUGGCUUUGCAUUUUGAAUGUGAGAGUUAUGAUGAUAUAGUUCUUGGUGAUGGUAAAGAUCUCAAUGACACACUAUUAGGCUAAUCUCUCUAUUCUUUCUUCUAUCAAAACCUUUCCUUUACUACUGAUCUUUGUAUCACAUCAAUGCAACAUAAUUUUAUUUUUGUAUACAAAUUUUGUUGAUCUCAAUAUUCUUCCAUUGAAAAUUUUUCCUUCCUAUUUUUAGGUUAAUUUUCUUCAAACAAUAGCAUUGCUAUUGCAAGGGCUGGGAUGGUGUUUAUGAAUGCCACAACCUACAUAUGCUCCUGGAUAUUCCAUUCAUGCUCUUGUCACACUGAAGGCACCUUCUCAUGCUUAGCGUCAAUAACUGAGUCAUUUGUAGAGGCUCUCUAGAAGAUGACAAGAAGAAUUGAAACCCUAACUCCUAUUAUAGGGCUCCUUAUGAGCUUGAGUGAUUUCAGUUCAAAAUAGGUUGAGUCCUAAUUAUUUAAUUAACUCUAAUGGGGUCCAAUUAAUUAAUUAGCCCAUAUUAGAAAAACAAUUCACAAGAUCUAUUGCAACCUUAUAUUUUUACUAAAACACUCUUAUACACACUUAUGAACCAAAACUCAAAUCCCUCCAAAUAAACGUGUACUUUCAUAAAAUAGGAGCUUGAGUAAGGACCAUUAGAACCCAUAGGAAAAUAUUGGCUCCUUUAUAAUUUAAUUCUAAAGUUGAUUUAAUACUCCACUAAAGAGAAUCAACUGUACUCCAAUAUUAUAAUAGCAUAGCUCUAAUAGCAUAGCUCAGGUUUGUGCCCUACUAUCCACUACAUGUAGACUCCCUACGACUUGAUGUUUAUAAUAUAACAAGGUAGUGCUAUCACUUAUCAAGAUUACCUCUCCAUUCCUUGAGUUCCAGAUACCACUUAUUAUAUGAUUAAUUAACUUACUUUAGUUCCAAGGACCAUAUGUCAAAUUUCUACUAAAGGAAAUAUUAUGACCAUAGUAUUCUAGAUCACAUGUUCUUUGGAUUGCCUAAAGGAACACAUUGUCUCCAUACAAUGAAAUAUUGUGGUGCCUCCAUUAAGAAUAUCUACUGCCACAAAGCUCCAUCAAUAGUAACCUAAUCUAUAGGGAUAUAUGGCCCUUUUAAGAUCUCACCCAUAGGUUAACGUCUCCUAUUGAUUUUGGCACAGGUUCAAUACUUUCUCAAGGUUGAGAGUCCAUCCAUUAUAGUAUCUUAGUGAAUUAUGAUAAUUGAUAGCUCUAUGUCAUGAUUCACUAUAUAUAGGUCCUGUCCAAUGUGCACCACAUACAGUAGUGCACUCACUAUGAGAAAACUAUCCCAAUGAUUAAGGCAAAUCAUUCCUCUAAUUACAAGGUAGUGCAUUAUAGUCUCAAAUGAAUUGCCUAAAUCCAUGAACCAACUAUGGAUUACUCAUCACUCUACAAGGAACCCAUGACUUAGAUCUCCUAUGUAACUCCUAAUGCGCUCAAGUCAUGUACAAUGCAAAUAAGGAUGAAAAUAUUGGUAAUCACGAAUAUAUUGACACUUCGACUUCACGAAUAUAUUGGAGAUAUAUCGGCGAAUAUUUUGAAAAAAAAUAUCGUUAGAUCUAGAAUUGAUCAAAAUUCAUGGAAAUGUAAGAAAAACUUCGUAGAAAUAUAAUUAGAAGUAUAAUAGAUAUUUUAAAGUUGUUUUGUUGAAGAACUUGAUAUAUGUAUGAUAUGAUUUAUCAUAUUAGAUAAUAUUAUUAUAUACAUCGAUAAAAAAUAUGAAUUUUAUAAGUGUACAUUUAUUAUUAAAUUAUAUCAAAUAUUAUUUCAUAAUAAUAUUGUGAUAUUUGAUUAUAAUAUAUUUAAUUUUAAAAUAUAUGUAAUAUUAAAAUUAUGAUCCCUUUAAUUCAUUUAUAUUAAAUGAUAUAAAAUAAAUGAUGAUAUAUGUACAAUUGUGAUAUUUAACAAUAAUGUUCAUAACUUGAAAACAUACUUUAUGUAUAUUCAUCUAAUUCUGUAUUUAAUGACAUAAAAGAAAUAAUGAUAAUUUGUAUAAGUAUUUUUUAUUUUAAAAUUUUGAUAAUUUUAUUCAAAAAUUUAUAUUUAUUUAAUAUGUAAUUAUUAUAUAAAAGUCACAGUAACCAAAAUUAAUUUAGUUAUAAUAAUUUUAUUUUAAUAUAUAUAUAUAUAUAUAUAUAUAUAUACAAUAUGUACAUUUAAUCAAGUGAAGCAUGGUUGGUUGGUUGGUUGGUUGUGAGUGAGGUUUGGGAUUCAAAUCCCUAAGGUUCCACUUCUCUUAGAUUUUCCCUUGCCUUUUAAAAAUUCCAAUUCUUGCAAUCCCACAUCUACAAUUCAUGACACCAAAAAGUUGUAUUUAAGCAUUGGAGUGGUGGAAGGCUCACAAGCGUGCAGUGCAUGCUGGGCUGGUCUAAGAGAAUGAGUUGGGCCAGUGCCUGGGCCCAAUAUAAGAGUUUUGGGAAAAAAAAAUGAAAUGGGGAUGACAUGGCAUCGAUAUAUCGAUGUGCCUGCUGAAAUAUCAUGAAAAUGUCGGUGUAUUGUCAAUAUAUUGAUGAAAAAUGGCGAUUUUAAUGGAAAUAUCUUGACUUCGAUAUUUCCCCAACAUGUAUCAUGUCGAAGGUUAUUGAUAUAUCUCAACAUUUUCAUCCUUGAAUGCAAGUAAUGUGGGCAUGUAUGCUCAAAUAACCAAUUAAUUCAUAUGAGAUAAUAAAAAGGAAACCAAAAAACAUAGAUAAAUAAUUUUAUAAAUGAAUCUCAAUUUGUUAUAUCAUUUCAUGCUUUCUAAGGCUCAAUCCCAAUAAUACAUUCUCUACGAAUUUGGUCACCAUUGAUAGAGGUUGGUGGUAAUAGGUAUCCUCAAUAAAGGCGCGCACCACGAUAUCUCAUGGUAUUGAGACAAUGAGUCCUCUUAAAACUAAGGUUGUAGUAAUUCCUUAAGUAGAGUUUGACAUAUAUUCUUUCUAAGCUAGAGUAUGUCAAUUGAUCACAUAAUAGGAGGAUCUUACAACUCAAGGAUUGGAAAGGUAAUCUUGAGAGGUUGAUGACACAUAUCUCGUUAGAUUGCAAAUACCAAUUCACGGAGAGUCUGCAUGUAGUGGAUAGUAGGUCAAAGACUAGAAUUUUAUCUCAUUAUAAUAUAUAUCGUAGGAUACUAUAGUGUAGUUGACUCCCUUUAGUGGAGUAUUGAGUCACUUCAGAAAUAGAUUAUGAGGGAACCGAUAUUUUCCUAUGGGUCCUUGUGGUCCUCUUUUGAGCUCUUGAUUCAUGGUGGUAUGUUUGUUUGAGAGAAUUUUGGGUUUUUAAUUCCUAAGUGUGCAUAAGGGCAUUGUGAUAAAAACGUAAGGUUGCACUAGAUCUUAUGAAUGAUCUUUUUGGAUUUAACUAAUUAAUUAAUCGAAGUAUAAUAAAAUGAAUGAAUUAAUUAAUUAGAACUAAAAUGGACUUGAUUAAGUGACCUAAGCCUAAUUUGGGCUAAAGUCACUUAAGCCCACAUGGAACCCUAUAUAAAUCCCCUUAAAGGUUUAGGGUUUCACUUUUUGCAUCCUUGUAUUCCAAACUUUGGAAAAGAAAUACCUAGCCUCCCUCUAGAGAAGUCUUUCCUUAUCUUAUGCCAAAGAUAUGUGAAAAGAGUGAUAAAGUAGAAGAUCUAUGGGUCUACAUGAUCUAUGAUGCCAUCAUAGUUUAUUUCAUUGGAUUAAAUUUGAUCUAGGAACAUUUAGAUCAUAGGUAUGACAUCUAAUCUCUAGAUUGAUUUAUGAUCAUUAUGGUUUUGUUUUAAUAUUUUCCCAUUGAGUUAGAUCUAGAAAAAGCUAGGAAUAGUUGCAUGCACCUUGCGAGAUUCAGGGUCAUGGAACAAAGUAAUUUGAGGUUCCCAUUAACUAGUAUUAGAGCUUUGGAUUAGGUUUUUGCAUGCUAGAUCUAUUCUAAGGUGCACUAACUCUAUUUUGUAAGGUUAUUUUAUUCAGCUCAUAGCCUUAAUGAUGAACGCAUGUUUAUUUAGAUAUGUUAUUAAUGGGUUAUAUUGCAAAAUGUUUGCUUUCUUGUUCUCAUAGAUGGCUUAUACAAGAGGUAUUGGAUUUUUCUUUGACUCUAAAAAUCAAGUUUUAUUUUAUUAGAUGGGAUGUAAACUCUAGUUUGAAUGAGUAUAGGAUCUUUUACUUUCUUUUAUAAAAGUUCAAUUUUUGGCUCAUCUAUGUAACCCUAGAGGAGAUUGGAAGCAUUUUGAACCAUUAUAACAUCUUCUUUGUGGAGUUUCCAAUAGAAAAGGGAAAGAUUUUUUAUAGAGAGAUAGUUGAAAAAGAGAUGGAAUUGCUCUUGGAUUUACAGCCAUGGCGACAACAUUCGAGAACUUAGAUAUACACUUAGGUGGUCCCUUUUAAUGCUCAAGUGCCUGAGUGGUCACGUCUAAUGUUCAUGCACUGCAAGUGGUAGGGAGGAGCAAUAGGGGUAGAAUUGGUAUUGUGAGGAUUUUUGUAAUAGAUUAGGGUUUUAUUUUUUCAUUAACCCUAAUUUUUGGUUGUAUGGUCAUUUUGAUAUUUUAAUUCUAGAUUUUAUUACCAAAUAAUUCAAUAAGAUCCCUAAGUGAAUGAGAAAUAAUUUAUAUUAUUUCCUUUAUUAUUUUAUGACAUAAAAUGGAUAUUUUGGUAUUCUUAAUAAAUAAAUAACUUUUCUUGUAUUUUUUCAAAAUAGGAUACUUAUUUAAAUUGGAAUAUGAAAAGUUAAUAGAUUUUAUGGGAAAAAAUAUAUUAAGAGAAUCUUUUCCUUUUUAAAAUUUGAUUCUUAGGGAUUUUAAUUUAUUUAAAAUCUUCUCAAAUUUUUGAGAUCUUUAAGAAUAAAUUUUUAAUUUUAAAAAAGAGCUCUCAUUUCUCUAAAUCUUUAUAAAAUAACUUUUGUUUUCCUUAUUUGCAUAAGAUUCAAUUUAGGAUAAUAAGUAUGUUUUUGGAAAAUUCGCGAUAGACAAUUUAUAAUAAAAAAGGUUGCCAAAAUGGUCUUUUUUUUUAAUUAUAGUAAUUAAUGAGAAUAAAAUAUUUUAAAACUAUAUUCCAAAUUAUAGUGUUUAUUUAAAUUGGAAAUAAUAUAUUGAAAAGGAGAAUUUUAUUUGAAAAUUUGAAGAGUUUAUCUUAAAAAAUAAGGUGCUCUCAUAGAGAACUUUAAUUUUUCAAAAUCCCUUUUCCUUUUACAUUAAAGUUCCAAUAUUUAGUAAAUAAAAAUUUUUAGGCAAAUUUUCAUAGAGAAUGUUUUAUCUGUUAAAGGUUACUAUUUUAAACCAAAGUUCUUAUUUUAAAAGAUUUAGUGCAGAGAACCUUAACAAAGCCUACAACGACCUCCAUUAUCAGGCACAUCUUGUUUUGGGUUCAUCACCACCUCAACAAUGGGUUUGUCCAAGGGAUAUGGAGUUUCCAUAUGAACAAGGCUAUACAUGUCUAUAGUUGGAGCAACCACUCCAAUAGUGGAGUUCUUUACUUGGUGGCAUUGAUGUAAAGGAUAAUGGUUACACACUUAAAGGAAUUACUAUUUUUAAUAAAAUUUCUUAUUCCAAAAGAUUAAGUGGAGAGGACUUUAAAAAAGCCUACAACCUCCAUUAUCAAGCACAUCUUGAUUUGGGUUCAUCACCACCUCAACGAUGGAUUGUGUCCAAGGAAUCAAGGGGUGUGAACUUUCCAUAUGGAUAUACUACAAGAAAAAAUGGAAUCAAUGACGCUUUUUAAGCGUCAAGAAAAGUAUAAGAUGACACUUCUCUAAAACAUCCUCUUCUCCCUUGUCAUUAUAUGUUUUAGUCAAUAAUGAUGCUUCUAGGAAGCGCCAUCUUUGAUUUAUACUUUCAAUGACACUUAAAGAAGUGUCAUCUUUGAACAACGUUAAUGAUGACACUUAUAAAUGCGCCAUCUUUUAAUAUUUUUACUAAAAUAAUUUUUAUAAGAUUGUCAUUGUUGACAAUCAUACGGGCGUCAUCUUUGGAUUAUUUUUUCAAUGACACUUUUAAAAGCGACAUCUUUGGUUUAUGUUAAUAAUGACACUUUAUAGAAGCGUCAUCUUUAAGCAUUUUAUUUUAACAAUAAUAUUGCUAUUAUGUUUUUAAAAUAAUGAAUUUCCUAUAUAAUUAAAUAAAAGCAAAAGCAAUUAUAAAUCAUAAAAUUAAAUUGAAUUGUACAAAUUAAAUAUCUCCAAAUAUUAAUAUAAAAUGGGUUAGUUUGAAUAAUUAGUAUAAUUACUUAUAUACAAAUUAUAAAUUUGUUCAUUAGAUCAAAAUAUUUCAAUGAGAAUUUUUAAAUCCAAUAUAAGAACAAAUAUCAGUGCAAUGACUACAAAAAGAAACCAUUAUCAAUAAAAGCCUAGCUAAACCCCCUAAUGAUUUAAAUGAUAUCAUCUUCAUGAUUUUCAACAUCGCUUCAUUGUAAUGAUUUCUUUUCUUCUUGUAAGCCAAUUUCCUUCGCAAGCUAUAAAAAAAAAAAAGGAAUAUAAAACUUUUAAAUUAUACAUAUAACAACCAAUAUAAUUGAAACAAAAAAAAUAUAAGAAUAGAAAAUAAUCCAGCAUGUUAAUUAGCUUUUGUUCAAGUAAAGCAAUAAAACAAACAUACUAAUAUUCUUCUUAUUGGGUCAAAAGUAAGAAUUUUUACUAGAGUAAAUAAAUUAUUAGUGUUAAAAAAUACUACUACUACGUAAGAUAAUUACCUCAAUUAUUAAGUGUACAACCACAUGAAUAUGUCUUAGUUCCCUUAAUUAUUGAAAAGAUCUAUUUUAUAAUGAUUUCUACUAUGUUGAUAGUGAAGAAAAUUAAAUCUUCAUUUACCUUGUCAUUGGCAUCAUUGCCCAUCAAAGUCUUCUUCAUUAGGCUCUUGCUUCAAAGAGGUUAUUAAUAACAUUAGGGUAAUAUAAAGUAAAAGAGGUUAAUUAAAAAAAAUAAAAAUAAAAAUUGAUAGUUUUACCUUUUCACAAAAUAGUUAUAUUAUAGGAUGCCUUAAAAAUUAAAAAAGAUUGUUUAUGUAGCUCACCCAUGUAAAGUUAUUCAAUUCAUGUUUAAAGAGAGGUGAAUUAAAAAAAUAAAAAAUAAAGAUUGACAUAUUUACCUUUAUUCACAAGAUAACUAUAUUCUAAAAUUCCUUAAAGAUGCCUAAAAAUUAAAAAUUAACACACUACCUAUAUUCCAAAGAACAAAAAAAAAAGAGUUGUACAAUGAAAAGAUGUCUCCACAAGGAUCCACACAUUAAUGUUAUGGUUUGUCCAUGAAUUACAAUAAAAUGCAAGAUAUAUAAAGAAAAAUAUAAUCAUUGAUUUUAGUUUUUAGACUAAAAUUAGAAGUGUGCUUUUUUCAGUUCCUUAAGGAUAUAGGAUUAAUUAGUAAAGGGUCACUUGGAAGUGUGUCUAUCAAUAUGUGCAGUACAACGUAUGUUUAGGAAACUGUCAAUAAAGAAAGUCACAAGGUAUGAAAUAUAAACAAAAGAGUAAAACUAUUGGUCAUAGUAAGACUAAUGCUUGCAAAGGAAUCCCCAAGGGUGUGUGCCAUGGACAUGUCCAUUGCAUAUGCGCAUGGAUUGAAAAAUCGAAAAAUGUCGCCGAUAUUUCGGAGAAAUAUCGGUUAUCGGGCGGCAUCGAAACGAUAAUCGGCACCGAUUAUCGAUCGACGGAAAAAUCGACCAAAAAUCGGCAAAAUCGCCGAUAUAUCGGCGAAAUAUCGGUGGAGGACCGAAAAAUCGGCGAAACAUCGGCGAGUGAAGCCACGCGCGGCGAAGACGGCAGAGGACAGGGAAAAAUCGGCGAUUAAUCGGUAAAAUCGGCGAUUUUUUGCCGAUAAAAUCGCGAUAAAUCGGCGAUUUUUUGAAGAUUCCCUGGUUUUGAUCUGACGGCCAAUUUUGAAUUUUUGAGGAUCUGAUGGCCCAGAUUUCACCCGUGUAUGUAAAGGCCUCCAACGGUCAGAUUUGUGAUCCAAUGGUGGAAAAUCAAUCUUGACUUUAUCCAAGGGCUAUGGAGUGUUUCCAACGGUUAUAUGAAGAUCUAAUGGUGAAAUUUGAACCAAAUUUUGAUCCAACGGUUAAAAUUAAUUUAUAACGGCUAGUUUGACCAUCCAACGGCUAGUUUGACCAAAAAAAAUUCCUAUAAAUACCCACAUUCCAUUUCAUUUCAUACAUCAAAAUUCUUAUAUGGUCUAGCAAAAUUUUUUUAUUUUGAAAAUUUGGUGGUGAAGGGGAUUAACUCCAAGUCAAGGCUAAUUAAGGUAUGUCUUACCUUUCAUAAAAUUUAUUUUAUUAUGCAUAAUUCAAUUUUAUUUGUUAUAUAUAGUUUAAUUGAUAUUUUCUAAUUCAUAUGGAAAUGUAAUUGUAAUGUUUAUCUAUUUCAUAUAUGCAUAAUUCAAUUUUAAUUUUUAUUAGUAAUGAUUCUUAUCAAUUUCAUGAAUAUGCAAAUUUAAUUUAUUUUAAUUUAAUUUAAUUCUUAUCAAAAUUUUAUUGUAAUGUUUAUCUAUUUCAUAUAUGCAUAAUUCAUUUUUAAUUUUAAUUUUUAUUAGUAGUGAUUCUUAUCAAUUUCAUGAAUAUGCAAAUUUAAUUUAUUUUAAUUCUUAUCAAAAUUUUAUUGUAAUGUUUAUCUAUUUCAUAUAUGCAUAAUUCAAUUUUAAUUUCAAUUUUUAUUAGUUCUUAUCAAUUUCAUGCAUAUUAAAUUUCUUACAUGUUUUAUCUUUAAUAAUUUUAAAUUUGAUAUUAGUUUCAUAAUUCAAUUUUAGAAAAUGGCUAGUGAAAGCGGUACCAUGGGUCGAGAUCCUUGUUGGAAAUAUUGUACACCUAUGGAAGGGAACAAAAAUGGAACAAUAUGCAAUUACUGUGGGUUGGCAAUAAAGAGUGGUGGGAUUACUCGUUUUAAAUUUCACCUAUCACAUACAGACCCUAAUUCAAAUACAAAAAAGUGUCCUAACGUGCCUCCAGAAGUGAAACAAGAAAUAAGACGACUUAUAGAGCAAAGAAAUAAGGCAAAAGCGAAGAAAACUGUUGAUAUAGAAGAGAUUCGAGCAGAACUGCGAGACACAAUGGGAAGAAGACAUAGGCAUUUAAUUGAUGAGGACGAUGAGGAGAACCUUGGUGGUGAUGGUGGUGGUGAUGGUGGUGGUGGUGGUGGUGGUGGUGAUGAUGAUGAUGAUGGAGAUGAUGAUGUGUAUAUGUAUCCGGCUGAUAUGCACCCUGAUGAGCGACAUGCUUAUAGAGAGGCGGUUCGAGCAUCAAAAGCUGCUGAAUGGAAUCGACAACAACAAGAACAUUUUAUAAAAGGCAAAAGAAAAACAGGUAUAAUAUUAAUUUGAAUUAUUACUGUUUCUUAUCAACUUUAUCAAUAAUAUUAAAUUAACAUAUAUGUUUAAUUUUAAUAAUUAUAAUAGGCGAGUCUUCACAUCCAACCAAUCCAACAACAAGGCAAAUGCGAAAAUCGCAAAGUGUUCGAUAUUCAGAUGCAUCACUGCCUGAUGCACCCUCAUUGUACAAAUCUUCAGCAGCAAGACAGAAAACUGUGAAAAAUCUUUUCAAAGGUGGUGCCAUCAAGGAAACCAUGGGACGUUUGAUCAGUAAGUUCUUCAUAUAUGAGAGUGUUCCGCCAAGUAAAGCAGACUCUCACCACUUCAAGAACAUGAUUGUUGGUGCACAACAAGCAGGUAAUUACUAUAAUUUUAAAAUUUGUAUUUAUUUGAACAAUAUCAUUACUAUUUAUAUAGUAUGAUUGACACAAAUGUUCUUAUAUGUUUUAAUUAUAUAUGGAUGGUAGGUAUGGGUAUAGAACCGCCGUCUCCUUAUGAAAUCAAACACAAGUAUUUGGAUAUGGAGUACAAAGACAUGGAAGCUUAUGUCAAUAUUCAAAGAGAAAAGUGGAAGACUUAUGGAUGCACGAUUAUGUCUGACGGAUGGACUGGGCCCACGAAAUUAAGCAUAAUUAAUUUCAUGGUAUAUUCAAAAGGUAGCACAAUCUUCCUCAAAUCCGUUGAUGCAUCAAAUAAUAUAAAGGACAACAAAUACAUAUAUGGUUUGUUGAAGGAUGUGAUCAAGGAAGUUGGCAAACAAAAUGUGGUCCAAAUAGUUACAGAUAAUGGGUCGGCAUUCGUGAAGGCGGGGAAGUUGUUAAUGAAGAAAUACAAUCUUUAUUGGACUCCGUGUGCAGCACAUUGCAUCGACUUAAUGUUCGAAGACAUCGGUAAAAGGAUGAGUGUUGCAGAUCUGAUUACAAAGGCUCGAAAGAUAACCAAUUUCAUUUAUAACCAUAGUUGGUUGCUUGCACAGAUGCGGAAGGUGUGUGGUGGAGACAUAGUUCGUCCUGGAGCAACAAGAUUUGCAACCAAUUAUAUAGCCCUUGACAGUCUUUUGAAAAAGAAAGCAAACUUGAAGAAAGUGUUUAUCAGUGAUGAAUGGGCACAACACAACUUAAGUCGCACAUUAAUCGGCAAAGAGGUUGAAUCACUUAUGUUUGACCAUGCGUACUGGGAAAGAGUGGGAAAGUUAGUGUCAAUAUAUGAGGCGCUAUACACAGUUCUUCGCAUUGUCGAUUCAGAAGUUGUUCCUACAAUGCCAUUUGUGUACGAAUUGAUUCGAGUUAUGAAAGAGAACCUCAUUCGACUUAAUGCUAAAGAAUGGGUGUUAGAAAUAAUUGCAGAUCGUUGGGAUAGAACUCUUAAACAUCCUCUUCAUGCAGCAGGUAAGUAUUAUUCAUCUUUGAAAUUUAUUGGUAUUUAAUAUGUUUCUUUCAUAACAUUCUAAUUUUACAUUUCUACUUUACUAUUGUAGCAUUCUUUCUUAAUCCAAGAUUUCAAUAUAAACGUGGAGUUGGUACUGAUCCUGAUCUACUUCAAGCUGUUCAUGAAGUCUUUGCGAAAUUAGAUCCUACAUCAGAAGGUCUUAGUCAAUUUGGAAAUGAGGUAAAUUAUUAGAGUUAUAAUAUAAAUUAAAUAAUUGAAUUUCAUUUACUCAACUUUUUCACUUUCAAUUAUUUAAUAUGUAGAUUAUACUAUUCCGAGAUGCAAAAAGAGGAUUCGGUGAUCGAGCAGCGAUUGCUUCGAGGUCAGAAAUGGUUCCCGGUGAGUAUUAUUUGUGAAAUAAUAAUUCAUUUCAUUAGCAUAUUAUUGUAACUUUCCAAUAUAAGUAUUGAUAUCAUUUAUUUGGUUGUAGCUGAAUGGUGGUUCAUGUAUGGACAUCACGCUCCUACAUUAAGAAGGUUGGCCAUCAAGGUUUUAUCGCAAACUGCAUCAUCUUCAGCUUGUGAGAGAAAUUGGAGCACGUUUGCCUUAAUUCAUACAAAACAAAGAAAUCGGCUUGCUUACCCGAUGCUCCAACAAUUAGUUUUCUGUUAUUAUAACAUGAAACUAAAGAUACGUGACAUGGAAGCAGAACAAGACAAAGUUGCAGAGAAAGAUUACCUCGAUUUACUUGACAUUGCAACUGAGGUUGGUGAAGAAGAAGAUAACCAAUUGUUUCAAUGGGUUAGACCUCUUCAUUUAGAUGAUGAAGAUGGAAAUCCCGACCCACGAAUUGCCGCACAUGUCCGAGAAGCAGGUGUUGAUGUUGAUCGAGUGUUAUCCGAAGAAGUUCAUACUGAUAGUUUCAGCCAAGACACGAGAGAUUCAUUUCAACAAGGAAUUUCUCAGCCGGCAGUCACUUCUCGACCUUCUUUUGACUCCACGAGUGUUGAACAUAGUAGUAGACCUAGUGCUACUGAUACUUCCGCUUCCGGUUAUGAUGGUUCAAGAGGAGAGGGGACCAAUGAUGGUAGCGACCCUGGAAAUGAUGAAGGGGAUGUUAGACAACAACAACAAAGUGGACAACCAUUGGGAUUUACUUGUGAAGAUGAUUUCACACAUUGUACUCAAGAUGAAGACCACGGCUCUAGAAGAGCCGGUCCAAGUGUUGGAGCCAUUGGAAAGCCAUAUAGAGGAAGACAACGAAGGAUGAUGCCAUACAACGAGGACUCAUUGUCGGCCAGUUUUGAGUCGAUGAGUGUAGAGACUCAAUUCAGUGAUUCAUCAAACGAAGCCAACAUUUAUGCCCCUUAUGCAAUGAGUUAUGGUCAACCUCCUCAAAAUCUUUCAAGUUCCACUGAUGAAGAGUAUGAAAGGUAUAACUAUCCUUCUUCCACACAAAUGCCAUACUACCUUCCACAUCAGCUGCAACAACAAGGAUUUCAAACGAGCACAUGGGAAAACCCUGGAUUUCCUAUCCAUGGACAAGUUGUUGGUAGGACUCAAGAAAUUUAUGCAUGGCAUGUUCGUACAUACAAUCAAUACUAUCGAAACUCCAUGUCCUGGUAUGAAUAUUGUCUUCAACAAGAUGGGCUCCCUUCAUCUAACAAUAACAAUAUGAUGGAACCAUAUCGAUCUUCAUUUUGGUAUUAAGGACCAUUGCAAUGUCAUAUGUAUUAUGUUUAUGUGUAAAUUGUUUUCAUUUAAUAAAAUCAAAUAUUUCUUAACUCAAUUCUAACUUUCUAAGUGUACAAUUCCAAAUUUCAUAUUUUUUAUUCUUAAAAUCCAAGUAUCGUAAACUAUUUACCGAUAUUUUUUUCUUUGACCAUAUUUAUGUCAAUUAUACUUAUAAAAUAACUUUAACAUGCAUAUUCUUGCUUAUUUUAUCAUUCUUUGGCUUUUUUUAAGCAUUCCCAUCAAUUUUGGAUAAUUUUUGUCUCACCGAUAUUUGAUGAAAAAUAUCCACCGAUAUUUCUCCGAUAUUUCCGAUAUAUCCGUAAAAUCCAAGUACCGAUAUUUCAAUCCUUGCAUAUGCGUGCAUACACAAAUGUACAUAUAGACAUCUAAUUUGAAAGGCUGGGUUGGUCCCAUUUGAGAAGGAACCUCCCACAAAUCAUCACUAUUAAUCUUUUUAAUCCCCUCGUAUGCACUUUAGUAAUAAGCAAUACCCAUAAUUCAAAAAAACUAUGCAGUAUUUUUUUAAACCACCCAUGUAUGAACUUAAAAUAUCCUAAUUUAGUAAGAAACACUCAUUAGAUUACUAAGAAUGAGAAAUGGAAAAGGAGGGGGAAGAAUCAGCCACCAAGACCAAAGAAAUGUUCAAGAAAUGGAGAAGAUUAGUGAAUGGACGUAGUUAAUAAUAACAACUGCUCCAUCAACCACAAUUGGGAUAAAUUUCUUGUCCACCUGUUAGAGAACUUUGACAUCCUAAAUGCAAUUCUUAGUUAUGGAUUGUGGCAUUAAUGAAUCACAGCAAGGUGCAAGAUCCCUAAAAAGCUGUCAAGUAUAGUGUAUUGAUCAUUAAACUUCAGCAAUUUAUCUCCAUUUUGUAUAGAAAAUAAAAAAUCACUAAUAACUAAUUUGAUAAUAGUCCCAUAACGAACUUGUGUAGCAAUGAAAGAUUCAUCUAUAGUUAACAAAACCUUAAAAAUUUAUUGUAGUAGUUAACUGUAAUUUUUGGAUAGUUAUUAUGCCAUUUGGUCCCAGAGCCCAUCAAAUUUGUAACUUCCUUUGUGGUAAAGUCUAAAAGAUGAGAUAGUAUGAAAUCAAAUGAACAAUUUUAUUUUGGGGUGAUGAAAGGAUUAAAUAAAAAUAAUGUAUGAAGAUACCCACAAGUGUCCAUUGCUCAAGCUUUUGUCGUUCUUACUAGGUUGCUGUUGUAUUUUGACUAUAAUCUGAAUAGACAUAAAAGCAAUUUGGAACUGCUAACUUGGGGUUUUUUUUAUAUAUGAAGAUAAGUCAAGAAUAAAAAUAUGAUAGGUUGUAAGGGAUUUACAUAGGGAAAAUAAAGAAAUGGGUACUAGUGGUUUGAUCACAAAAGGAUGUUACCAGAAUGUGAUAUCUACUUAAGGUACCUAAUUAAAGCUAAUAAAGGAUCUGUUACAGAUAGAAACUUAACUCUCUAAGCCUAAUUUGAACUUGGCCCAAAAAUAAUAGAAUAAGGAUUGGUUGCUAAAGUAAGUAUAUUGAUAGCUAAUUUUGUAUAAAAAAUGAAUCUCCACAUAUAGAAUCUUAUGCUUUUUAGUACAGAAUUUACAAGUCCCUUUGCAAAUUUCAAUAGUGUCUGUAACCAAUCUCCACCAAAGCUUUAACAUAGUUCAUCAAAUAUAUGUCAAAAACAGGUAUUAGGGAGCAACAUAUAUAAAUUUUUAUCUAGACCAUUAUAAUAAUUAAUUUUGCCAAACAAAAAUACAAAUUGACCAUGGAAUAUAAGAGAACCAUCUAUUCCAAUUCAUCACAGGUGGCAUAGAAUCAUUAUGUGAGUAGUAGUAAAUCUUUUUACUAGCAUAUAGACAAUCAAUAAUUUUUUUUCAAGAGGGUGUAAGACCAUCUUUAACAGAUCAUUAGAUGUAUUGCUGGUUUGUUGGAGUUUCUUCUAACAUUAGGAAAAAAAAAAAAGAGUUUCUUUUAACAAAAAAAAAAUAAAAUGCAAUAAGCAAUUGAACUCUCCUUAGCAGUUCACAUAUUUGUAGCUAUACCUUGUGGCAAUAUCUGGGUAGCCUUUUGCCAUGAUGGCAGUGCUUGAAAUUUGAUUGAACAUAAGGUAAUGAAAAUUUUCCAAAAAAAAUUUAAGUUAAAUAAAUCAUAUAGUUUCCUUAGUGGAAUUAGUUGGAAAAGAAUAGAAAAAUUAAAAGUAAAGACUAGUAGUCUUGGACAAAAGACUUCAUCCAAGCAUUCACAAUUUUUCCUUUUUCCUUUUCCCUUUUAAUUAUUGUUAUGAUUCUUUGAGUACCACUCAACUCAACUAAUCAUACACUUUAUUUGCAUUUUAUAGUUUUAUUUCUUUAUAUUUUCUUUACAUCUACCUAUUUAAAAAUUGUUUUCUUUUAUUUUGUUUUCAAAACAAACUUAUUUUUAGAGAACACCAACCUUAUAAAAUUUAAAAAUAAUUUUUUAUUUUUCAAAUAAAAAACUGUUUUUAAAUCAUUUAAUAAAUAAAUCAAAGAAAACUAUUUUAUAUUUGAUGUUGUGACCUGUAACUUUUUAAAUCAAUUAUCAUUCCUCAUAAAAGGCAAAAACCUUGAAUAAAAAUAAAAUAAAUACACAAACAUAAAGAUAUUCAAUAAAGUAUUAUGUGAGAUCAAAUAUUUAAAUCAUAUUUUUGAAAUUGUGUGUCUGUGCAUGAUCAAUAUUAAUUUUUUAUUUUUGCCUUUAAGAUUGAGACAACUAAAAUUCUUCAUAAAAAUAAGGUAUAGUAGUAAUAUUCACCUAAGAAAAGGUCAUAAAACAAGUGGCAUUUUAUAGUAUGAAUAUAUUUUGUAAGACAUCCAUAUACAAUGCAUAUCAAGAAUUGAAGUUGAUUUUAUGGUAUAAAAGGAUCCCAUGAUGACUGCACAUUCAUGAAUCAAAGUAUUCACAAGAUUGAAAAACAGGGCAAUGAAGUAUUGAAUAAAAAAAUUGGCUACUGAAUUUGAAAUUGCUUUCAUGGAGGUUACCAAAUGCACCAAACUAUAAACAUACCAAACAAAAGAUGACUUUUAACUAAUAAUACAAGGAAAAAUAUAAGUUUUGUGUCCCAAAAAAAUGAGAGGAAAUGGGAAGCAAAAGUUGAAAUCUCUUCAAAAAGGCUCCAACUUGCCUGUUAAAAGAAAACUUGUUUGGCUAUAUAGAAAGUGAUAGAAAAUAAAAAAGGAGUUAGGAUGUUACAAGUUAAAUUGUGGUUCUUGGGUUGAUAAUUAAAGAUUUUGUUCCCUAGACCAAAAAUUCUCCUAUGUUCUUUUUACAGGCAACCAAACAAAGAAAAACUCAAUGAAAUUUUGUAGAAACCAAAUACCUAUUUCACACAAAAGAAACCUAAAAAAGAAAAGGCAAUAAGAAAACGUCUAUUAGCUAAAUUCUUACAACACAUUUUGUUAAAUAUUUGAGUGCAAAAAAAACCUAAACUCAGAGAUUGCAGUAGUAGGUGUGGGGACAGCAACAUAAGCCACAAAGAAUCCUGAAUUUUCAUUAAGAAUAAGAAUUAAUAAAAAGGAAAGGAAACUUUAAAAAACAAAGCAACCCUCUAGAAAAAGAAAAAUCCCUAGAAGCAAUUGGGAAAAUUUAUAGAGAAAAAAAUUGGAUUGAAGAUCAUGAAGCUGUUGAACAACAAGGAAAAUGCAAGUAGUAAUUUCAAUAAAAAUAGAUUAAUUUAUUUUCUUUUCUUUUAUUUUUCUUUUUCUUUUUUCUUUUGUAAAGAACUAGGAUAACAAAGCUAAACCCUAAAUAAAAUAUGAGAUCGAUAGAAAAAUUUACCAGCCAAGGGGUUAGGGCUGUUGUGGAUUUUUCUAAAGGUAAUCAACUCGUUUGUAUCUCUUCGAAAGAACCCUAGGAUUCCUUAUACCCGAUGAUGAUUUUUCAAGUUACAGAAAGGUUAAGGCUCAUUAAUGAUGGUCACCAACGCUGAUAUGCUGGGGUCUUCAAAUUUGUGCCCGCUCCGGCCGCUUGCUAGGAUAUUGUUGGUAGCUUCUCAAAUUUAGAGAAUGAAGUGUUGUUUCUAUAGGUAUGAAAUAGAGAAAUCAUUAGGAUAUUGCUUGCACCUUCUCAGAGCUAGUGAGUAGAGUGAUGUGUUUACGUGGGUGUGAAAGAGAGAAAAUCAUCGGUAGAUCGCCAUUGGCAUGGCUUGUCGGGGUUUGAGGGUGGAGGGAACUCUGUUUGGUAGAUGUGUAGUAGUGUGAGGAUUAGACUUUAGAAAAGGGUUUACGAAGUUAGUGAGAAAAUGGCACUUUACAAAAGUGCCAAGGAAACAAAAAAUAUUAAGCCUCUUACAAAAUGGUGCCUUAAAAAAGUGCUAAGAAGAAAAAAAGCAAAUUAUUCAAGGACGCUUGUAUAAAAGAGCCAAUGAUUCCACCGAAAAACGCCAUUGAUAGCUCGCUUUCUACCAAGCGCCAACUUAUGUUAAAAGUUUUAUUAGACGUUGACGCUUUUUUAAAGCGUCUUUGUAUGUAAUUUUUGUAGUAGUGACAAGACUAUAUAUGUCUAUAGUGGGAGCAACCAUGUACCCCAAUAGUGGGGUUCUUUACUUGGUGGCAUUGAUGUAAAGGAUAAUGGUUACACACUUAGCUUGGAUAUGAAGUGGUUGAAUCACACCAUGGUCCCAUUUGCAUAGUCUAAGGGCCAAAUAGAUAAGGUAUGUUGAUAUUGCCUUGAGGUUUAUUAAGGCAGGAAGAUUAAUUUGAGAGGGCCUAUAACUAUUAAUAAGAUCAUGAAUUGCCCAAUGUAGGCUUGAUUGUUACAAUACUAGGAUACCUUGCCAAAGAAUAUGUAGUCCUAAGAGCUCUACAUUUUUUAAAAAUUUAUUUAUAAUUGAUUAUAGUGAAUACUCAAUUUAUUAAUGCAAGGUUUAAUUUUCUACCACAAAAAUCAUGUCAUAUAAUCUAAUUAAGUUCAUUAUCACUACUACUAAGUUGACCACACCAAACUAUGUGGAUUGAAAAAGAAAUUUGUACAUAGUUCUUACAUCAAAGAAGUUUAAAUAGGUAACUUGUGAUUUUAGUCCCAAUUCCCCUACAUUUUCCACAUAGGAAGAGAGAGAUGCAUAUCAUAGUUGGCAAAAGGCAGAUCAAAAGGACAAGUGUAUCAUACUUAAAUCUUUAGUAAUGUGUUGCAAAAGCAACAUGUGUCUAUUUCCAUGACUUAUGAUAUUCUCUUUAGUCUACAUGAGAUGUUCGAUGAUAAGGGUAGGUCAACAAGAUAGGUUAUUCUUAAGACUAUUAUGACCAUUAGGAUAUUAGAAGGAACUCCCAUUAGAGAUCAUAUGAUAUGUAUGAUCAAACUCUUUAACAAGAUGGGGAUCCUUGGAGCUCAGAUCAAUAAGGAAACCAAGGUUGAUAUGGUCUUAGGGACCUUGUUGGAUUCCUUUAGAUAGUUCAAGUUCAACUAUACUAUGAAUAAAGUGGUGAUGAGCUUACCUAAAUUUAUAUGGGAACUCAAAUGGAUAAAGGGAUUCUCAAAGACCAAGGAGGUAUUCAUAUGGCAAUCAAGGGUUCUUCAAGUUCUUCUAGAAAGAAGAAGAACAACAACAAUUUAGAGAACAUCAAACAAAAGCAAAAGUUUUAGAAAUAGAGUAAGAAGAGCAAGGAAAAAGACAAGUGUUUCCUUUCUAAAAAGAAAGGCCACUAGAAAAAUGAGAGCCUUGAAUUCUGGAAAAAAAAAAAAAAAGCCAGAUAUGCAUCAUUUGCUUUUAGCUGAAUCAUGUUUAGUGGUGGAUCACCAAGUCUUAAUGGAUAGAUCUAGGUCUAUUGAUCAUAUUUGUAAUUAUUUAUAAUUAAGGUUUUUAGCAAAGUACAAGUUUGAAUGAUGCGGGGACAUGUACCUAACUCUAGCUUUUGAUGCGGGGAUAAUUGUUCUAGUGAUAGGAAGCGUUACCCUUAUCUUAGAAAAUAAAUGCCUUCUAAAAAUCGAAGAUUGUCUUUAUGUUUCUGAGUUUAGAAAGAAUUUUAUUUCGGUUUCUAGUUUAUGCAAAUCAAAUUAUUUAAUGUUUUUAAUAAACAAGUUACUAUUAAGAUGAAUAAUUCAUUUAUAUGUUCAAGAUCAUUGAUUAAUAAUCUUUAUAAUGUGAUUGCAUUAUCAUUAUUGCAAAUUAAUGAGAAUAAUCAUAUCUCACUUUAAAGAAAGGAACCUUGCACUAAUUAAAAACACUUUUGGCACUUACAUCUAGGUUAUACUAAUCUAAAUAGGAUCCAAAGGCUACUUAAAAUCUGGAAUAUUGCACUCUUUCAUUCCAAAGGAUCUUUAGUCUGCAAAUCCUACAUGGACGGUAAAAUAAAUAAGAGGCCCUUUACUACUAAAAGAUAUAAAUUCAAGCUAUGUUUGUAUUUAUUUACCUAAUGCAUAGAAUAUGCAAUGCCUUAGAUAAAAUUCAGUAGAUUUAAGGUGGAAUCGGAAAACCAAUUACGUAAACAUAUCAAGACACUUUAGUCUAGUUGAGGUGGUGAGUAUAUGUACACCUGGUUUAAUUAUUUCCUUAAGGAGCAUGAGAUUAUAUCCUAAUUGAGUGCAACUAGAACUCCAUAGUAGAAUGGAGUAGUAGAAAGGAGAAAUCGAAUAUUGAUGGACAUAGUGAGAUCUGUGAUGAGUUUCUCCUCACUUUUGGUAUCUUUGUGGGGAUAUGCCUUAUUUUCCUAUGGGUUUAAGCCCAUUCAAGCUCCUAAUUCAUGGUGGCAUAUUUGUUUGAGGGAAUUAUAAGUUUGUAAUUCAUAAGUGUGUAUAAUGACAUUUUGGAAAAAAACACAAGGUUGUACUGAAUCUUAUGAAUGGUAUUUCUAGAUUAGGCUAGUUAGUUAAUUGGAGCUUAAUAGGGCUAUUUAGUUUAUUAGGAUCCAAAUGGCUAUAUUAAGUGACUUAAGCCAAAUUUAGACUCAAGUCACUUAAGUCUACAAGGAAGCCUAUAUAAAUCCCCUUAUGGGUUUAUGGCUUUAGUUUUUGCAUUAUUGUCUUCCAAUUUCCAAAAAAGAAACCCCUAGCAUCCCUUUAGAUAAGUCCACCAUUCUCUUGUGUAAAUAUCCAUGAAAGUAGUGAUUCAAUGGAAGAUCCAUAGGUUUACGAGGUCUAUGGCACCAUUACGGUUUAUUUCGUUAGAUUGAAUUUGAUCUGGGAAUAUCUAGAUCAUAGUAUGACACUUAAUCGUAGAUCUAUGUGUUAGGAUAGAACUCUUAAAAGCAUGACAUGAUGUAAUACAUUUGGAAUUCAUUAUUUAUUUAAUGAUGUUCUAGUUUCACUUUUAUUAAUCCUUAUUCCAUGUAUUAUACUUUAUGAGCAUUUUUGCCUACAUCUUUUGCAUUGCACAUGACUUAGGUGCAUUAAGAGUUGUAUAGAAGAUCUAAGUUAUGGAUUCCUUGCAAAUAUAUGAAUUGUUCACAACCAGUUCUUGGGUCUAGGCGACCCAUUAGAAGUUGUAGUGCACCACCUCUGAAUUGAAGGGAUGACUAGUCUUGUCUUUCGGGAUAGGUUUCCCAUGGUGAGUGCAUUAGUGUGUAUGGUUACACAUUGGAUAGGACCUACGAUGAGUCAUGAUUUAAGGUCAUCAAAUAGUCAUGACCUCACCAAACUGCUUCAUUGUGUUGUCUCUCAACCUUGAAAGAAUAUUGAGCUUGUGUUAAAAUUAGUAGUGACUUUGACCUACGAGUAAGAUCGUAAGCUUAUCAUAUAUUCCCCAUAGAUUGGGUCAUUGUUGAUAGAAGCUGGUAGUAAUAAGUAUUCUUAAUAGAGACACCAUGACAUCUCAUGGGAUUGAGACAAUGUAUCCCUUUGGGUAAUCCUAAGGAGGUGUGUUCAUGGAAAAUAUAGUCAUAGUAGUUCCUUGAGUGGAACUUGACAUAGGCUCUUUGAGAGCUAAGACAUGUCCGUUGAAUACACAAUAAAAGGAUUUGUAACUCAAGAUAGUAGAGAUAGUCUUGAAAGGCUGAUAGCUUUCACCUUGUUAGACUACGAAUACCAGUUCAUAGUAAGAUUGAACAUAAUGGAUAGCAGGUCAUAGACCUAAGCAUUUAAUGUCUCAAUGUUAUUUACAUAGGAUAUUGAAGUUCAGUUGAUUAUUUGUAGUGGGAUGUUGAAUCAACUUUAGAAUUGGAUUUUGAGGAUGUCAAUAAUCCUAUAAGUCAUAGUGGUCCCCACUCUAAGCUCAUAUACCUUGUUGGCACAAAUUAUGAGGGUCAAAUUAGCUUUAGGUUCACUUUUGUGCAUAAGGAUGUCUUGGUAAUUACGAAAGAUUGCACAAGGAUAAGUGAACAAGGUCUCUAGAUUGAGCUAAUUGAUUAAUUAGUAGGUCAUGUUAAGUUAAUUAAUCAAUUAUGACCUAUUUUGGGUUAGAUUAAGUGACCCAAGUCCAUGUGGGCUCAAGUCACAUAAACCCACUUAGGAACCCUAUAAAUACCCCCUAAGGUUUAGGGUUUCUAUAACUUUUGUUUUCCACCAUCUAGAGAGAAAGGGAGUCAUAGCCUUCACCUUCCUUUCUUCCAUGUCGGAAGUGUGCCAAGAACAAGGUUAAGUCAUUGGGUGAAAGAUUGUGGGUUUAUGAGACUUCUAACAACUUCAAGGUCGUCUUCAACACUUACAAUUUAAUGUUUGGGAACAUCCAAACCUAAAGGUUAGUACUUUAACCCUAAAAGAUCAUUUAAAAAAAAUGGUAUUACUUAUGUUGCUUAAAUCUAAGAUGCCAACACUAUGAUCAUUAUGGUUUUGUUUACCAUAUUUCCUCAUUGAGUUAGAUUUAGAGAAGGCUAGGAAUAGUUGCAUGCACCCUACAAGAUCUAGUGCCAGAGAACAAAGUAAUUCAAGGUUCCUAUCAUGCUCUUAUUUUAAGAAUUUAAUAUAUAGAAAUUCAGGAUAAGAAAUAUUAUGAUAGAACCCUUAAGAACAUGAUAUCAUGUAACAAAAUAAGAUUCAUUAAUAUAUUUAUUUUAUAAUUUCAGUUUCCACCUUAUUAUCCAUGAUUACAUUAUUACUUAUGUGAGUAUUUAGGCUUACAUCACUUGGAUUGCACAUGAAUUGAGUGCAUUAGAAGAUUGAUGGAAGAUUUAAGUCAUGGGUUUCUUACAAGUUGAUGAGUUGUUCAGUUCAUGAACUUAGGCAAUCCAUUAGAGAUAGUAGUACACUACCUCUUAAUUAAAGGCAUGACUUAUCUCAAUCAUCAACAUAGGUUUCCCAUGAUGAGUGCACUAGUGUGUAUGGUUACACAUUGGAUAGAACCUAUGAAGAAUCAUGACAUUGGAUAUCGUAUGGUUAUGACUUCACCAAGUUACAAUGUUGUAUGGACUAUUAACUUUGAGAGACUAUUGAUCUUACAUUAUGGUCUUCAAUGACUUAAACCUAUGAGUGAGACUCUAAGGUUGUCAUAUAUUGUUUACGAAUUGGGUUCCUAAUGUUUAAGGCAAGUGGUAACAGGUGUUCUCAAGGUAGACAUCAUGAUAUCUUAUGGGAUUAAGACAAUAUCCCUUAGGGUGAUCCUAAGGACUUGUGAUCAUGAAAUCUAUGGCCACAAUAAUUCCUUAAGUGAGAUUUAACAUAUGUCCUUUGUGUAUUAGAGCAUGUCAUUUGAUCACAAAAUAUGAGGAUUUGAGACUCAAAAAUUAUAGAAACAAUCAGCUACUACCUCAUUAGAUUAUGCACACUAGUUCAUAAGAAAUCUGUAUGCAAUGGAUUUAAUAAAUGUUAUCUUAAUAUAAUAUCAUAGGGUAUUGGAGUGAAAUUGACACUUUUUGGUGGAAUAUUGAGUUAACUUUAGAAUUGGAUUAUAAAGGAGUUAGUUUUUUCUAAUGUUUUUAAAACUGAACCAAACUGGCCGAUCCAACUUGUUGAACCAUCAACUGGAACUUGGUCUGAUUUGGUCCAACCUUUAGCCUAGAUUACAUAUUGAACCAGGCUUAAAUCAGAUGGACGGACGAUUGGACUGUUAAAUCGGUGAACCAAUCCUUCGGUUCUAGGUUGGCACACUUUUCUUUUCUAGCUAAAGGGUGGGUAGGAGCCCAACCCCCUUCAGCCUAUUUCAACGUACCUCAUAAGGCUAGUGGGCCAAGGACCACAUACAGCUACUGUGCGGUACAUGAGAUAGAGAAUUUAAAGGAGUGCUCAUCCUCCUCUGCUUCCACAACUUCUGAUGUAGGAUGAGAUAAAAAAAAAUCCAUAGAAUCUGCCACAACUUCUCAUGUGGGAUGAGAUAAAAUCCAUGGGCUAUAAUGCAAUUGGCAACUGACAGCUGGAUGAUUUGAACCAGUUUGUAGCUAAUAAUUAAUAUUUUAAAAUUGUAAACUAAAAAAAUCAAUAACACAAUUAUUUUAAAAUUGUUUUUGUAAUAAAAAUAUAAGUAAAAUAAUGUAACAUAAGAAAAAUAAAUUGCAAAUAAAAAGUUUUUUUGUAAUAACUAAUAUAUAAAAAAUAUAAGUAAAAUAAUGUAAUAUAGGUAAAAUAAAUUAUAAAUAAAAGAAUUUUCUUCUAUUGUAAUACAUAUUUUAUUUAUAAAAUUUAAUUAUUAAUAUGUUUAUAUUUACUCAUGAUUUAAGUUUGAUAAUAUUAAAGAUAUAAAAUAAAUACUAUUAUUUUUAAUAUAUAUAUAUAUAUAUAUAUAUAUAUAUAUAUAUAUAUAUAUAUAUAUAUUUAUUAAAAUUUUAUAAUUUAUUUUUAAUUUUAAUAAUAUAUAAAUUAAAUAUUUAUGACAUCACUGGUUCAUGAUUACAAAAAGUUCAUUACAACUCUAAAAAAGAUCCUAUAAUUAAAGUUGUUUUUUUUUUAUUGAUCAUGAGAAUGAACAUGAGGACAUUUUUAAUAUGGCUAGAUUUUAACACACAAGAAAAUCUAGAUGUGGUUGUAUCCAUGAUUUUACUUGGCUGUAUCCACAAAUUAAAAGAAUUUAAAUUUUAUUUAUGCCUUAUUUUUCGUGAAUGCAUUCCUAAUUGUUUAGAUAAGGGUUUAAAUUUCAUUACCUUUAUUUAAAUAUUAUGAACACGCUAGUUAGUUUAUAGGUCGUUUCUAGAAUAGCAUAAUUUACCCCGACGAGUAUAGAAAGAAGUUAUAAUAUAUGCAUUAUGUGAAUAUCAAUAGUCAUAUUUUGGUUGUUCACUUAUGAUCCCUGCUUUUCUCUACUUGUAAGUUGAGUAUAAGAAUAGCUCAUCCAAUGUGUUUCUAAAUACUCACACUCAAAUGUGGACUUAUUUUGAUUGUCUUUAGGAAUUUCUACUUAAAAGUGAUCAUAACCAUAUAUUAAAAUUUUAUAUAAUUUCAUUACUUUUUUAUUAAAUAUAUCAUAAACUUUUUGUCGAUUGGUUUUCAUAAUUAUCAUAUUGCAAACAAUCAAUAAAAGUUACUUCCACAUAUGAAAUCAUAUAUUAACAAAAUAUAAAAAUACUUAAAUCAUCUUUCCAAAAUAUUCAAAUAAUAAGGUGACUAAAGAAUUUAAAUAUACUUAUAAUUCACACAAAGAUGUAUACAUCCAUUACUUGUGAAUUAAAGAAUGAAUUCCAUAAAGGUUUUAAUCAAGCAAAAUCAAUACCAUAAUUUUGUCUUUAACUCGCAAUAGAUAGGGACAUAUACCACUCUCAAAACAUUUAAAAUGAAAAUUUUGAAAUCAAGAUGUUCUUCUCCUUUUGAAUUUGAUUGUUCGUUCUUAAUUUGACAUUCUCUUUCCCUUUGAGAUUUAAAUAAAAAAAACAAAAAAAUGGAGUAGCAAAUUAAAAAGUGUGUCAAUUCAACUCGAUAAGAGUCUAAUCAAAAUUGAAAAUUUCCUUGUACCGUCUAACUAGCCUGAAUAAAUAAGGAUGUAUGGGUUGAUCAAUCUAGUUUUGGGCCUUUCAAUAAUCAUAUCAAAUUUUCAUGUUCAAUUGCUUGAGAUAUUCCACUUGGAUAUCAAACAAACUCGGGGUUAAGACAUUAAAUUAUGUAAUUUUCUAUAAUGAGCUAGUUUCACAAAAUGUUUAAUGCUUCAAAAGUAAUAACUUAUGAACUAAAGAAUCAAUCCCAACAUUAGCUUUAGUUAAGAAAUGCAAUGCCAUAAUUUUAUAUUUUUGCUUAUUUGAAAUACAUAGGAACAAAUACCAACAUGCAUCUUAAAGUAUUCCAAAACAAGAUACUUGUAAUUGAAAUGUUCUUUCCCACCUAAUUUGAUUGCUCAUUCUAGCUCGGAGAUUCUCUCUUUACACCAAGAAUUAUGUAUAGUACAAAAACAUGAGUUCAAAUUGGCAUGACUUUAAUCGAAAUUUAGAAAUUGGUUUGAAGUAUUUGACUUGCCUUGAUUAAUAAGGAUAACCAUAGCUUAACCGAUAGAGGUUGGACAUUUGACAUUAUGUAUUUAGCAGCUUGGAAUAUCCCAUCAAAGCUUGAUGCGCACCAACUUAUCCAACAAAAUGUUUGAUCUUCAAAAAAGUUAACAAUGCAAUCAAGCUUGUCCUUAAAAUGACCUAAAAUAGGUCCCAAUAAAAAUGGUUUUUGAAUACCCCUUGAAAUCACCAAGGCAUAUAGAAUAGAAACUAAGAGAAAAGGAAGGUGGCUUACCAAAAAGUAGAGAUAAAUGUUUGGUCAACAUCAACAAUUCUGUUACUUGAAAUUAGUGUCUUGUACAGCAUAUCCAAUGAACAAAUUUGCAAAGAAGCUCCAGCCACCUGUGCAUAUGGUCCAUUUCAUGGUCUUGGGCAUCAACACCAAUACCAUCAAUCAGGGUGGUGCCAUCACAGUGUCUCUCCAGAUCAGUAUUCGUAUCUUCUACAGUUGAUCUCGUGUCACAGCUUCUCUGAGAAUGAGUACCAUUGGUAUCUUGUACAGCUGAUCUAUGGCCACCCAAAUCCACAUGAGAAGAACUGCUACCUUGUACCAUUGUGAGAUUGUUCUGUUCAUAAUCGUGGGCAUAUAGAAAGUGGAAGCCACACCUCGCCGCUUUCACUGGUUUAAUACCAAAGUAGACAUUAAAUGAAGCGUUCAAGGUUCUCCAUUCAUUUGAGUGAAAUUUCUCGGGAAUAUCCGACUUAGAAUAAUAUACCAACAACCCUUGAUUUGAUGCAUCUUCAUAAUAGCAGCAUUCACAAAUUUGUUCCAAUCGCAGAUCAUCAAAGAGAAAAGAAUCACUAUCAUCACCGAAAUUCAAUAUACAGCUGAAAAUCCUAUGUGUUUUGGUCUCAAUCUCAAGUGGAACAUAAAGAGAGCACAGAACAAAGCCCAAGAAGUCAUCGUUUUCAUACCAACUCCAAGGAAGUUUCAUUGUUAUUUUGAACCCGCUUUUCUGAUGGCUUAUCCACUCCGGAAUCCCAUUACUUUCAGCAAAAAAAGUUCUGACACUUCUUCUAAAUUCACGCCCCUGCACAAAAAUUACCCUCUGAAUUUUGUCUAUAGAAAAAGAAAGGUUAAAUGAUAUAUGAAAACCAUACCUGAAUUUUGAAUUUAAAACAUUUGAAUAAAGAAGACCAGAGUAGAUUUGAUUGACUGGAUAAAUUUUCCAAGGAUGUACAGUGAUGGGCAUCUAGACACCUUAAACGUGAUGGAAGUUCUGGAAUAUGUUGAAGCAUCUUGCAGUGACUCAAGUCAAGAUGUUUUAGGUUGUAAAGUUGACUGAUCCCAUCAGGUAUGCGACUAAAGUGGUUGCCCCCCAGACAUAAUAUUACCAGUGAUGAUAGGUAACAAAUUUCACUGGGAAUUUCCCUUAUAUUGCAGGCUUGAAGCUCUAAUUGCCUCAAGGAGCAUAAACCGGACAAAGAAGGCAAUUGAAAAUUCAUUGAAUCUAAAGGCCCAACACUAAGAUGAAGUAAAGAUUGUAGUCUCCCCAAGUUGUCUGGCAAUUUCUUGAAGCUAGGACAGCUUUCGACAAUGAGAAAUUUCAAAGAUGUCAAAUUACAAAUACUCUCGGGAAGAUUCACAAGGUUUUUGCAGUUUGACAGAAGCAAAUAUUGAAGCCCUCUUAGACGUUGAAUUGAUGAUGGUAUCUCUUUUAUGGCGGUUCCACUUAAAGAAAGCUUUCUCAAGCUCUCCAUAUCUUGCAGGAUUUCUGGAAUGCUCUCUAGUUGUGAACAGCCAGAGCAGGAGAGAGUUGCAAGGGAUUUGAAACCAAAAAUGCUACUGGGCAGACUCGUAAGAUUUUUGCAAUCCCGCAGACAUAAGCUAUCAAGUUCCAAGGGAUUCCCGAUAAUGGGUACUUCAUUCAUAUCACUGCCCUUAAAACAGCACUUCCGUCGAAGCGUCCCAUCCUGUCGGCAUGCUCUGCAUAUUCUAACAUCUGCAUCCUCGUGGCUUUGUUGAAGGUCUUGGGAGUAUAUUAGGCGGACUCCACACUCCUUCACUUUCAAGGCUUUUUCAGAAUAAAUGUGAAAUCGAGCCAAAAUAUCAGUCAAUUGAUAAGAGUGAAACAUUUCCGGAAUAGCCGCCUUGGAAUAGCAAACCACCCACGUUUGACCUGAUACACUCUCAUUAUCUUCGCCCUUGUCUUCUUUAUAGCAAAAACAAGUGGAUUGAAAGCCGGGACGAUCUACAAAUUGAAAAUCAAAACUAUCACCAAGAGCACCCAGAAAACACUCCAGACGACAAGAAUGUGUAUGUUUAUGUUCAUUCUUAUGAAAAGAUUCAGCCACAGAUUUAUCAUCUCUUUCAUUCUCCCAUGAAUGAGUAGAUUCAUCCUCAGAUUUAUUGUCUGAUUCAUUCUCGGGCCCAUGUGCAGAUUCCUUUUCGGGUAUGUCCUCAGAUUCAUCAGAGAGUGGAACAUAAACACAGCAUAUAGCAAAUCCCAAAAACUCAUUAUUUUGGUGCCAAUUCUGAGGGAGCUCUAUUACGCUAGAAAAAUUAUCUCCCCGAUUCAAUAUCCAUUCGGGAAUUCCAUCACUUCCGGGAAGAACAAUACAAGUUCCCUUGCCAUGGUAGGAAGAAUCCCUAAAACUAGUGUGCUUCCAAUCCUGCACCAAAGCACCAUGUAAAUAUAGAGUCUGCAUAAAACUAGUGUGUGACAUCAAAAUCAUACCUGCGCCCAACGGAAGCAAUUGACCAGAGAAUGCAAUGGCAAAAACGGGGCUCUUGAUGAAGUGCGAUUUGAACCGUGUGCAUCUAAAAGCCGUAGACAUGAUGGAAGCUCUGUAAUUUGUUCAAGAUUGUUGCAGUGACUAAGGUUAAGGACUUCCAAGCUGGAAAGCUGAUUGAUGGUAGUGGGUAUGCUACUAAAAUGGCCCCGUUCCAGAUUUAGUUUCUGUAAUGAUGAUAAAUGGCAAAUAUCACUAGGAAUUCCUCCUUCCAUUAUGUUGCAGUGACCUAGGUCCAAUACUUCCAAUGAUGAUAAGUGGCAAAUAUGAAUAGGGAUUUUGUGGAGCUUUGAACACUCUUGAAGUAGGAGAGUUUGAAGACCAUUUAGAUGUGUAAUUGAUGAUGGUAAGUCCAUUAUAGCUGUUCCACUCAAAUCAAGUACCCUUAGCUUUCUCAUAUUGCCCUUGAUUUCUGGAAAUCUCUCUAGCUUUGAACAGCCAUUGCAAGACAAAAUUUGAAGGUGUUUCAACUUGUAAAUGUUUCUUGGAAGAAGCUCCAAGUUUACACACCCUGCCAGAUUAAAGGGGGAAAAAAAAAACAAAGUUAGUUUUGGUAGUUUUAAUACUGCUGCACCAAUCUUUUAAGUACCAUGCAUUGUACAACCUAUUAGAAUUAGAAUCUCUAAGUUUGGCACACUUGAGAAGUCUGGGAUUCCGAUGAGAUGGAAAGAGUAACUGAGAUCAAUAACCCUCAACUUGUCAUGAAGCUGUAACAGAACAAUUUUUUUCAAUAGAUGAAUUUACAUAAACGUUAAAAAUGAAUAUAAAAUUAAACUGUAACUAAUUAAUAAUAACAAUACCUUAUUCCCUCUCCAAACUUGCUUUAUAUUGCUGCCUCUUAAUACGAGUUGAACAAGGUUCUUUGCGUGAAAAUUCAUUGGCAAAGAUUCUAAAGGGUAUCCAUCCCAAUGCAGAUAUGUUAACUCAUAAGAAGAGAAUUCAAAGUCCCUUGGAAGAUGGUCUUUAAGAAAUAGCUGGUCUUCACGAGGGUUAUGGAUAUUAAGCAGUCUAAGUCUAUUCAUCUCUUUGAAAGAUUCUGUAGUAAUCUGUAAUGGAUUAAAUUUACAUCUAUCUAAGAAUAGUCCUUCAAUUGCUCGUGUCCCCUGAAAAAUAUAAGACGAGUAGGUGAAACAAAAGAUGCAUUCGACUUAAUUGAGUUAUACACACGACUAAUUUCUGAAAAAAUAAUAAUAGUAUUGAAGCUUGCAUACACACAUAUAAACAAGAUUAUGCAUUUGACUCUUACUUUAUUUCUUAUUAGCACAUCAUUGGCAUUAGAAUCCCACAAUCUACUCCUUCUUCCAGGGUCUUCAGGGCAUUCUUGACGAAUAAUCUCCCAACCCAUUUGUUGUAUUAAAUCAUGCAUAUCUAGCAUGUUUUUUGAAACAGUUAUGAGACAUCUAUCAUCUAGAGUUGUUAUUGCAUGCUCUGCAUGAGGGCCCAAUAUUCUUGAAACAAAAUCUCUAUCAUCUCCUUUGAAAAAGCAUGCAAUAUCCAAAAAUAUCCCCUUUUCUAUAUCAUCAAGUCCAUCAAAACUUAUUCUAAGUACAUUGUGAAUUUCCAUGUGGGGUAUUAUUUUUAGCUUACACAGUGCACUUUCCCAAUUACUUAUUUUCUUUCCAAAAAGAGAAGCACCUAAAACUUUAAGUGCUAACGGAAGGCCAUCAGCAUAAUCUAUGAUAUUGUAUGAGAGGUUUUUAUAAACUUCUUGGGGACGAUUUUGUUUAAAGGCCCACAAACUAAAGAGCUCAAUAGCUUCUUCCUUGUUUAAUUUUGAAACCUCAUAUGGUAUAUCCACUCCAUAUUGAGCAAGCACGUGUUUGUCUCUAGAUGUAAUGAUGAUUGUACUUUUUGCAUGAAACCAAUCUUUCUCUUCAGCCAAAUAUUCUAGUUGUUUCAACUCAUCCACAUCAUCAAAAAUAACAAGAACUCUAUUGGACCUUAGACACCUCUUUAUCAUACUAUUUCCUUCAUUAACAUUGUUUAUUUUAAAAAAUUUUCCCCUUAGGAUACCAUGAAGAAGUUCUUGCUGUAACUGAAGUAUAUCACCUUUGGAUCUCUCUUUGAUAUUUAUAAGAAAGCUACUACCAUCAUAUUGAUGUGAGAUCUCAUUAUAAAUAGCCUUGGCGAUAGUAGUCUUGCCAACCCCACCAAUUCCAUAUAUCCCUAUGACGCUAACCAUAUUUAACUCAGUGUUCAUCAACGAUUUCAAUUUUUCCAAAUGAACACCAAUUCCAACUAUGCUCUUUCCCACACUUAAAGGUUGAUGGUUUAAUCUUCUAAUGAUUGUAUCAACAAUUUCCUUGACAACCUCAGUCUCAUACCUGCCAAUCAUAUAAAUUAAGUAAAAUGAUGAGUUAGAAUGAGUUGCAAAAUAUAAUAAAUUUAGUCGUGUAUGGCCAUGCCCAAUAUUAUUGAAUUAGUAGCAAUGGAAUGAAAAAGAAAGGGGUCAAGCCAAUUUACUUACAUAUUUAAGCUUCAAAAUUUGUAAGUAUCAAACUACUAAUGUGCCAAGUUGCAAAUUUUCAGUACUCUUACUGUUAGAGCAAUGUGUAGGACUCCUCUAUGAACAAGCUAAUGCCUUCUUUCAACUUUUAUUUCACAAACAACUUGCUUAUGAUUCCUCAAUUUCACUUGUCUUUAGGUUUUAUUAACUUACCAAUGUUGCAAAGACUCUGUUUUUAGCCUGCCAAUUAAUUUUGCAUUUCCAUAGAGGAAUCAGGAAACGAGUGAAUGUGGAGAAUUUCAUGAUUUGCUUCUUGAUUGGGACCUUAAAUAUGAUUUGCUUUAGAGAAAAUUAUAGAAAUGAAAGUUAGAUUUUGUUAACAAUUUCAUACUUACUGGUCAUUCACAUGGCAUCCAGAUAGAUUAGCUGCUUCUCUCAAGGCAAUCCUCCACUUUUGUAUCAUCUCCUUCUUUUCUUGAUUUGCAUCUCUUUCAUGGUAGGCAAGUGCGUCUCCGAAACUUCCCCUUUGGUUUCGUACAUCAGAUGGAUCCACAUGGUAGAAAAUUGGUAGAACCAUUGAUUCCUUUUGGCUCUUGCGUUCAAUGAUCUUUACGAGUUCAUUUAAACACCAUCUGGAGUAAGCAUAAUUUUUUGAGAAAAUAAUAAUAAAAAACCUCGAUUCUUCUAUAGCUCUCAAGAGAUCAGAUGCAAUAUCUCCUCCUUUCUCAAGUUCUUCAUCAUCUCUGAAAGUUUGAAUUCCAGAUGCAGUCAAUGUGGUAUAUAGAUGAUCAGUGAAAUUUUUGCGAGUAUCGCCACCUCUAAAACUCAAGAACACAUCAUAAUUACGAGAAAUAGAAGUAGUCGAAGAAGAGGCUCUAUGGGUGCUGGAAGAAGCCAUUUUUGGAUGGCUUGAACCAAAAUUACAAGGGAGUUUGGAGGGUCCUUGGAUGCUCAAUGACUAUUGGCUCCAGACCUCUUCACCAUGAACAAAAAUCCAAGCUGGGAGGGAGGUUCAGCUGAAAAGCUUCAUCUGCAGUCGUAAAAGAAAAGAAAAACAUAUAUAAAGCCCUCUUUGAGAAAUUUCUUCGUAUAUAGAUUCUAAGAGAAACACAUAUUUUACCUUUUGGUUGGGGAAGAUCCUUUCUCCAUUCCCUUUGUGUUGGAGACUGCAUUAAGGGAUGCAGAGAAGAUGGUGGGGAAGGUGUUGAAGAAGAGGCGGUGGGUAGCAGAGGUCUCGUUGACUGGGUGGAUGGAAUCGAGGUAAGGAAUUCUAAUAUUUUGAAAUGAAAUUUCAUGGAAGGUGUUGUUUUCAGUUUUUGUUUCCACAAAUAUUUGUGCGCGGCACCUAUGAUGAUGAGAAAUCCCUAAUUAAGACUAAGUAAUAUUGCUUUCCUUUUUAAUUAAUCAUUUAUACUUAAUUUUUUUCCGUCAACUUAAGUAUUUUGAUAAUAUUAUUUGUUAUAGAUAUUGAUGGGAAAAUUCUAUCAUCUUUCUAAGAGAUUUAUUAGAUUCUUGUUGGAAAUCCACGUCAAAGUAGAGCUCUGUGACUUUCACAUUAAAAAAUAGUUGGAUUGAUGUAGAAAAGGCAAACCUUCCCUCCACACCCAAAUGUAAUAUUUCAUUAUUUUUUGUAAUUUUAUUUUUCUCUCUAGUUCCUAUAUUUGUACAACUUCAUCCUUCUUUAAUUUAGUUCCUUUUCUUUGUAAUAUUUAUUUUGAUAUUUUUACAAUUUAAAUUUAUGAAAUAUCUUUAUUUAAUAAUUUUUAUAAAAAAUAUUAAGUUUUUAUAGAUAUAUCAAUAUAUAGGUUUUAUAUAUAUAUUGGGAUAUAUAAGGAAAUAUCGGUGGAUAUUCUAACACAAAAUAUCGAUAAAAUGGAAAUUGAUAAAAAAUCAUAGAAAUAUUUAAAAUAAUUAAAAAAAUAAAUAUUAGAAAUAAUAAUAAACAUUUUGAUAUUGUUUUUGUUAAAAAAAAAUCGAUAUAUGUAUGAUAUAAUUUAUAACAUUCAAAAAUAAUAAUUAAAAUUUUUAAAAAAAUUAUAUAAAUAUAUCUAAUUUGGAUGUAUUUAAUGACAUUAAAAAAUUAUGAUAAAAGUAUUAGUACUUUUAUUUUAAAAUAUUGACAAUUUUAUUUAUAAAUUUAUAUAUGGUUAUUUUAUAUUUAUUUAUUAUACCAAACAUAUGAUAAUUAAAAUUUGUUCAUUUAUAUAUAUAUACAAAAAAACAUAUAUUAAUUUAUGCAUAUGUAACAUAAUUUAUAAUAUAUCUAUAUAUAUAUAUAUAUAUAUAUAUAUAUAUAUAAAAGAGAAUCUUAAUAUAAUAUACAUAAAUAAACAUUGUAUAAGUCAUGCAUUACAUUAUAAUAUUAACAAAGUUAGGUCGGUGGCGUGCUGCGCUCACGCAAUGCCUGAGGUCAUGGGUUCUCAAACCCAUCCUUCCACUAACGAUUUAAAUCUCUUUUUUAAAGGUAAGGGGUGGAAUCCCACAUCGACCAGCCACAGCACUCAAAGUUUAAAUCUUUUUUUAACGGUAAGAGGUGGUAUCCCACAUCGGCCGGCCACAGCACUUAAAAAACCUGCUCAUAGACCCUUCAGCCGAUGUAGACGGAAUAUUUUCCAAAAAGGCUGAUGUCUCUCCGAGCCGAGAUAUCCACCUGCUGUAUCGUGUCGGAUGUUACGGACAGAAGAAAUAGUUCCAGCUACUUUCAUCUUGAUCAUAUCUUCAUAAUUGAUUAUUCAUUUUGAUGUUUUACUUCUAAUAUACCUGACAUUUUAGUUUGGUGUUUCGCUUAGGCUUUGAUUAUGGAACUAUUUCUUAUAGUUAUUGGUAGGAAAUUUCCAAUGGUCUUCCAAAUAGGCUAUUUACAAAAGAUUGAAAAAUUGAAAAACCUCAAUGUCCUUUCACAUUUGAAGAUAGUGAAAUUCAUAUAAAAACAAUCAAUACUACAAAAAUUUGUAUGAAGAUAAUGCUAUUUAAAGAAGGUUAAUAGACCUUGAUGUCCUUUUAUAUUGAAAGAUAGUGAAAUUCUAUAUAAAAUAUUGAUAAUAAUAACCAACGCUACAAAAGUUUGUAUGAAGGCAGAGACCAUUUACAAAAGGUCAAUAGACCUCAAUGUGCUUUCACAUUGAAAGAUAAUGAAAUUCACAUAAAAAUAAUAAUAAUAUUAACUAAUGCUAUAAAAAUUUGUAUGAAGACAAACUAUUUACAAAUGCUCAAUAGACCUUAAUGUCCUUUUAUAUUGAGAGAUAGUGAAAUUUAUAUAAAAAUAUAUAUAGCCAAUGCUACAAAAGAUUGUAUAAAGGCAAACUAUUUAUAAAAGGUUAAUAGACUUUAAUGUCCUUUUAUAUUGAGAGAUAGUGAAAUUUAUAUAAAAAUAUAGCCAAUGCUACAAAAGUUUGUAUAAAGGCAAACUAUUUAUAAAAGGUUAAUAGACUUUAAUGUCCUUUUAUAUUGAAAGAUAGUGAAAUUCAUAUAUACAUAUAUAUAAUAAUAAUAAUAACCAACACUACAAAAGUUUGUAUGACAGCAAACCAUUUACAAAACCUUAAUAGACCUCAAUGUCCUUUCACAUUGAUAGAUUGUGAAAUUCACAUUAAAAAAAAAAAAAAAAAACCAAGCAUAUAUAUAUAUAUAUAUAUAUAUAUAUAUAUAUAUAUAUAUAUAUAUAUAUAUAUAUAUAUAUAUAUAUAUAUAUGGUAAUGUGAUAUUUCAUCUUAAUUCCUCUUUUAUUUUCAUCUCUUGGUAUUGAAUAAUAUAUUCUUCAUUUCUACAACUCUUUCUUUUUUCUUAACUUUCUUUUUUUUUUUUUUUGUACUCAGUACCAAUGGGUUCAUUUGACAUUCAUUCAAGAUCCUCCUUGUUUUGUUCUCAAAUGAUUCAAAAAAAAUGAUACCAUAUAAGGAAUUUCUUAAAUAGAUGCUUGUAAAAAUUAUAUAAAAUUUAUUAAAAAAAAUUAAAAAUCAAAGAAAUAUCACUCCUUUUCUUUAAUUUUUAUCCUUUAAUCAUUGGUGCAAAAUGAUAAAAGUGCAAUUAUGCUUUAUUUGGUACUAAUAAGAAUUUCAAAAUCUCUUCACCUCAAGAUAUUGAAGUUUAGGUAAGAAAAUAGAUGGAUAAAAGUAUGACAUAAAACUUUUUUUCCCCAUUUGGAAGGUGUUUGUAGUUAAAGUAAAUAUAUAUAUAUAUAUAUCAAGUGGCAUAACAAAAAACAUAGGAUUUCCAAAAAGAACUUAAAAUGCAUUCAUCAUGCAUGUAGCUUGUCCACCAUAUUUCUUCAAAUAAUAUUAUUAUGGUUUGUUUGCACUAUAUUUAUUAACAUAAAAUUUUAAUCAGAGAAAUGCCAAAAAAAAAAAAAACUCAUUUUGAUCAUAUCUUCAUAAUUGAUUAUUCAUUUUGAUGUUUUACUUCUAAUAUACCUGACAUUUUAGUUUGGUGUUUCGCUUAGGCUUUGAUUAUGGAACUAUUUCUUAUAAUUAUUGGUAGGAAAUUUCCAAUGGUCUUCCAAAUAGGCUAUUUACAAAAGAUUGAAAAACCUCAAUGUCCUUUCACAUUUGAAGAUAGUGAAAUUCAUAUAAAAACAAUCAAUACUACAAAAAUUUGUAUGAAGAUAAUGCUAUUUACAAAAGGUUAAUAGACCCUUGAUGUCCUUUUAUAUUGAAAGAUAGUGAAAUUCUAUAUAAAAUAUUAAUAAUAAUAACCAACGCUACAAAAAUUUGUAUGAAGGCAGAGACCAUUUACAAAAGGUCAAUAGACCUCAAUGUGCUUUCACAUUGAAAGAUAGUGAAAUACACAAAAAUAAUAAUAAUAAUAAAUAAUGCUAUAAAAAUUUGUAUGAAGACAAACUAUUUACAAAAGGUCAAUAGACCUCAAUGUCCUUUUAUAUUGAGAGAUAGUGAAAUUUAUAUAAAAAAAACAACCAAUGCUACAAAAGUUUGUAUGAAAGCAAACUAUUUAUAAAAGGUUAAUAGACCUUAAUGUCCUUUUAUAUUAAAAGAUAGUGAAAUUCAUAUAUAUAUAAAUAAUAAUAAUAACCAAUGCUACAAAAGUUUGUAUGAAGGCAAACCAUUUACAAAAGGUUAAUAGACCUCAAUGUCCUUUCACAUUGAAAGAUAGUGAAAUUCACAUCAAAAAAAGAAAAAGAAAAAACCAAGCAUAUAUAUAUAUAGUAAUGUGAUAUUUUAUCUUAAUUCCUCUUUUAUUUUCAUCUUUUGGUAUUGAAUUAUAUAUUCUUCAUUUCUACAACCCUUUCUUUUUUCUUAACUAUUAUUAUUAUUAUUAUUAUUUUGUACUUAGUAACAAUGGGUUCAUUUGACAUUCAUUCAAGAUCCUCCUUGUUUGUUCUCAAAUGAUUCAAAAAAAUGAUAUCAUAUAAGGAAUUUCUUAAAUAGAUGCUUGUAAAAUUAAAAAAACAAAGAAAUAUCAUCUCCUUUUCUUUAAUUUUUAUCCUUCAAUCAUUGGUGCAAAAUGAUAAAAGUGCAAUUAUGCUUUAUUUGGUACUAAUAAGAAUAUCAAAUUUUCUUCACCUCAAGAUAUUGAAGUCUAGCUAAGAAAAUAGAUGGAUAAAAGUAUGACAUAAAACUUUUUUUUUCCCAUUUGGAAGGUGUUUAUAUAUAUAUAUAUAUAUAUAUAUCAAGUGGCAUAACAAAAACAUAGGAUUUCCAAAAAGAACUUAAAAUGCAUUCAUCAUGCAUGUAGAUUGUCUACUGUAUUUCUUCAAAUAAUAUUAUUAUGAAUUUGUUUGUACUAUAUUUAUUAACAUAAAAUUUUAAUAAGAGAAAUACCAAAAGAACUGAAAAAGAUGAAAGCAAAUGUAGAAAAAAAAUUAAAUUAAUUCAUAAGAUAAAACAUACUAAGCAAACAAUUUCUAGGGGAGAAAAUUUUGAAAUUUUUAGUAAAAUUAGAAGUAUAUAAUAACAACAUAUUAAAGACUAGUUGCAUAUUUAUUCUAUGAAAUCAUUUCAAUUCAUGACAAAAUGAUAGUCAAAUGAAAAGAAGUUUGAAUGAGAUUUUAAGAUUAUUGAUAUGUUAAUACAUUAAACUNNNNNNNNNNNNNNNNNNNNNNNNNNNNNNNNNNNNNNNNNNNNNNNNNNNNNNNNNNNNNNNNNNNNNNNNNNNNNNNNNNNNNNNNNNNNNNNNNNNNNNNNNNNNNNNNNNNNNNNNNNNNNNNNNNNNNNNNNNNNNNNNNNNNNNNNNNNNNNNNNNNNNNNNNNNNNNNNNNNNNNNNNNNNNNNNNNNNNNNNNNNNNNNNNNNNNNNNNNNNNNNNNNNNNNNNNNNNNNNNNNNNNNNNNNNNNNNNNNNNNNNNNNNNNNNNNNNNNNNNNNNNNNNNNNNNNNNNNNNNNNNNNNNNNNNNNNNNNNNNNNNNNNNNNNNNNNNNNNNNNNNNNNNNNNNNNNNNNNNNNNNNNNNNNNNNNNNNNNNNNNNNNNNNNNNNNNNNNNNNNNNNNNNNNNNNNNNNNNNNNNNNNNNNNNNNNNNNNNNNNNNNNNNNNNNNNNNNNNNNNNNNNNNNNNNNNNNNNNNNNNNNNNNNNNNNNNNNNNNNNNNNNNNNNNNNNNNNNNNNNNNNNNNNNNNNNNNNNNNNNNNNNNNNNNNNNNNNNNNNNNNNNNNNNNNNNNNNNNNNNNNNNNNNNNNNNNNNNNNNNNNNNNNNNNNNNNNNNNNNNNNNNNNNNNNNNNNNNNNNNNNNNNNNNNNNNNNNNNNNNNNNNNNNNNNNNNNNNNNNNNNNNNNNNNNNNNNNNNNNNNNNNNNNNNNNNNNNNNNNNNNNNNNNNNNNNNNNNNNNNNNNNNNNNNNNNNNNNNNNNNNNNNNNNNNNNNNNNNNNNNNNNNNNNNNNNNNNNNNNNNNNNNNNNNNNNNNNNNNNNNNNNNNNNNNNNNNNNNNNNNNNNNNNNNNNNNNNNNNNNNNNNNNNNNNNNNNNNNNNNNNNNNNNNNNNNNNNNNNNNNNNNNNNNNNNNNNNNNNNNNNNNNNNNNNCCUUUUUGACACUAAUUAGUAGUCUCACAUACAUGGAAUGCUCCCUACUAGAUCAUAUAUCCACAUCAAAAGUUAGAUUCAUUAAUCAUAGAAAGAAAAUUAGUAGCCUCACAUAACACUUAAAACAUUGUGAAAAGGUGAAUCUCAAUGAUGGACUACACCUAGAGGGGGGAGGAGGGGGGUGAAUAGGUGUUGUAGAACAAUUUAAAAAUUCUCCCAACAAAGAUUACCUAACCUUAGACUAUCUCAAUGUUAAGAAACUUCUCUUCCAACAACUUUUCAACAAAGCAUAACAUCCACAAGCAAGAGUGAAUGCAUCAACACUCUCCCAACAAUUUAUAAAUGCAAAACACAUGCAAAUGCUUCAACACUCAAAAAUAAAUCAAAAGAACAAUCAUCUCCUCAACUCAUAUCAAUUGACUCCAUGAUAUCAUUAAACAAAAUGAACAGAAAAAAUAUUAAAGAUAUUCCAUGGAUCAUCACACUUAUAUCACCUCAUAUUUCUUCCAUUCAAUAUGUAUGCCCAAGUAAUCAAUGAUAUCAAAAACAGAAAAUAAAUCAAAGUGUAGAGUGAGAGAAAUAGACAAUGAACACCAGAUUUUUAAUGUGAAAAACCUCUAAAGAGAUAAAAAAAAAACUACAGACCUAUCACCAAUUGAAAACUCCAUUAUGAAGAAUAAAAGUUGAGUGCAAGGUUUUACCUAGCUCAAGCCAACCAAUCCUUCCCAGACUACUUGACUAGUACCUUCACUUUCAGCUUCUCACCUUCUUCUUUCGGAGCACACUUGGAGUCCGCACCAAGCUCAAUCACGACCUCUUCUUGAAUCCACACAAGAAGAAAAUGGGUUUUUGCACAAACCCAAAUAGAAUAAGAGAUUGAGAUAUGAAUGAAGGAAUGAAUCAACCCAUUUAUUGCUCAAGAAAAUCCAUUAAAAACUAGUUUGGAAAACAUUAAGAGAAGUGGAUUUUCUUUGCAAUCAAAAACCCCAAAUUAGGAAAACAAGAUGAGAAAAUGAAGAACACAUGGAGUGGAUACUCUCUUCACGUUUUCUGCAGUCCUUGCCUAAAAAAAUGAGAGAAGAUUGUUUUUUUAAAAUAUAAAAAGAAGCCCUUAAUCUAAUGGCUAAUAUUUGAUCUAAAAAAAAUUAGUUGGAUCGAUCCACCCCUGCACCUAGAUUGAUCCAGAAAUAGGGGAAUAAAAGUCUUGCACCAAAAACAUUUCUCCCAACUUUCUAACAUAUUUAAAUAUAAAANNNNNNNNNNNNNNNNNNNNNNNNNNNNNNNNNNNNNNNNNNNNNNNNNNNNNNNNNNNNNNNNNNNNNNNNNNNNNNNNNNNNNNNNNNNNNNNNNNNNNNNNNNNNNNNNNNNNNNNNNNNNNNNNNNNNNNNNNNNNNNNNNNNNNNNNNNNNNNNNNNNNNNNNNNNNNNNNNNNNNNNNNNNNNNNNNNNNNNNNNNNNNNNNNNNNNNNNNNNNNNNNNNNNNNNNNNNNNNNNNNNNNNNNNNNNNNNNNNNNNNNNNNNNNNNNNNNNNNNNNNNNNNNNNNNNNNNNNNNNNNNNNNNNNNNNNNNNNNNNNNNNNNNNNNNNNNNNNNNNNNNNNNNNNNNNNNNNNNNNNNNNNNNNNNNNNNNNNNNNNNNNNNNNNNNNNNNNNNNNNNNNNNNNNNNNNNNNNNNNNNNNNNNNNNNNNNNNNNNNNNNNNNNNNNNNNNNNNNNNNNNNNNNNNNNNNNNNNNNNNNNNNNNNNNNNNNNNNNNNNNNNNNNNNNNNNNNNNNNNNNNNNNNNNNNNNNNNNNNNNNNNNNNNNNNNNNNNNNNNNNNNNNNNNNNNNNNNNNNNNNNNNNNNNNNNNNNNNNNNNNNNNNNNNNNNNNNNNNNNNNNNNNNNNNNNNNNNNNNNNNNNNNNNNNNNNNNNNNNNNNNNNNNNNNNNNNNNNNNNNNNNNNNNNNNNNNNNNNNNNNNNNNNNNNNNNNNNNNNNNNNNNNNNNNNNNNNNNNNNNNNNNNNNNNNNNNNNNNNNNNNNNNNNNNNNNNNNNNNNNNNNNNNNNNNNNNNNNNNNNNNNNNNNNNNNNNNNNNNNNNNNNNNNNNNNNNNNNNNNNNNNNNNNNNNNNNNNNNNNNNNNNNNNNNNNNNNNNNNNNNNNNNNNNNNNNNNNNNNNNNNNNNNNNNNNNNNNNNNNNNNNNNNNNNNNNNNNNNNNNNNNNNNNNNNNNNNNNNNNNNNNNNNNNNNNNNNNNNNNNNNNNNNNNNNNNNNNNNNNNNNNNNNNNNNNNNNNNNNNNNNNNNNNNNNNNNNNNNNNNNNNNNNNNNNNNNNNNNNNNNNNNNNNNNNNNNNNNNNNNNNNNNNNNNNNNNNNNNNNNNNNNNNNNNNNNNNNNNNNNNNNNNNNNNNNNNNNNNNNNNNNNNNNNNNNNNNNNNNNNNNNNNNNNNNNNNNNNNNNNNNNNNNNNNNNNNNNNNNNNNNNNNNNNNNNNNNNNNNNNNNNNNNNNNNNNNNNNNNNNNNNNNNNNNNNNNNNNNNNNNNNNNNNNNNNNNNNNNNNNNNNNNNNNNNNNNNNNNNNNNNNNNNNNNNNNNNNNNNNNNNNNNNNNNNNNNNNNNNNNNNNNNNNNNNNNNNNNNNNNNNNNNNNNNNNNNNNNNNNNNNNNNNNNNNNNNNNNNNNNNNNNNNNNNNNNNNNNNNNNNNNNNNNNNNNNNNNNNNNNNNNNNNNNNNNNNNNNNNNNNNNNNNNNNNNNNNNNNNNNNNNNNNNNNNNNNNNNNNNNNNNNNNNNNNNNNNNNNNNNNNNNNNNNNNNNNNNNNNNNNNNNNNNNNNNNNNNNNNNNNNNNNNNNNNNNNNNNNNNNNNNNNNNNNNNNNNNNNNNNNNNNNNNNNNNNNNNNNNNNNNNNNNNNNNNNNNNNNNNNNNNNNNNNNNNNNNNNNNNNNNNNNNNNNNNNNNNNNNNNNNNNNNNNNNNNNNNNNNNNNNNNNNNNNNNNNNNNNNNNNNNNNNNNNNNNNNNNNNNNNNNNNNNNNNNNNNNNNNNNNNNNNNNNNNNNNNNNNNNNNNNNNNNNNNNNNNNNNNNNNNNNNNNNNNNNNNNNNNNNNNNNNNNNNNNNNNNNNNNNNNNNNNNNNNNNNNNNNNNNNNNNNNNNNNNNNNNNNNNNNNNNNNNNNNNNNNNNNNNNNNNNNNNNNNNNNNNNNNNNNNNNNNNNNNNNNNNNNNNNNNNNNNNNNNNNNNNNNNNNNNNNNNNNNNNNNNNNNNNNNNNNNNNNNNNNNNNNNNNNNNNNNNNNNNNNNNNNNNNNNNNNNNNNNNNNNNNNNNNNNNNNNNNNNNNNNNNNNNNNNNNNNNNNNNNNNNNNNNNNNNNNUAGUUACAACAACCCAAGGAAGUUAGAACAACUGUAUAGUAGAGUAGAUUCAACUGGUAUAAAAACCAUGAUGUUGCUAUUAUAUUCAAGAGAUGAAAUGAAAAACACGGUUUUCAGUUCAGUUUCUAUCAUGGUAUCAGAGCAGAACGAGCUCUUGAAAGAAGUCUUCUUGAAAAGAUAAGCUUCAGGCUGCACAAUACGCUCAUCUCUCAAAAAACAAAAAAAAGAUUUAAAAAGUCUACAAAUUCUUUUCAUUUUAAUCAUAUGUAUUAAUGGGAGAUUUCAAUUUUAAAAAGUAUCAUGGCUAAUUUUUGGAUCACUUCAAUAAAUUUUUACAGAUAGCUAAUUAGAAAUUCACUAAUGAAUACUUUCACAAAUGACUGAAACCAAGAAAUGGGCUAUGAAAGCUAGAUGGAGAGCUUUCAUAUAUUUCAGUCUUGCAAAAGAUUCGGAAAUUAAAUCAUAAGAAUUGAUAAUAAAAACAAGAUUAGUGAGUUAAACCUACAUUUGAUUCUCCAAAAUUGAUCCAAAACCGAGCCAUGGCUCUCUCAUAUGCAUCUGUCGGCAGCAGUACAUUCUCUGGCCAUGUUUCUUCGAAUUAUUCGAGGAUUACAAGGGACUCGGCUACUGCUUUGUCACCAUGAAGAAGCACCAGAAUCUUCUUAUGAACUGGAUUGUGGUGUAACUGCAACUGGCCCUUGUUACCAAGGUCUUCCUCUAUAUACUCAUAGUUUAUGCCCUUGAGUUUUAGAGUCCAAAUCACUCCGUAACCAAAAGGGCUUGCCCAAAACUCUAAUAUCUUCACUCCUGCCAUUGUUUUCUAGUAUGCCAGCUCAAUUUGCAGGGCUAUUAGUUUCAAAUAUUUGAACUUGGAGGAAGAUGGGACCCUUCUCUUCAACUAAGGAUUUUCAGCUUGUGUAAGGAGGAUUAUUUUUCAUGGCAUGCCUAGUUUUAUGGACUUCUUUUAAAAGGCAGAUAUGAGAAUUUUUUUGAAGAUGACAUCAAUUGUUUUUAAAAGAAGAAAGGAAAACAUUUAAAAGGAAUAAAGAUAUGAAAUUUUUUGAAGAUGACACCAAUUCUUUUUUUAAGGAGAGGAGAUUUUUUUUUUUUUUUUUUUAAAGGAAUAGGAGAUAUGAAUUUUUAUUUUGGAAGAUGACGUCUUUUUUUUUUUUAAGGAGAACGAGAAUUUUUUAAAAUGGAAUAUGAGUUUUUUGGAAGAGGAUAUCAUAAUUCUUUUUUAGAGGAUAUUUAUUGUAUAUUGUUUCAUGUUAAUAAAGUUUUGAUUUUUAUUGAGUGCUUAUAAAAUUGUUAGGACUUAUUUUUCUGGUUGUUAUGUAGUAUCUCUGAUUUUGUAUAUUGUUUCAUGUUAUUUAAGCUUUGAGUUCUAUUGAAUGCUUGUACUAUUUAUCUAAUUUUAUUAAAAAUCAAAUUUUGAAAAAUUUUGGUUUAAGUUUUAAAUUUUUGGAUAUUAUUCAUGUAAUUAGAAUUUUAUUAAAAAUCAAAAUUUGAAAAGUUUUGUUUGAGUUUUAAUUUUCUGGAUAUUAUUAUUCAUUUCAUUAGAGUUUUAUUAAAAAUCAAAAUUUGAAAAGUUUUGGUUUAAUUUAAUUUUCUUGAUAUUAUUCAUGUAAUUAGAAUCUUAUUAAAAAUCAAAAUUUGAAAAGUUUAGUUUGAGUUUUAAUUUUUUGGUACUAUUUAUUUCAUUAAAAUUUUAUUAAAAGUCAAAUUUUGAAAAGUUUAGUUUGAAUUUGAAUUUUUUGGAUACUAUUCAUGUAAUUAGAAUUUUAUUAAAAAUCAAAAUUUGAAAAGUUUAGUUUGAGUUUUAAUUUUCUGGUAUUAUUCACUGCAUGAGGAGUCUUAGUGUAAUGGAUAGUAGGUCACAGACUCAAGCUUUGUCUUGUUGUUAUUUACAUAGGAUACUAGCGUUCUCUUUAAUAGAAUUUUAAAUCAAUUUCAAAAUUGGAUUCUAAAUGAGCCAAUAUUCCUAUGGGCCUUAGUGUUACUACUCCGAGCUCAUAUACCAUGAUGAUAUGAUUUGAAGGGAGGGCUAGUUUGACUCUAGGUUUAUUCUUGUGCAUAAGAGUGUUUUGGUAAUUAUACUAGGUUGCAUAGGAGAUAGUGAACAAGGCCUUUGGUUUGAGUUAAUUGAUUAAUUAGAUGACCCUAUGUGAUUAAUUAAUCAAUUAGAACUCGUUUUGGGCUAGAUUAAGUGACCUAGGCCUUGAUGGACUUAAGUCACUUAAGCCUAAUGGACAAUCCUAUAAAUACCCCUUUAUGGAUUAGGGUUUCAUAAUGACUUGUGGUGAGAGUUGUCUUCCAACCCUAGAGAGAGAGUUAUAGCCUCCUCUUUUUCAAAACCCACACUUUGGAGUGUUAAGAUUGUGGUUCGCGUCCUCGAGUAGAAGAUCUUGGGUGUGCAAGACCUCAUUGGAUGAAGGCUUACAACACUUAGACGUGCAUAGGUCGCGUGCAUGAGAAGUGCAUGGGAUGCACAUAGGCGUGUGCAUGAGAAGUGCACGAGACAUGCACAAGCCUUGCGCACAAGAAUUGCAUGGGAUGCGCACGUGGGCAACAACAUGAGGAACAUCCAUACAUGUUCUUCACAGUAAGGAAUUUAUUUGGGAACAUCCAAAUCCAAGGAUGAACACUUUUUCUCUAUAUCUUUAUUCUAAUAUGGUUUUUAUAGCCAUAUGUUUUGACUAUAAUAGAUUUAGAGAAGCUUAGAAUAGUUUACAUUCACCCUAUGAUAUCUAGAGCAUGAGAACGGAGUAGUCUAGGGUUUCCAACACUAGUAACUCUAUUUUAAGAGUGUUGAUUUAUCACAUGGCCCAUAAAAGUGAAUACAUGGACAUUUAUUUUUAAUAUGAAUGAAUGGAUGCAUGUUGAUUUUUUCUUUUUUUUUUUUCUUUUUUCUCUUUAGAUUAGGUUGUAAACUUCUUAAGGAGUAUAGAAUUUUAAAUUUCUCCAUAAAAUAUUUUUCUUUUAAUGGAUGAGUUGUAAGCUCCAUUUUGAGAGCAUAAGGGUUUGUAUUCUUUGUAAAAAUUUUAAACUUUGGUCUAUCUAUGGUGACCCAAAAAAGGGAUCAGAGCUUAUGAUUCAUUCAAGGGCAUUCAGAUAGAAAAACCAAUCAAGAAAAGUGAGUUUUUUGAGAAAAAAAAAAUUGAAAAAAAUGGAGAAUCAAGCUCUCAGCAUAGUAGUCCAAGUGGUAACGCUCAAACGCUACAAAUCACAACUUAAGCGCUUGAGUGCUCCUUUAGGUGGUUUGAGUACUCUUAUUAUGGUAGCUAUAAUUUCUCCAACAUGAUUUUUUUUUUUUAAGGUUUUUCUAUAAUUUUAGGGGUUUUUUUUCCAAUAUUUUUAAAAUCAAACUGGUCAUUGAAUUGAAAAAGUUGACCAGUGGUCGAAGAACUAUUAAACCGAUGACAUCAUAAAUAUAUUAUUAAUAAAUAUAUAUAUAUAUAUAUAUAUAUAAAAAUUAAAAAUCAAUAAUAUUAAUUAUAUCUUUGAUAAAAGAUAAAAAUAAUUAAUAUUUUGAAUUUUGUUAAAUGAAAUAUGUAUAACAUUUUAAUGUGAAUAUAUUCAAAAUGAAAGGAAAUCUGAUUAUCAGAUUUUAACUAAUUUUAUAAUUUUAGAAAAUAUUAUAUUAUUUUUAUUUAAUAUUAUAAAUCCUUUUAAAAACAAAUAUAUUUUUUCAUUCGCCAUUUUAAUAAACAAGAUGCAUGCAGCCGAGCGGUGCUGUACAUCUUUUGUUCAGCAUACAUCGAAUGUGGAUAAGUUAAAAAAGGCCCUUAUAUUCCCAACUUACCCAAGUCACAUGUGCAGCACAGGAAACCAAGGUGCAGCCCAUCCAAUAGUGUUUGGAUUGGGCUUUUAUUUGGGCCUCAUGGAAUUAAAAAAGAGGGGAAGCUUGGGUCCAUUUUAAUGAAAGAACAGUUGGGAUAUGUGAAACCGCCCAGUCCAGGUGGUUCACUAGUUCAACCACUGAUUCGGGCAGCUUGUGACCGAUUCAAUUGCCUAGCGGUUUAACAAGGUGGACUAGACUAGAAGUCCACCGGUCCAACUGAUUGGAGUGGCCGGAUUGGUUCGGUUUUUAAAAGAAUGUUUUUUUAUUUCUCUAACUUAAUUUUGGUUGCAUGGGUAUAUUGGUAAAUUUUUUAAUAAAUUGGAUUCUAAAUGUUUUUGCUACCAAAAUUUGUGACAAGAUGCCUAAGGCGGGGAGGAAUUAUUUUAAUUUUCCUUUUUAUAUUCUUAAGCUUACAUAUAUAUGGCAUGUUGUGCAUGAAAAUUUGAUUUUUAGUAAUUUUGAUAGAAAUAAAUUUCCUUGAAAAUUAGAUUUCAAAAGGAUAUUUUUAUUAAAUUGGAAAAGUAGUGACUAAAGAAAGAACUUUUUAUCAAAAUAAAAUUUAAAUAAAGAGAGAAAUUUUUCCUUUUAUAAAAUCAUUUGGAAGGAUUUUAAUUUUUUUUUUUACUUAAAAAAUUAUUUUAUAAGAUUCCUAAAAAAUAAAAGCUUUCUUUUUGGAUAAGAUACACUCUAUAGUUUAAUUUUUUCAUUUUUAGAAAUUUUCUUAUUUUGAGAAUUUUUCAAUUAGAAUAAUAAAUAAUUUUGGAAAAUUUCAGGAUAGGCAAUAAUAAGAUAUUACUAAAAAGUUUUGGAAACUUAGUAAUUUAAUGAGCAAUAAAUUUCUAUAAAAAUACUAAUUUCAAGAUCAGACACUUAUUACAUUGGAGUGGUGUAUGAGAAAGGAAAAUUUUAUAUGAAUUGAUUUAAAACUUUGAGAGCAUCUUUGUUAUCAAAUUAAUUUAGGAUAAAAUGCUCUUACAAAAAUUUUAUAAUUUCCAAAGUUACAUUCUCUUAUCUCCCUUGUGUUUCUAAUUACAAAAUUAAUAAUUUUAAAAUUUUUUAUAGAAGAUAAUUAUUUAUCAAGGGAAUUACCAAGGAACUAAAAAGCUCUAAUCAACUCAAAAUAUAAAGUGGGCAAGGCCUUAGCAAAACCCACAACCUUCAUUAUCAAGUCCAUCUUGGUUUUAUGUCAUUGUCACCCCAACACUGAGUUGGCUAAGAAAUCAAAUGAUAUGAAAUUUCCAAUUGGCGAGACUAGAUAUGUUAGUAGAGCAACCACCUCAACAAUGAGUUUUUUUUUUACUAAUAUUAAUAUUAAAGAUAGUAAUCACACACUUAACUUAAAAGUAAAGUGGUUGAAUCAGCCAACGUGAUCCCACUUACAUAAUUAAGGGUUAAAUAAAAGGAUGUGUUGAUCUUGCCUUUUUAAGAUAAGAAGAUCAAUAUGAAAGGGUCUCUACCUGGUAAUAAGAUCAUGCCCAACCUAAGGUGGCAUUAAUACUUAUGAUUCUAUGAUAUCUAGCAAAAGCUAUGUAAUCAUAAGAGCUCUAGAUUUUGCUAAAUCUAUUAUCUUGCUUUAGGGUUAAUGCAUGUUGUUUAUUUUUGUUACAUUAAUCAUGUCCUUUAAUUCAAUUACUCCCAUUCUCACAACAAACAAAUUAAUUAAGCAUAACUAUGUGAAUUAAAAGAAAAACUUUUAUAUAGUGCUUACGUCAAAGGAACUUAAAUGGGUGUUUUAGGAAUUUAAUCUUGUUGGAGUUGGGUUUGGGUGCCCAGAUGGGCUGACCUAACCCUAUCCAAUAAAUGAGAAAAUGUGGGAGCAGUUUCUGGGAGUUUUAAAACUACCCAAAAACUGUCACUAUUAAAAGAUUAAAAAAAAAAAGUGUUUUUUUUCUCUUCUCUCUUUGUGAAAACUCUCUCAUUGAGAAUUCUCUCUCUCCAUGGAAAACCAAAGAGAGAAAGAGUACAUUUUCUUUCUUCCUAAAAACAAAUGUGAAGAAAUACGUUUUCUUCUUUCCCUAGAAAACAUAAGAAAGAAUAUUUUUUUCCUCUAAAGAAACAAAAAGUUAUUUCUCUUAAAGUCAUUCCUAUUUUCUCCAUAAAAACAAAGGUUAAGGCUCUUGUGCUGUGAGAAAAGAAUGGUUAUCAUAUUUGUAGUUCCAUUCACAACUUGAGGCGAGAAAAUUAGUUAGUGAAACAACCAAUUUGGAUCUUGGGUAUUUCAAAAGGUAACUCGGAAUUUUCUACCUUUUUUUUGUUUAUUUUUUUGUGUUUUAGAGAAAAAAGAAUAUUUUUUUUGGAAACAAAUGAACAAAGAAGAAACUUUUUUUUUUUUUUUUAUGGUUGUGGUUUCAAAAAAACUAAAAAAUAAAUAAACAAAAAAAAAUGGAUAAAUAUGAUUUUGGAUAUUGUUCCAAAUUAUUAAUAAUAAUAAUAAAAGCAAUGUUCUAGAAAAAAAAAACCACUUGGAGAAAAAAUAUGUGUAAAGUGCACCCCGCUGUAGGAGUUUUGGAUGAAUUGUAAAAAUAGGUGCAAAGUGCAUCCACUGUAGGAGUCUUAGACGAAUUGAAAUGGACAAUUAAAAACAAAAAAAAGAAAAAGAAAAAGACAAGAGCCACAAUUUUCUGGUUAUGGUUCCAGAAAAGCCUUUCUCCAAGACAAACAAAGUGGAAUAUUUUUCUGGAAUUUUUUUUUUAAAAAAGUAAUAAUAAUACUAAACAAGUUAAAUAUGUUUUAGUUUACUUAUUGACAUCAAAGUGUAAUUACUCUUGUGGGUUAGAACUCCUCUCAUGCUCACUUCAAACCCAAGUUCGAGCUUUGAGGUCCUCAUUCCUAUUUCAAGUUUUUGAGUUGAAGUCAAAUUAUGUUGAUUUGUUCAAAUAUAAUUAGACUAUAAAAAAAUAAAAUAAAAAAUGUAUGUUACUCAUUAUAAAUAAAUAAAUAAAAAUGAAGGAGGGAUUGCUUAUGAAAAGGCUUGAUCCUUGACCAUAAGAGUAAGAGUCUUGUACUCUACAAACUAGGCUAGAUGUUUUUUGUUUUCAUAGAAAGACUGAUUAUUGAAAAUAACAUUAUAAAAGACAUUGUGAAUAUUCCUAAUAUUGUUGUUCCUUCUAGCUUCAAGAGAAAAGAUUAGUUCUUUUUCUAAAUGUUACUUUUUUAUGCUUUAUACAUGAAAUGUAUAUAUCUUAUUUGCAAGAUAUGACAUGAAUAUUUAUUGUUUGAUAAAUGAGUAUGUCUUUUUUGUACAUGUGUGUCUUCAAUUCUUUUGUAUAUAUUAUUGAUACAUGCUAGUUGUAUUAUAUUUUUUAUGGAGUGGGAGGUUUUAGGCUAAAAAGAAAUUUAAGUAAUUUCUUGGCCAAAAUUAGAAAUACUUGAAUAGAUUAUUUCUAAUUUGUAAUAAUUAAAAUUGUAUAUAGGAGUUGAUUGGGAACAUAGUGAACUUUCGUUUCUAUUGCAAUUUAAGGUUAUUACACAUUAGAAGAUGAUUAGAGCAGGUAAAAUCAUUAAUAUCCAAAAAAGUACCAAUUAAUAAGAUUGUGCAAUAUCUCUAAGUAGUUGAAUAUGUCAACUACAACUAGAAACAUCAUAGUAGAACUAAACAAGGAUGAGAAACUGAAUUGCGAUAACUACGAGGUUUGGUAUUGCAAAGUUCAAUAUAUCCUUGUCGAGCAAGAGACUCUUGAUACACUGAAUCAUAUCAUGUAAGAACCUAAAUAAGGAAACUUUGCUCAACAUAGAAAGAUCAAGAGGCUCAAAUGGCCUAGAAGAAAAAGAAUUUUUUAGCUCACAUUACAUUAUUAGACUAUAUGCAAGAUGAUCUCUUGAUUGAGUAUAAGGUUUACGAAACUUCUCAUGAAACGUGGCAAGCUCUAAAGGAAAAGUGUGGUGGACUUUCAAUUACUAAACUGAGAGAACUUGUAAUGAAAUUUGAAAAUUACAAGAUGCGACCAAACUAUACAAUGAAACAACAUCUCAGGGGGAUGAAAAGAAUGAUAAGAGAUCUUAAGACAUCUGGGCAUGUCUUCACUGAUAAGCAACAAGUUGAGGCAGUCAUCAAAUCUCUACCAAAGAGCUAGGAACAUUUGGCUAUGAACAUGACACAAAAUGAGAGUGUCAAGACUUUUGAUAAUACAGUUCGUCAUUUCGAAUUGGAAACCGAGUGACUUAUGGUUGCUAGGCCUAAUGAACAAACUCAUGUAAGUGAAUCCAAUUCUCACAAACUUCCGGCUUUAAGUGUGAUAGAAAAUUCUUUAAGAAGAAUAAGAAAUCUAAUGAGGCUUCAAAGAAAUGAAAGAUUAAGACACAUAAGAAGUUUAAGCGUGCCAAGAAGGAUAAAAACAAGUUGAAAUGUUAUAACUAUGGCAAUAAAGGUCACUUUACUCGUGAGUGUACUAAGUCAAAGUAGACUUAGUCCCCACUAACCGAAUAGCUAGAGGCCAAAGAGCAUAUGUAGAGUUUAGGUGAAUUAGUUUCGAUACAAGAUGAAUCUAUGUAGGGAACAACUCCAAAGUUGAGGUCAAGAGUAUUGGAACGUGUAAAUUGGAGUUGCGUAAAGAAUGGACCCUAUUCCUGCAUGAUGUUAUUUAAAUUCUGGAUAUUCGAUGGAAUUUGGUCUCUAUGUUAGUCCUUUUUGGUUUAGGUUUCAAUUUGAAUUUUCAUAAUUCAAUAAUGAAGUUGUAUUUGGGAACAACAUAAUAUGGUUUUGGAUUUAUUUUGAAUGGUUUUAUAGUUCUUGACAUUGAUAACUAUGUGUUGUCUAAUACUAAUGAUAGUUAUUAUUUGUUGAUGAGUACUUCUAGAAAUGCAUGUGAUAAUGUGAUCAUAUGGCAUGCUAGACUUAGGCAUAUUGGACAAGAAAGAAUAAAUAGACUAGCUAGAGAAAAUCUUUUUGGUCAAUUCACUAAAGAUUGAUAUGCCAACUUGUGAAUAUUGUCUAGCUGAUAAAACUGCAAGAAAACCAUUCGGAAAAGGAACUAGAACUAAAACACCAUUUCAAUUAAUUCGUUUUUGACAUUGGUGAUCCUAUGAGUGUUAGAGCAAGGUAUGGGGCCUUGUACUUCAUCACAUUUAUAGAUGACUUUAAUCGUUAUGGUCAUGUUUAUCUGAUUUCUCAUAAGUCAGAAACAUUAGAUUGUUUCAGUCGCUACAUUAAUUUAGUUGAGAAUCAGUUGGACAAAAGGAAUAAAACAUAAAGAACAGAUCUGGGUAAAGAAUAUCAAUUAGAACAAUUUAAAGAUUUAUGUGAUGAAAAGGGUAUUGGUACACAAUAGACUAUUCCAAGGACUCCACAACAAAAUGUUGUUGCUAAGAGGAAGAAUAGAAUGUUGUUACACAUGGUUAUGUCAAUGGUGGCUCAAGCAAAUCUUGUUAUUUCAUAUUGAGGAGACGCAUUGUUGACUACUUCUCAUGUACUUAACCAAGUACCCUCAAAGUUUGUUUCAUCUACUCUAUAUGAGUUUUGGAAUAACCGAAAGCCUGAUCCUAGCAAUUUGCGACCUUAGGGGUCGGUGGCUUAUGUUCACAAUCCUUCUCAUAAAUAUGGAAACUUAGGUCAUAGAGGAAGGAAAUGUGUCUUUAUAAGAUACAGUGAACACUCCAAAGGGUAUGUGUUCAUAGGUGAGCAUGAAGAUGGUAUAGUAACUGAAUUAGAAUCACGAGAUGUCAAGUUCUUAGAGGAUGAUUUCCCAUGUAUGGGUGAGAUUGAUAGAGAUUUACAUCUUUAUGAAAUGAUGGAUCCCGACAUAAGAUCCAUACCCGAACAACAAUUGAUGCUUCAAUCAAGUAAGAAUGAACUAGUACUCGUAGCAAGUACAGUAAGAUAGUCAAUGUGGAGAAAAAGUUCUUGAUAAAUUAUUUCUCUACAACGAUUUGAGAUUGAAGGGGAAGUUCAUAUUGUCACUCAAUAUGAUGAUGUUGAGCCUAAGUUGGUUCAAGAGACUCUUACUUGUCUAACUAAGGAUGAAUGGAGAAAAACAAUGGAAGAGGAAUUGGAGUCGAUGCAAAAGAAUCAAGUCUAGGGCUUGGUUGAUCUGCCUUCCGAUUGAAUAGCUAUUGGGAACAAAUGAGUUCUUAAAAUAAAAUGAAAGGCAAAUGGUUCCAUUGAAAAUUAUCAAGCUCGAUUAGUGACUAAAGGGCACACCCAACAAGAGGGUAUAUAGACUAAGGAAACCAUCUCUUCAAUAGUUAGGUUUGCCUUAAUUCAUCUCAUUCUAGCUAUAGUAGCUCAUAUGGAUUUAAAGCUACACCAAAUAGAUGCUAAGACAACUUUCCUUAAUGGAGAGUUGAAUGAAGAAAUCUAUAUGGAACAACUAGUGGAUUUCAUUAUCCAAGGCUAAGAGAACAAAGUGUGCAAGUUAAAUUGAUUGAUUUCUGGCCUUAAACAAUCAUCCAGGUAGUGAUACUUAAGAUUUCAUUGUGCAAUAACUUCAUAUGUUUUCACAAUGAUUGAUGAAGACCAUUGUGUUUAUAUUAACCAAAAUAAAGAUAAAUUUGUUAUUAUCUUUAUACAUGAAUGAUAUACUUAUAGCUGGAAAUGAUUUGGAGUUUGUUUAAACCAUUUAAAGAUGUUUGUCAUUUACUUCUGAGAUGAAAGAUAUGAGAGAAGCAUCUUAUAUUCUUGGAGUAAAGAUCCAUAGAGAUGGUUCUCAUAAACUAGUUGUUCUUUCACAAGAGCACUAUAUUAAGAAUAUCCUUGAAUGAUUUAAUAUGCAAGAUUGCAAUUCCAUUGACACUCUAUUUGCAAGAGGUGAAAACCUAAGUAAAUAAAUGGGUCCAAAGACUCCAAAAGAAAACAAAAAAACAUAACUAAUGUUCCCUACUCUAGUGCUAUUGGGAUUCUAGUGUAUGCUACGAUGUGUACAAGACUAUAUAUAUCUAUUAUGUUGUUAGGAUGGUGAGUCGUUGCAAGAAAAUCCUAGAAUGAUGCUUUGGAAAAUAGUAAAGAGAAUUCUUCGGCAUCUAAUAGGCAUGUGGACUAUUCCUUUUAUUAUCAAGGCAAAGAAUUGCGCUUGUGGAUUAUUCACAUAUUGCUUGGGUAGAUGAUAUAGAUGAGCACAAAUCAACAUCUAGAUACACAUUCUUGCUUAAUAAUGGUGUCAAAUUAUGGAAAAGUAAGAAACAAACUUGUAUAGCUUUGUCAACCAUGGAAGCUGAAUUUACUGUUUGUUCAGCUAUAAUAUAAGAAGUCGUAUUAUUGAAAAGUUUUUUUGCAAAGCUUGGGAAUAGUCAAAGAUAUUUUUAAGCCAAUGACAGUCUAAAGUGACAGUCAAUUUGUGACUAUUUAUGUAAUUGAUCUGAAAUAUCAUAGAAAAACUAAACAUCUAGAUACCAAGAAUAAUUUUAAAAGAGAUAUUAUUGUGUGAGGAGGAAAUGAUCCUGAAUAUUUACCUACAUGUGAAAUGGUUGUUGAUCCAUUCAUGAAAUCCAUUAUAAGAAACAUGUUUUCUAUACAUUUAAAGUCAUUAAUACUAUGUAGGUUAUGAUCUAUGUGGAUCAUAUGUCAUGGGUCAUUAUUGAUUGGAUAUAUGAUGCUUUAUAUAUGAUAAAAUAAUAUGAGUAUUUGUUAUUCAUAUAAUUGAAUAUGUAAUUGGUACUUACAUAUAUAUGUAUGUCAACAGGCUGAGCUUAACUCUCUCACAUGAGCAACCGGCCCAAUCAAUAUGUUUAUGAGUUGGGAUGAGACAAUAUAUUAAUGAUGAUGAAUGAGUGAAUAGUAUACAAAAGAUGUUGAGUGUCGCCUUGAUUAAGUAUCAAGAUGAGGUCUAUAAUAAAUGAAAUCUUGACCGAAUGUAAUCGCCCAUAAUUACAUUUGCCUGCUUGAACCGGACUUGAGUUUUAACAUAAAAGGUUUAAAGAGAACAAUAGAUGCAAAACUCAAAUGAGCUACUGGUGUGAAGCUCUUAGUUAAGGUUCAUAUCGUGGUAGUUUGACAUACACUCUCUAAGUGGAGAGAAACCACCAUAGCAUGUAUUUCAUACUACAUGUGUUUGAAUGUGACUAAUAAGGAAAGUGAGUGAUUAAUCCAUGCAUCCUCACUGUGUGAGAUCCUUAGGGUUUAUUACAAUUAUAAUAGCCCAUUAUUGUACUCUUUGUACUUUUGACUAUGUUUUAAGGUGACAAAUUAAUGUUGCUACUUUGGUAUGUUUUCGAUGGAAAUGAAAUAAUUUAUCCUUAUGGGACAUAUUGGGCAAACAAUUAAUUUGGAUCUAAAAGACAUGGGCUCAAAAAGAAGCCUUUUUUCUAGUUACAUUGAUAAAGAUGUGUUCAUGGUCAACCAGUUAUAUUACCUUUGUAGCCGAUAUAAUUAUAAAUACAUUUAUAAUGUUGGAUAGUAUACAACUUCGAAGGAUUAAGUGUAUACAUUAAAACGUAAUUAAAUAAGUCUAAGGUAUAGCAAGACAUGAUUAUUAUUAUUCACUCAUAAUUUUUUAGGGUUAAGCUACUAUGUAUCCUUAACAUGUGCAUAAGUUUAUAGCUCCCAAAUUGUAGGUGUGCUCUUAUGGUCACAUGACCCAUUUGCCUAUAUGAAUGACCUUAAAAAAUGGAAUAUAAUGGAUUUGGAUGAGUGAUGGGGCUAGUUCAGCCCAUCUUGUGCAAGUGGGAAAUGUUAGAGUUGGGUUUGGGUGCUCAAGUUGGCUAACCCAACCCAAUCCAAUAAAUGAGAAAAUGUGAGAGCAGUUUCUAGGAGUUUUAAAACUACCCCAAAAUUGCCACUAUUAAAAUAUUAAAAAAAAAGUUUUUUUUUCUCUUCUCUCUCUUUGUGAAAACUCUCUCGUUAAGAAUUCUCCCUCUCUGUGGAAAAUUAAAGAGAGAAAGAAUACGUUUUCUUUCUCUAUCUUCCUGAAAACAAAGGUGAAGAAACACGUUUUCUUCUUUCCCUAGAAAACAUAAGAAAGAAUAAUUUUUCUUCUGAAGAAACAAAAAAAAUCCUUUCUCUUAAAGUUAUUCCAGUUUUCUUCAUGAAAACGAAUGUCAAGGCUCUUGUAUUGUGAGACAAGAAUGAUUCUCAUAUUUGUAGUUCCAUUCAUGAAUUGAGGCAAGAAAAUUACUCAGUGAAACAACCAAUCUGGAUCUUGGGCAUUUCAGAAGGUAACUCUGAAACCUUAUUUUUCAUCAACUCUAAAUAAUCCUAAUAAGUAGCCAUCAUAAGAAGAUGGAGAGGCAUAUAAUAAAUGGCAUAAGGCGGGAUGAGAAUGUCAAGUGUCUUAUACUUAGGUCUUUGGACAAUUUGUUGCAACAACAACACAUGUAUCAUGCAACGACUUAUGAUAUUCUCUUUAGCUUGUAACACUAUAAGAUAAAAGGGCAAUAAUGAUGUUUUUUAGGCGUCAAUAAAUGUAUAAGAUGAUGCUUCUUGAAAGCGCCCUUGUCGCCCCUGUCAAGGAAUGGAUAUAGGCAACCUUGUCGCUUCUAGAAAGCGUCAUCUAUAAAAACACUUACAUUGACGCUUAUUCAAGUGUCAUCUUUCCAAAAGCAUGACAUUCUUUAAGUGCCAUUAUUUCCACCAAAUUUUCAAUGUUAACACUUACACUAGCGCCAAGGAAUGUCCAAAAUAUCAUUUGUCUAUUUUGAAACUCAAAAAAGUGUCAUCUUAUGUGGACAAUAAUACUGAAAAUCCCCCCAUUGAAAUGAUAUAUUUUGUAUGUCCUGUUAUAUAUAAUUUUGGCUGCAUGAUUUUUUAUAAAGUACAAAACAAUAACUUCAAUAUUAAUAACUAUAUCUUCCAAAAGAAAUUGAAUAAAUUUGGGAAUAAUAUCAUGAUAAAGAACUAAUGUCUACAUAGUUAAUUAAUACGUAAAUUUGUUAAUGUAUCAAAAUAUUUACAACAAGCAUAUUUUGCAACUUCAACAUAAAUCAAGUACACAUGUACCAAAAAACAAGGUCUCUAAAUUCCUUAUAAAAAAUAAUAUUACAAGAAGAAGAAGAAGAAGCCAAAAGUAUUUUUAACCAAAAGUAUUCCUAUUGGUUGCAUAUCCAUUCUUGAACUUGAUAUCUUUUACCUGUAUACAUUUAAAAAAAAAACAAUAGAAGAAACAAAUUAUGUUUAGUUAAUAUACAUGCAAUGAAAGUUAAAUUUAAAUCUAUAAAUGGUCCAUGAAAGAAGUGCAAAUGAGAAUAACUUGGUAUUUAAUGAGAUGUUAUGCUUCAAUGAAGAUGAAAAAUUGUUUAAUUUGAUACUUGUUUAUAAAAUAUUAAUAGACUUUUUAGUUUAUUAUUAAGUUAGAGGAAACAAGUUAGGCUUUCAAUGGUAUAAAUUCUACAAUAUGGAAUGUAAUAUAAUAUUUUCUUAUCUAUGUCUAACAUAUGAAACUCAUUUCUCAUAAAUAAAUAUAUAAAAAUACCAAUAGGUAUGGUUUAUAAUUAGUUUCGAUCAUAAAUCAUCAUAUCUAGUAAUAUAAGACAUCUAAUAUUAACCAUUUGCAAAUGUCUUAAUUUCUUCUUACAAUUUUCCUAUAUUACCAAAUUUAGUUUACUAAUAACAUUCCAUAAGGAAAAAAAGAGUAUUAAACUAAAAAUCAAUAGAGUAUAAGGAAAAAAAAUUAUGACAAAUAGAAUGAAGAAAGAGAAAUCUUUUUCCUAGAAAAUGCCAUGUCAAAUCAAAAUGAGACCAAGGAAGGAAGAUCAUCUCUCUCCACAUCCACUCUGCCCCUAUUUCUUUUACAUUUUUAGUUUCUUUGUAUUGAGAAAUUUUGGACUCCUAAUUUUCUCCAACAUUGUUUGGUUUGUAUUUAUGAUAGAAGGACCUCUAUCAUUUCGUGUAAAUAACUUUCCUGUCUAUCAUACUCCUUUUGUUUCUCAUAAAGGAAAAACUUGUUUCUCACCAAGGAAAAUGAAACACAUGUGGUUCAACUAUCUACUAAAAUCAAAUAUUGAUGGUUUUCUUAAUGAAUGGUUUAUUGAAUUUUUUUCAUACUUAACUUAGUAAUUAAUAAGUGGGUAUAGGAAAAGGAAUCACAUUCCCUUAGUUUAGAAGUUGGGAAAGCGUAUGGCAGCCUUAGUGGUGACAAUGGUGGUGGUAGAAAGGUGGUUGGAGAUUGAUUGUGUUGUGGGAAUAAGGGUAUGAUGUCAUUCUUGAAGAAAUAUGUACAACAGAAAAUUCAAUGAAAUCUAAAUUAUUACAUAUGGUAGCCUCCAUAACAAAGAGCUAAACUAUCAUAAGAAAAUGACCAUAAAUUUUAAUGAACUAAAGCCUAUACACAAUGGGUGGAACCAAUGAUCCAUAAAUAUGUGUUGAUUGUGGAUAUCUUUCCCUUGAACUAUAAGGAAACAAAGAGCUAAACUAUCACAAGAAAACCAUUAUGCCAAGGGAACAAAAAAGAAUGUGAAAUAUAAAUUAUCAUAUAGAAACUCGAUUCCAAUAUAUAUAUAUAUAUAUAUAUAUAUAUAUAUAUUAUCAUGCAUCAUCUGAUAGGUUGAAAAAUUGAGGCCUUGUGUUGAAUUUAGAAUAUAACUACCUUGCCCAGAUGAGUAAUGAAUUCAAAAUCAUCAACUAGUUGCUUCUUCAGUAUUGGAGAAAUUUGGAUGUUCACGAGCUUCUCCACUGGUAUGGCUCUUUUCUCCAAACAAUAAAGAAAACACAAACUUAGUUCAGGAAACCUCAAACUGCUUAUGGAAAACUUGGCCAAAUAAAUUCUAAUAAAGAGAAACUCAUCAACUAAGAAGCACUUUCAAGUCUUAUACAUGACAAGUUAGCAGAAAUGUACUUCGUUCCAUGCUGAGGGAUUGAACAGAAAGUUAGGCUACAAUGUGAAAUAAAGUCAAUGGAAACAACAAAGAGAUAUUUCUUGUAAGAUCAUUUUUCUCUAAAUGAAUUGAAAAGGCAAACUGUCUCAAGCCUGCUAAGGAUACUAUACUAGGUGGAAAAAAAAUAUCAUGAAUUAGGACAAUGGAACCGAAUAGAAUUAAAAAUCCCAUAUGGUAAAACAUCCACCAAAAGUAUCAUCCAUGUAGGAAAUGUUACUUUGCAUCUUAAGAGAACUACAUCUUUUUGCAUUUUCUUUAAAAGAUGAUCUCUCUCAUCUUGGAAGAUCUUCUAGUUACAAGCUAACAAAUGCUAAUACGUCUUAGGACUUUAGCCAAUUGCAUAUCUUUUAAAUCUGGGGCUAGGCUAAAAGUGUCCAUAGGUGGACCAAAUUAAAUCCAUUAAUAGAAAACCUCCUACACAUGCUAAGAUAAGCAAUCACCUAUCAACAAGAAGGAAGAAAAUAAAGGCAUAAAGUUCAAGACAUCAAAAUAUUGUAUAAUGCAAUUUUACAUGCUAUAACAUACCAUAAAAUCCUACAAACUUUUUGCCACUAGAACUAGGAUAAUGAUCACCAACAGUACACACCCAUAUAUACAAAUACAAAAACUCAAUCGUUCUAUAUUUGCUCCAGGCAAUGACAAUCCAAGAAUUUACCUUAGCAACAGAGUCAUUCUUCCACUUCUUACCUCUUGCAGUUGCACAUGUUUUCCAGAAUUAAUAGAUAAGAAGACCAAUACAAAGCAAAACACCCAGAUGAUUGCAAUCAACAACAAAAAUUAUUUUCAGAUAUAAAUAAGAUCAGACACAAUGGAAGUGGUUCACCAUGUCAAUAUGAAAGAAGGAUGACAAUGACUCUUUAAUAGAUAAAGUUGAGCAUAUUUAUUUUAAAAUUAUGGAGAAGACAUGAUUUAAUAAAUAGGAAGAUCAUCUUUACUUGAAUAAUGACUGAAGGCAUAAUUAUAAAUCUACUAAAUCUUAAUUGAUCAAUUACCACCCCCAAAACAACACUAAAAAUGGUGACAAAUGAGCAUCAUGUCAAAUUCAAAUCUAUUAAGGCAAUUUUUAAAGCAUGAGCUAACAACUUAUUUGAAUUUUGGUCUCCACAUUUUAGUUAGGGGGUCCCAACAAGAUGAAUAAAGAAUGAUAAAAAAAAAAAAUCGUAAACAUUCAUAGAUAAAAAUAAUCCAUAUAAUCAAUUCUAUUUUGCAAUAUCAAUCUCUAAUUCUCCUUUCUGCUAGUAACACCUUAAAAAACAAGCCCAUUAAGCUUUCUAGAAGAUAUGAUUCUUUUCCCAUACCAUGAAUUUUUUCUAUAACAAGCCAAAUUUGUUGAAGGAUGAAAAAAAGUACAACCUCCAAACUAAAAAGGAAAAUGAUAAAAAAAUAAACAGACUAAAAUAUAAAAGCCUAAGGGGUCAAAGAAGAGGUCAAGUAACAUUUCAAGGUGAAAUCAACCAUUUUGGUUAGAAUAUUUGCUUCUAAUUCAAACCCCAAGCUUUGAUUCCCUGAGCAAUAAUAGAUGAGUGAAUACAUAUUUCUUAAAAGCUUUAACCAUAACAGUCAGUCAGGAUAGAAUAGCAAAGAUUGUGUGACCACAUUUAUUUCUGGUUAUACUUCCGCUACCAAAUUGUCGUGUGUUCCCAAUGGUUUAGCAAUCAAAGAAAGCAUCAAAUGCCCAAUAUGGGCAAACAUCAAAAUCUUAGGGACAGUGGGAUUAAGAGUUUAAGGUAGUGAAUGGUUUGUUUUUUUUUUAACCACUAUAACUUUAGAGACAAUAUGGCUCUAUACAGGAGCAGAUGGUGGAUUGGUGGUGUAAGUAUAUCUAGGUUAAUCUUUGUUAUACUUCCGCUACCAAAUUGUCGUGUGUUCCCAAUGGUUUAGCAAUCAAAGAAAGCAUCAAAUGCCCGAUAUGGGCAAACAUCAAAAUCUUAGGGACAGUGGGAUUAAGAGUUUAAGGUAGUGAAUGGUUUGUUUUUUUUUUUAACCAUUAUAACUUUAGAGACAGUAUGACUCUAUACUGGAGCAGAUGGUGGACUGGUGGUGUAAGUAUAUCUAGGUUAAUCUUUGUUAAGUUUGGAUUUCAGAUCAUUUGUAGCUUGUGAUGGUUCUAAUUUUAUCUUCUUCAUUUUGUAUAAGAGAUAAGAAAUCCCAACUACGUGUGUGUACUUAACUCUUAUGCCAUUUAUUUAUCUUCAUGAUGUAUACUUAGUUCUUAUGCCAUUUAUUUAUUUAUAUUUUGAUUGGCAUAUCCCUUUUCCAUUUAUAGGAAUCUUUAAGAUAACCUCUUACUUAGGAGAAACUUUUUGUAUUUGAUUGAUUUAUACAUUGAUUUCUUCUUGCAACUUGUUAAACUGCCUCGAGUUCCAAUUGUUGACAAAAUAUUGAAGAAGUAUCUUGAUUACAGAAUAAAGAGGGAUGGCAUGUAAGUAUAUUUGCCAUGGCUCCUGCCAUUUUGAACUCUCUUCCAACUUCUAAAGGUGAUCAAACAAAGUUGCAAUGGUACUGCCCGAGGUUUGAUGGCAGUUAUUUUUGUUGUUUGGUUUGGUGUGUUAUUGAUGUAGUAAUAUCAGGAUAAUUUGUGGCGGAAUGUUUACUAUAGUAGGAGGUAGUUCUUGUAAUUUUCACACUAAUAUGGUUUGAAUAGACAAGCAUGCAUACCUGUUCAAUGACCAAUCUCAACUAUGUACUUAUUGCAUAAAUGAUUGUUAUGGCAAUACAAGCAGUCGCUCUAUAUAGAUGAGUAGUUCACAUGUGAAAUUUUUGAAAGCCAGUAGCUUAAGAUAUGUAGUUAUCAAAGACAAGUUCAAGAAUAUUGUAACUUCUGAAUUCAAAAAAAAAAAAAAAAAAAACCCACACACAAUCUUGACAAGAACAAAAAUAGUCAAAGAGAUGGGAAACCAGACAUCUAUUCAAAACCAGUAAUAGACUUACAUUCUCAAGUCCCAAUGAGCCACAUAUAUAAGCAACACCCCAUACAAAUAAAACAAUUGCUUCCACCUGCACCAAAAGUGCAUUGUGUGCCUGACAGAACCAACAACAACAAAGUCAAAUAAGCUGCAAUGUGAAAUACAUAAAAUAAAAUACCACAAUUAAAAUUGCAAAAAAUGAAGUUAACUAAAAUCAACAUAUAAAUAAUAAAAAAAAAAAUAAAGGAUGUUAAUUUACUUCAUCCUUUAAAACUAUGAUAAUCAGAUGAGUAACUGAGCAGAGGCAGUGUUGGUGACAAAAAAAAAACUGCUAAAUCACAUCCCCUUUAUGCUGUUAUGAUGUGUUUGAAUUUUGGGUCCUCAUCAUUUUGUUCCUUCUCAAUCAUGUACUUUUGUUUCUUCUUUGUAAACUCAAACUGGUUGGAUAUAUACUAGGAUCUUCUCACAUUUUUUACAACAUUCAAGUAAUUUUAUGUGAUAAUUAAACUCAUUUAUGUUUUUUUUAAGAUUUAUUUUUUUAUUUUUCUUUUGUUUGUAUGAAACACUUGGAAAUGUUUGAAAAAAAAAAUUCUAAAGUUUGUGGGCCUACUUUUCAAGAGUAGUUAAAUAGAUAUGACAUAUCAAAAUAUCUGGAAGAAAUUAAAAACUCAUCAUUUUAUUUGACAAAAUAUAAGUAAUGAAGAAAAUUAGAAUGAGAAAUGAUUCAAACCAUGAAUGAAUUUUUGAAGGAAAAAGCGUUCAAUAAACACAACGAUAUAUUUUAGGUAUUAUAUAUAUAUAUAUAUAUAUAUAUAUAUAUAUAUAUAUAUAUAUAUAUAUAUAUUAAUCAAAAUUGAUUGAGAAACUUUUGUGGUCUUGAUUAACACUUGUGAAAAACCAAAAAAAAAAAAAAAUACAUCUCUGUAAAGAAGGGAUUCACUCACAAAAAGACCACUUUUCCAUGGACCUAAACCAAAUCACAACAAAAUUAGUUUAAUGAUUUUAUGUAUAUAAUAAUAACAACAAGAUCACUUUCAUUUCACACAUGCUAGUAACUUGAAAAUAAACCAAUUCACUUAAGACCCAUGUGUAGGAAAUCAAAAUAAUAUAAAUUAUACCUAGAUAGAGCACUAAAAAAAUUGAUUUUUUUUAAUAUUUGUAUUUUUUUUCAUUGGUUUCUCAUUUGUGCUUGCUUUUCUAAUUUUUAUUUUUUACAUUAUGUGGUGGAUGUAGGGAAAUACGCAAAACUGAAAAAUAACCCAGAUAAUGAUGCCUGUAUAAAUGUUGUUUAAUUUUCUUGUGUAAGAGGAAUUCGGUUCUGGGAAGAUUUGUGGUGGGGGGACCAACCUUUGGGAACCCAAUAUCCAAGACUAUUUAGAGUAGUCGUGGAUAAAAACAUUUCUAUUUCUUCAAUUCUCGGUCCCACUCGUCCUUUCUCUUGGAAUUUGAAUUUCCGUCGUAACCUGUCAGAUUCUGAGAUUAAGGACUUAGAAGGCCUCAUGCGGUCACUUGAUGAAUUGUAUCUAUCUCAUACGGUCCUAGAUGCCAGAUUCUGGGCAUUAUCCUCUUCAGGGCUUUUUUCAGUCAAAUCCUUUUUUCUAGCAUUAUCUCAAUCUUCUGGAUCUCCUCAGGACUUUCCUUCAAAGUUCGUUUGGAAUUCUCAAGUUCUUUUCAAAGUGAAGUCCUUUGUCUGGUUAGUGGCACACAAAAAGGUGAAUACUAAUGACAUGUUACAAGUGAGAAGACCCUACAAAGCCCUUAGUCCUAAUAUUUGUAUUAUGUGCAUGAAGCAUGGGGAAUCAGCAGAUCAUCUUUUUCUUCAUUGUUCCUUGACGAUUGGGUUGUGGCACAGGUUAUUUCAGUUAGCUAAGAUGGAUUGAGUUCCCCCAAGGAGCAUAUAUGACAUGAUGUCCAUCAAAUUUAAAGGCUUUGGUAAUUCUAAGAGAGGGAUAGUUUUGUGACAAGCUACGAGUAUCGCUCUAAUUCGGGUUGUGUGGUGGGAAAAAAACACAAGGAUUUUCGAGGAUAAAACAAGGAAUUCAGAGUUCCUUUAGGACUCUAUUGUUUUCCUUGCUUCCCUUUGGGCUUUUUGUUCCAAGGCAUUUAAGGGGACUCCUCUUAAUGUGAUUCAACUGGAUUGGAUAGCGGUGUGUACUCCAUAAGGAUUGGUCCUUAGAGGGAGUUCGUUUGUUUUAUGUGUAUUUUCCUGUAAUUUAGUUGUCUUUGGUGGGAGGAUUUCUCAUCCUUCUUCUUGUACUUCUUUUUUCUAUCAAUAUAUCUUUGUGUUGUUUCCAAUAAAAAAAAGAGGAUUAUCCAGAACAAUAAGAAUAUGGGUAGUGGGUAGUGGGAUGUGGGAGGACAACUAAUCUCUUUGCGUUUAUGUGAAAACAAUAUGUUAGAAGCACAUGCAACCUUAGUUUGUUCUAGUCCAAAACACCCUUGUUCAUUUGUUUUUCCUCUUCUGUUUUUAUUUUUGUUUGCCUCUUCCCCAUGUAGUUGUUUAAUCUACUAAAAACAUUGAGUUUUAACACACAUAGUCAAUAAGAAACACAAUCAUCCCAAAAAUCAUAAGAACACAAAAAAGCCCUAAAAUAAAAUAUGAAAACAGAGCACAUUGAGAGAAGAGGACUUACCACUCAUAGAUAUGGGAAUGCAAUGGUAUACAUCAAUGACACUAGUUCAUAGUGGAAAUUUUCCAAUGGUGACCACUUGUGAAAUUAUUGAAGUCAGGUAAGGCUACUCCAAAGGGUUAGGGCAUUUUAGUGGUGGGAUUUGUAAAUAAGGAAUGGGUUAUGGCUUCUUAGUGCUGGAUUUCACCCUUGCAAAAAGGGUUUCAUAGUACGGAAAGGGUUUCUCCCAACUUGCGACAUCGACAAUUGACAUGUAGGGACCAGAUUCUCUAGAACGAUAUGCUAUGAGUCUUUGGAAGCUUGUCGUUCAAUCAUUAUUGUUCCUUUAGGUAUGAGAUUCGAGCUUCAUUUUUCGGGUUUUUCGAGAUAUGAAAUAGAGGGAAUGUUUGGCGGUAACAUAUUGCAGAGAGAAAAAAUUCUAGAGAUAGCCAUAUAUUUAUAGGUAAAAUUCAAUGGCACUUAAAGAAGUGCCGAGGAAAAAUAAUACUAGUUAACAAAACGAUGAUACUUCCAAUAAGCGUCAUUGUAUACAAGGUAAAAGAGAAAAUAGUAUAUCAAACAAUGAUGCUUCCAAUAAGUGUCAUUGUGUACCAUGCUAAAGGGAUAAUAGUAUGUCAAACAAUGACACUUUUAAUAAGCGCCAUAAAAUAAAGCAUAUUAUAUCAAAUAAUGACGUUUUUUAAAAGUAUCAAGGAAUGAAGCCGUCAUUAUUUUAAAAUUUUGUAGUAGUGUAAGAGAUGUUUGGUAAUAAGGAUUGUUCUAAUAGACAAGCUGCCCUAAGGACUAUCAUGAACACCAAAAUGAUAGAGUGAACUCCCAUAAGAGAUUAUAUGUUAUGUAUAAUUACACUCUUAUAGAGUGAAGAUAUUUAGAUUUGGCAUUGUAGGGGAAACUAAGGUUAAUAUGAUCUUAGAGACCUUAUUAGAUUCCCUUAGGUAGUUCAAAAUCAACUAUUUUGUGAAUAAGAUGUUAAUGAACUUGUUAGAACUUAUGAGGGAACUCUCAAGGAUUAAAAGGGUGUUCAUAUGACAAUCAAUUAAAGGUUCUUCAGGUUCUUCAACUAAGAAGAAGAAGAAUAAGAGUAGAAGUACCAAAUAAAAGGGAAAGUUCAAGGUUUGGGAAAAAAAAGUAAAGGAAAGGGCACAUACUUUGUUUAUGGAAAGAAAAGCCACUGAAAAAAAAAAAGGAGGGUCCUAAAUAAUAGAAGAAAAAACAAAGUAUGCAUCAUAUUCUCAACUGAAUCAUGUUUAGUGAUGAAUUUUCCCAACUUUUGGUAGGAUUUUGAGGUUAAUGACUAUAUUUGUAAUUCUUUAUAAGGGUUUCAAAUAAAGAGAAGUUUGAAUGAUGUGAAUAUGUAUCUGACUCUAGCUUCUAAUGUAAGGAUAGUUGUGCAAGUAAUGAAAUAUGUUACCCUUCUUUUAAAGAAGAAAUGCCUUUUAUACUCAAAGAUUAUCUUUAUAUUCCUAACUAUAGAAAUAAUUUGAUUUCACUUUCUAGUUUAAAUAAAUCUGACUUUUAAUAAAGAAUUUAUUAGAAAGAAUGUUGUAUUGUGAAUAAUGACACUGGCAUGAGAAGAAAUAGUACAUCAUCAACUUUAGCACUAGAUUACAAUUGAGAUCAUGCACAACAAAAGUUCAUUACAACUAAAAAAAAGAUCCUAUAAUUAAAGUUGUUUUUUUCUUGAUCAUAAGAAUGAACGUGAGUACAUUUUUAAUAUGGCUAUAUUUUAACAUGCAAGAAAAUCUAGAUGUGGAUAUAUCCAUGAUUUUACUUGGUUGGCUAAUAAAACUUCAAGGUCCUUCGCAAAUUAAAAGAAUUUAAUUUGUAUUUAUACCUUAUUUUUCGCGAAUGCAUUCCUAAUUGUUUAGAUAAGGGUUUAAAUUUCAUUAUCUUUAUUUGAAUAUUAUGAACAUACUAGUUAAUUUAUUGGUCCUUUCUAGAAUAGCAUAAUUUACUUGAUGAGCAUAGAAAAGAAGUUAUAAUAUACUCAUUAUGUGAACAUCAAUAGUGAUAUUUUGGUUGUUCACUUAUGAUCCCUGCUUUUCUCUACUUGUAAGUUGAGACUUAUAUAUAAGAAUAGCUCAUCCAAUGUGUUUCUAAAUACUCACACUCAAAUGAGGACUUAUUUUUAUUGUCUUUAGAAAUUUCUACCUAAAAGUGGUCAUAAAAUGCAAGGUUUCAAUUUUAUAAAUAUUUGCAUAAUAAUGAUCAUAUUACAAACGAUCAAUAAAAGUUAGUUUCAUGUUGGAAAUCAUAUAUUAGCAAAAUAUAAAAAAUACUUAAAUCAUCUUUCCAAAAUAUUCAAAUAAUAAGGUGACUGAAGAAUUUAAAUAUACUUAUAAUUCACAUAAACAUGUACACAUCCAUUACUUGUGAAUUAAAGAAUGAAUUCCAUAUAGGUUUUAAUCAAGCAAAAUCAAUACCAUAAUUUUGUCUUUAACUCGUUGUAAUAGACAAGGACAUAUGCCUCUCUCAAAACAUUUGAAAUGAAAAAUUUGAAAUCACAAUGUUUUUCUUCUUUUGAAUUUGAUUGCUUGUUCUUAAUUUGACAUUCUCUUUCCCUUUGAGAUUAAAAAAAAAAAAAAAAACAAACAAACAAACGGAGUAACAAAUUAAAAAGAGUGUCAAUUCAACUCAAUUAGAGUCUAUUCAAAAUUGGAAAUUUCCUUGUAACAACUAACUAGCUUGAAUGAAUAAGGAUGUAUGGGUUGAUCAAUCAAGCUUUGGGCCUUUGAAUAAUCAUAUCAAAUUUUCACUUUCAAUUGCUUGAGACAUUCCACCUGGAUAUCAAUCAAACCCAAGGUUAAGACAUUAAAUUAUGUAAUUUUCUAUAAUAAGCUAGUUUCAAAAAAUGUUUAAUGCUUCAAAAGUAAUAACUUAUGAAAUAAAGAAUCAAUCGCAACAUAAGCUUUAGUUAACAAAUGCAAUGCCAUAAUUUUAUAUUUUUGCUCAUUUGAAAUACGUAGGAACCCAGGGUUAUCAAUCAAACCCAAGUUUAAGAAAUUAAAUUAUGUAAUUUUCUAUAAUAAGCUAGUUUCACAAAAUGUUUAAUGCUUCAAAAGUAAUAACUUAUGGAAUAAAGAAUCAAUCCCAACAUAAGCUUUAGUUAACAAAUGCAAUGCCAUAAUUUUAUAUUUUUGCUCAUUUGAAAUACAUAGGAACAAAUACCAACAUGCAUCUUAAAGUAAUCCAAAACAAAAUACUUGAAAUUGAAAUAUUAUUUCCCAUCUUAAAGGAGAUUCUAUCUCUUUACACCAAGAAUUAUGUAUAGAGCAAAAGUGUGAGUUUAAAUUGGCAUCACUUUAAUCAAAAUCUCAAAUUGGGUUGAAGUAUUUGACUUGCCUUGAUUAAUAAGGGCAUCCGCAUCCAUGGCUUAACCAAUAGGGGUUGGGCAUUUGACAUUAUGUAUUUAGCAGCUUGGAAUAUCCCAUCAAAGCUUGAUGUGUACUAACUUUUCCAACAAAAUGUUUAAUCUGCAAAAAAAUUAACAACAAUCAAGCUUGUCCUAGAGAUGCCGAAAAACGAGUCCCAAUAAAAAUGGGUUUUGAAAAACAAAAAUUCAGUAAAAGGAAUUUCAGCCCCUUGGAAUCAGCAAGGCAUAUAUAAUAGAAACUAAGAAAAGGAGGGUGGCUUAAUUACCAAAAAGUUGAGAUAAAUGUUUGGUCAACAUCAACAAUUCUCUUACUUGAAAUUAGUGUCUUGUACAGCAUAUCCAAUGAACAAAUUUGCAAAGAAGCUCCAGCCAUCUGUGCAUAUGGUCCAUUUCAUGGUCUUGGGCAUCAACACCAUUACCAUCAAUAUGCAGGGUGGUGCCAUCACAGCUUCUCUCCACAUCAGUAUUAGUAUCUUCUACUGCUGAACUGGUGUCACAGCUUACUUCUACGUUGUACAAUUGUUAGAUUGUUCUGUUCAUAAUCGUGGGCAUAUAGAAAGUGGAAGCCACACCUCGCCGCUUUCACUGGUUUAAUACCGAAGUAGACAUUAAAUGAAGCGUUCAAGGUUCUCCAUUCAUUUGAGUGAUAUCUCUUGGGAAUACAUGACUUCGGAUAAUAUACGAAGCACCCUUGACUUGAUGCAUCUUCAUCAUAGCAGAAUUCACAAAAUUGAUCAAAGUGAUAGGAAAAAUAUGCAGAGUCAUAAUCGAAAUUCAAGUUACAGUUGAAAAUCCUAUGUGUUGUGGUCUCAAUCUCAAGUGGAACAUAAAGAGAGCACAGAACAAAGCCCAAGAAGUCAUCAUUUUCAUACCAACUCCAAGGAAGUUUCAUUGUUAUUUUGAACCCGCUUUUCUGAUGGCAUAUCCACUCCGGAAUCCCAUUUCUUUCAGCAAUAAAAGUUAUGAAAGAUCUUCUAAAUUCACGCUGCUGCACAAAAAUUACCCUCUGAAUUUUGCGUCCCCAUGAAAAGAAAGGUUAAAUGAUAUAUGAAAACCAUACCUGAAUUUGGGAUUUAAAACAUUUGAAUAAAGAAGACCAGAGUAGAUUUGAUUGACUGGAUAAAUUUUCCAGGGAUGUGCAGUGAUGGGCAUCUAGACACCUUAAACCUGAUGGAAGUUCUGGAAUAUGUUGAAGCAUCUUGCAGUGACCCAAGUCAAGAUGUUCUAGGUUAUAAAGUUGACUGAUCCCAUCAGGUAUGCGACUAAAGUGGUUCCCCCUCAGAGAUAAUGUUACCAGUGAUGAUAGGUAAUAAAUUUCACUGGGAAAUUCCCUUAGAUUGCAGCCUUUAAGCCUUAAUGUCCUCAAGGAGCAUAAACCGGACAAAGACGGCAAUUGAAAAUUCAUUGAAUCUAAAUGCCCAACACUAAGAUGAAGUAAAGAUUGUAGUCUCCCCAAGUUGUCUGGCAAUUUCUUGAAGUUUGGACAGCUUUCGACAACCAGAGUUUUAAAAGAUGUCAAAUUACAAAUACUCUCGGGAAGAUUCACAAGGUUUUUGCAGUUUCUCAGAAGCAAAUAUUGAAGCCCUCUUAGACGUUCAAUUGAUGAUGGUAUCUCUUUUAUGGCGGUUCCAUUUAAAUAAAGCUUUCUCAAGCUCUCCAUAUCUUGCAGGAUUUCUGGAAAGCUCUCUAGUUGUGAACAGCCAGAGCAGGAGAGAGUUGCAAGGGAUUUGAAACCAAAAAUGCUACUGGGCAGACUCGUAAGAUUUCUGCAAUCCCGCAGACAUAAACUAUCAAGUUCCGAGGGAUUCUUGAUAAUGGGUACUUCAUUCAUAUCACUGCCCUUAAAACAGCACUUCCGCCGAAGCGUCCCAUCCCGUUGGCAUGCCCUGCAUAUUCUAAUAUCUGCAUCCUCAUGGCUUUGUUGAAGGUCUUGGGAGUAUAUAAGGCGGACUCCACACUCCUUUACUUUCAAGACUUUCUCAGAAUUAACGUAAAAGUCGAAAAAGACAAACCUAAGGCGAGUCCAUUGAUCAGAGCAAAACCUUUCCGGAAUGGCUGCCUUGGGAUAGCAAAUCACCCACGUCUGACCUGAUACACUCUCAUUAUCUUCGUCCUUCUCUUCUUUAUAGCAAAAACAAUUGGAUUGAAACAAGGAACGAUCUACCAAUUCAACUCCAUCACCAAUGAUAACCAAAUCACACUGCAGACAACAAGAAUGUCUAUGUUUAUGUUCAUUCUUACGAAAAGAUUCAGCCACAGAUUUAUGGUCUGUUUCAUUCUCCCUUGUAUGAGCAGAUUCAUCCUCAGAUUUAUUGUCUGAUUCAAUCUUGGACCCGUGAGCAGAUUCUUUUUCGGGUAUGUCCUCAGAUUCGUAAGCAAGUGGAACAUAAACACAGCAUAUAGCAAAUCCCAAAAACUCAUUAUUUUGGUGCCAAUUCUGAGGGAGCUCUGUUCUUGUAAAAUGUCUAUUUGUCCGACCCAUAAUCCAUUCUGGAAUUCCAUCACUUCCGGGAAGAAAAAUGCAAGUUCCCUUGCCAUGGUAGGAAGAAUCACUAAAACUAGUGAGUUGCGAAUCCUGCACCAAAGCACCAUGUAAAUAUAGAGUCCGCAUAUAACCAGUGUGUGACAUGAAAAUCAUACCUGUGCCCAACUGAAACAAUUGACCAGAGAAUGCAAUGGCAAAAACGGGGCUCUUGAUGAAGUGUGAUUUGAACCAUGUGCAUCUAAAAGCUGUAGACGUGAUGGAAGCUCUGGAAUUUGUUCAAGAUUGUUGCAGUGACUAAGGUUAAGGGCUUUCAGCCUGGAAAGCUGAUUGAUGGUAGGAGGUAUGCUACUAAAAUGGCCCCCUUCCAGAUUUAGUUUCUGUAAUGAUGAUAAAUAGCAAAUAUGACUAGGGAUUUGGUGGAGCUUUGAACACUCUUGAAGUAGGAGAGUUUGAAGACCCUUAGCUUUCUCAUAUUGGCCAUGAUUUCUGGAAAUCUCUCUAGCUUUGAACAGCCAUUGCAAGACAAAGUUUGAAGGUGUUUCAACUUGUAAAUGCCUCCUGGAAGAAGCUCCAGGUUUACACACCCUGCCAGAUUCAAGGGAAAAAGAAAAACCAAGUUAGUUUUAGUAAUUAUAAUACUACUGCACCAAACUUUUAAGUACCGUUGUACAACCUUUUAGAGUUAGAAUCUCCAAGUUUGGCACACUUGAGAAGUCUGGGAUUCUUAUGAGAUGGACAGAGUGACUGAGAUCAAUAACCCUCAACUUGUCAUGAAGCUGUAACAAAAUAAUUUUUUUCAAUAGAUAAAUUUACAAGUUAAAAAUGAAUAUAAAAUUAAAUUGUAACUAAAUAAUAAUAACAAUACCUUAUUGCCCCUCCAAACUUGCUUUAUAUUGCUGUCCCUUAAUGAGAGUUCAACAAGGUUCUUUCCAUGAAAAUUCAUUGGCAAAGAUUCUAAAGGGUAUCCAUCCCAAUGCAGAUAUCUUAACUCAUAAGAAGAGAAUUCAAAGUCCCUUGGAAGGUGGUUUUCAAGAAAUAGCUUUCUACGCGGGUUAUGGAUUUUGAGCAAUCUAAGUCUAUUCAUCUCUUUGAAAGAUUCUGUAGUAAGCUGUAAUGGAUUAAAUUUACAUCCAUCUAAGAAUAGUCCUUCAAUUGCUCGUGUCCCCUGAAAAAUAUAAGACGAGUAGGUGAAACAAAAGAUGCAUUAGACUUAAUUGAGUUAUACACACGACUAAUUUCUGAAAAAAUAAUAAUAGUAUUGAAGCUUGCAUACACACGUAUAAACAAGUUUAUGCAUUUGACUCUUACUAUAUUUCUUAUUAGCACAUGAUAGGCAUCAUAAUCCCACAAUCUACUCCUUCUUCCAGGGUCUUCAGGGCAUUCUUGACGAAUAAUCUCCCAACCCAUUUGUUGUAUUAAAUCAUGCAUAUCUAGCAUGUUUUUUGAAACAGUUAUGAGACAUCUAUCAUCUAGAGUUGUUAUUGCGUGCUUUGCAUGAGGGCCCAAUAUUCUUGAAACAAAAUCUGUAUUAUAUCCUUUGAAAAAGCAUGCAACAUCCAAAAAUAUCCCCUUGUCUAUAUCAUCGAGUCCAUCAAAGCUUAUUCUAAGUACAUUGUGAAUUUCCAUGUGGGGCAUUAUUUUUAGCUUACACAGUGCACUUUCCCAAUUACUUAUUUUCUUUCCAAAAAGAGAAGCACCUAAAACUUUAAGUGCUAACGGAAGGCCAUUAGCAUAAUCUAUGAUAUUGUAUGAGAGGUUUUUAUAAACUUCUUGGGGACGAUUUUGUUUAAAGGCCCACAAACUAAAGAGCUCAAUAGCUUCUUCCUUGUUUAAUUCUGAAACCUCAUAUGGUACAUCCGCUCCAUAUUGAGCAAGCACGUGUUUGUCUCUAGAUGUAAUGAUGAUUGUACUUUUUGCAUGAAACCAAUCUUUCUCUUCAGCCAAAUAUUCUAGUUGUUUCAACUCAUCCACAUCAUCAAAAAUAACAAGAACUCUAUUGGAGCUUAGACACCUCUUUAUCAUACUAAUUCCUUCAUCAACAUUGUUUAUUUUAAAAAAAUUUCCCCUUAGGAUACCAUGAAGAAGUUCUUGCUGUAACUAAAGUAUAUUAUCACCUUUGGAUCUCUCUUUGAUAUUUAUAAGAAAGCUACUACCAUCAUAUUGAGGUGAGAUCUCAUUAUAAAUAGCCUUGGCGAUAGUAGUCUUCCCAGCCCCACCAAUUCCAUAUAUCCCUACGACGCUAACCAUAUUUAACUCAGUGUUCAUCAACGAUUUCAAUUUUUCCAAAUGAACACCAAUUCCAACUAUGUUCUUUCCCACACUUAAAGGUAGAUGGUUUAAUCUUCUAAUGAUUGUAUCAACAAUUUCCUUGAUAACCUCAGUCUCAUACCUGCCAAUCAUAUAAAUUAAGUAAAAUGAUGAGUUAGAAUGAGUUGCAAAAUAUAAUAAAUUUAAAAAAAAUUUAGUCGUGUAUGGCCGUGUCCAAUAUUAUUGAAUUAGUAGCAAUGGAAUGAAAAAGAAAGGGGUCAAGCCAAUUUACUUACAUAUUUAAGCUUCAAAUUUGUAAGUAUCAAACUACUAAUGUGCCAAGUUGCAAAUUUUCAAUACUCUUACUGUUAGAGCAUUGUGUAGGACUCCUCUAUGAACAAGCUAAUGCCUUCUUUCAACUUUUAUUUCACAAACAACUUGCUUAUGAUUCCUCAAUUUCACUUGUCUUUAGGUUUUAUUAACUUACCAAUACUUACCAAUGUUGCAAAGACUCUGUUUUUAGCCUGCCAAUUAAUUUUGCAUUUUCAUAGAGGAAUCAGGAAACGAGUGAAUGUGGAGAAUUUCAUGAUUUGCUUGUUGAUUGGGAACUUAAAUAUGAUUUGCUUUUGAGAAAAUUAUAAAAGGGUUAAAUUUUGAUACUUGUAUUUUUGGACCAACACAAGGGAAAAAUGAAAGUUAGAUUUUGUUAACAAUUUCAUACUUACUGGUCAUUCACAUGGCAUCCAGAUAGAUUAGCUGCUUCUCUCAAUGCAAUCCUCCACUUUUGUAUCAUCUCCAUCUUUUCUUGAUUUGCAUCUCUUUCAUGGUAGGCAAGUGCGUCUCCGAAACUUCCCCUUUGGUUUCGUACAUCAGAUGGAUCCACAUGGUAGAAAAUUGGUAGAACCACUGAUUCCUUUUGGCUCUUGCGUUCAAUGAUCUUUACGAGUUCAUUUAAACACCAUCUGGAGUAAGCAUAAUUUUUUGAGAAAAUAAUAAUAAAAAUCCUCGAUUCUUCGAUAGCUCUGAAGAGAUCAGAUGCAAUAUCUCCUCCUUUCUCAAGUUCCUCAUCAUCUCUGAAAGUUUGAAUUCCAGAUGCAGUCAAUGUGGUAUAUAGAUGAUCAGUGAAAUUUCUGCGAGUAUCGCCACCUCUAAAACUCAAGAACACAUCAUAAUUACGAGAAAUAGAAGUAGUCGAGGAAGAGGCUCUAUGGGUGCUGGAAGAAGCCAUUUUUGGAUGGCUUGAACCAAAAUUACAAGGGAGUUUGGAGGGUCCUUGGAUGCUCAAUGACUAUUGGCUUCAGACCUCUUCACCAUGAACAAAAAUCCAAGCUGGGAGGGAGGUUCAGCUGAAAAGUUUCAUCUGCAGUCGUAAAAGAAAAGAAAAACGUAUAUAAAGCCCUCUUUGAGAAAUUUCUUUGUAUAUAAAUUCUAAGAGAAACUCACACAUAUUUUACCUUUUGGUUGGGGAAGAUCCUUUCUCCAUUCCCUUUGUGUUGGAGACUGCAGUUAAGGGAUGUAGAGAAGAUGGCGGGGAAGACGGUGUGCAGGAUAGACAGGGGUUGAAGAAGAGGCGGUGGGUAGCAGAGGUCUCGUUGACUAGUGGAUGGAAUUCUAAUCUUUUUUUUUUUUUUUUUUUACCACUUACCUCCAACGGCACUGUAGAAUUUUCCAUAAUAUGAAUAUAUAUAUAAAAGAGAAUCUUAGUUGUACAACUUGAUCCUUAUUUAGUCUAUAUUAGUUCCUUUUCUAUGUAAUAUUUAUUUUGAUAUUUUAUAACUUGAAUUUAUAGAAUAUCUUUUGUUCAAUAAUUUUUUGUUUUAAUUUUUAUGAAAAAUAUCAAUUUUUAUAAAUAUAUCAAUGAAUCAAUUUUACGAAUAUAUUGAGAUAUAUCAAAAAAUAUUGAUGGAUAUUCUGAAAUAAAAUAUGAAUAAGACAAAAAUUAUUCAAAAUUUAUAAAAAUAUUUAAAACAAUUAUAAAAAAUGCAUAUAAGAAGUGACAAUAAAUACAUUGAUGUUGUUUUGUUAAAGAAAUGAAUAUAAGUAUGAUAUAAUUUAUAGCAUUCAAUAAUAAUAUUUAGAAUUUAAAAGUAAAUUUUAUAUAAAUGUAUCUAAUUUGAAUGUUUUUAAUAACAUAAAAGACAUGAUGAUAAAAAUAUUAAUAUUUUUUAUUUUGAAAUAUUAAUAAUUUUAUUUAUAAAUAAAAAUAUAUAUAUUAAUUUAUGCACAUGAAACAUUAUAUAUAUAUAUAUAUAUAUAUAUAUAUAAAAGAGAAUCUUAAUGUAAUGUACAUAAAUAAAUAUUAUAUAUAUAAGUUAUACAUAACGUUAUAAUAUUAACAAAGUUAGCUUGGUGGCGUGGUGCUCACUCUAUGCCUGAGGUCAUGGUUUCUCAAACCCAUCCUUCCACAAUGAUUUAAAUCCCUUUUUAAAGGUAAGAGGUGGGAUCCCACAUCGGUCAGCCACAACACUUAAAAACCUGCUCAUAGACCCUUUGGCAGGUAGCAAUGUUUGAAUGCGUGUGGUUGGCUGGGCCGACGUACACGUAAAAUCUUCCAAAAGGGCAAUUUAUCUCUUUGCCGAGAUAUCCACCUACCGCGCCCUCGUUUGGUGUAGGUAUAAUUUUACUGAAAAAUAUCGAUAAAGAAGAAUAUAUUGAUAUUAAUAAUUUAUUAUUUGUGUUAUUAAAUUAAUUUAUUUUAUAAAAUAUUAUAAUUUUAUUGUUUUUUAUUUUUUAUUUUAGUAAUUUUUGAAUAAACUUAUACUUCUAAUAUUUUAAAAUAAAAUUAUUUAAAAUUAAAUAGAAUUAAAAGGAUAAAUAUAUAAAAUUUAAAAGUAAAGUGAUAAUAAUUUUUUAAAAUAUAAUUAAUGAAAUAAAUGAUGAUAUAUUUAAUAUUAAAAUUAUAAUUUAUUUAAUUUAAAUAAAUUUAAUAAUGUAAAAUAAAUAUUGAUGUAUAUAUGAUUUUUUUAAUAUUCAUAUUUUUUAUAUUUAAUUAUCAUUAUUAAGAAAAUUAUAGAAAUGGUUUUUUUACUUUUAUUAAUUAAUUAAAAAAAUUUAAAUAAAAUAAUUAGAAUUAAUUGAUUUAUUCUUUUAAUAAUAAACUUUAAGAUAUUUAUUGUGAGUAUAUAUUAAGUAACAUAAAUUUAGCCCAGUGGUAGCUGUGCUCAUAUCCAAGCCUUUUGCUUGGGUUGGAAUCCCUUUGGCACAGGUGUUGGUAGAAAAAUUUCCUCCAUUUCGGGGAAAAACUCACCUUUUGGUGUGAAAUACUUUCAUUUAUGUAUAUAUGAUAUUGUUCUAUAUAAAAUAUUCAAGAAAAGUUUUUUGUUUCUUGUUUUCCUUACUUUUCCAACUAUUUAAUUCUUUUUAAAUACACCUUUGAGCCACUUCAAGGCAACAAUAAUCCAUGUAAUUAUUUUUAUUUUUUGUUUUUAUAAUAUGUGUAUGGCAUAGAUAAUGAAAUUUACAUCGAAAAAAGCAAUCAAGCCUUGCAUGUAGGGGUCUCCAAAAAGCCCGCGGCCCGCUUUAGGCCCGGCCCGGCCCGACGGGCUAAAGCCCGGCCCAAGCCCGCCGGGCCCGAGCCCGUUUAUGGGCGGGCCGGGCCGCGGGCCUAAAUUUAGGCCCGGCCCGUAGGCUUGGCCCGUAGGCCCGCCCUUAGGCCCGCCUUUAAUUUUUUUUAAAAAAAUAAUAUACUAUAUUUUUAUAUAUAUAUAACUAAUUCAUUUAAUAAGCACAAAAUAAAUGUAGCUCAGUUGGUUAGAGCCUUGAAAUUUAAGCUUGAGGUGAGGGGUUCGAAUCCCCCCCUCUUCCUUCCUUUAUUUAAAAAAGCCCGCGGCCCGGCCCGUCGGCCCGGCCCGCCCAGCCCGCCAGCCCGCUAGCCCGCGGGCUCAUAGGCCGGGCCGCGGGCCUCCUAUUUACGGCCCGGCCUGGCCCGGCCCGCCCGUUGGAGACCCUUACUUGCAUGUGAAGUUUCAUUUUCACAUUUUUUAUUUCUUUUCUAUUUUUAUGUUUUCCCCUAAGGCAUUAUCUAUCUAUCUAUAUAUAUAUAUAUAUAUAUAUAUAUAUAUAUUUAUACACAUCUCAUAUUUACAACUUUUUAUUUUUGCUUAACUUUCUUUUUCUUUUUUUAUUUGUAUUUAGUAACAAUGGGUUCAUUUGACAUUCAUUCCAAAGCCUCCUUUUUUGUCAUCAAAUUAUUCAAAUGAUGAUAUUAUAUAAGGAAUUUCAAUUUAUAAUACUUUUAUUCUUAAAAAAUAUUAUAUCUUUUUCUUUAAUAUUUACCCUUUAAUCAUUGUCGCAAAAUGAUAAGAUUGAAGUAAGUGCAAUUAUGCUUUAUUUGAUACUAAUAAGAAUUUCAAAAUCCCUUCACCUCAAGAUAUUGAAGUCUAGGUAAAAAAAAUAGAUGGAUAAAAGUGUGACAUAAAACUUUUCUUCUUUUUUCUUUUCCCAUUUGAAAGGUGUUUGUAGUUGAGGUUAAAAAAAUAUCAAGUGGCAUAACAAAAAUAUAGGAUUCACGAAAAGAGUCAAAUUAAAGGUUUUUGAUGACUAUCUUUGGCAUUUUGAUUUUUGUUUUUCUCCUUUUAACAUACAACAACCACUCUUCUCUUUUAGUACUUGUCUUGAACUUUGAUGACAAUUGUGCAAAGCCUUUUAUAGAGUUUGCUUGAAGGCAUAUUACCAUCAAAAGUUCAAUAAACCUAGGAAAUUUCAUGAAAAUAUUUUAUAUCAUUUCUUCAAAUUUAGAUCUUGGUAAGAAAUUGGUUUAAAGGGAAGCUACUAUCAAAGUUUAGAAAAUAGAAUGUCUUCCAUACUAUAUCUCAUGUUUAGGUAACAUGAAAAGAAUAAUACUUUUUUUUUUUUCAUUUUUCUUUUGUUCCUCUUCUUUUUUGGCAUUCAUUGGUGAUUAGUUAUAUACACAUAAUAUAAUUUUUAAAAGGAUUUCUUUUAUUUUUAUUUUUUCCAAAAUAAUAUUUGAGGAACCUUGAUUAUACCCUUUUAUUAUAUUUUCUUCAUUAAAAAAAAAAUUCUUUUAUGCAUGUUGUUCAUAUUAUAUAUGAUAAUUUAAUUAAAUUUUAGUUACAACUUUGAGCUAGUCGAAGCCCACAAAAUCCAUUUAAUAAUGUUUUUUUUUUUCAAAAUAUUUAUAUAGUUUGAGGUGCCAAAUAUAACAAUAAAAGAUCAAUGGAUAUGAAUAAAAAAAUGACUAAAAGUAUACAAUAGUUUUCCCUUUUACGUACUUACUUUCUAAUUUGGUAGCUCUUUUGCACUCUUAUGAAAACUUUUAUAAAUCUUUAUGUCAAAUUUGUAUGAAGGUAAUCUAUAUACAUGUGUGUAUAUACAUAUCACUUAAUGAUAGUUGGCUUCAUAUGGAAAAAGCAAAUAUUGCCUCCUAACUUUAUUAUUAUCGUAAUGUGAUAUUUUAUCUUCCAAUUUUACUUUCAUCCCUUGGCAUUUAAUACUAUGCUAUUUAUAAUACUUUCUCUUUUUUCUUAAAACGUUUUUUUUUAUUUGAAUUUAGUAACAAUGGGUUAACUUGACAUUCAUUCCAAAGCCUUCUUAUUUGUUCUCAAAUUAUUCAAAAGAUGAUAUUGAAUUUAUGAAAUAGAUGUUUGUAAAAUUUAUGUUAAAUGAUAAUAUUUUUUAAGAAAAAAUAUCAUCUCCUUUUCUUUAAUAUUUAUCCUUUUGUCAUUACUACAAAGUAAGUGCAAUUAUGCUUCAUUUGAUGAUUAAUGAAGAAAAAAGUUACUUUUUUGAUAUUAAAUAUUUAUCCUUUAAUUAUUUUUGCAAAGUUAAAUUAGAGUUUCAUGAAUGCCUUUUCUACUACAAUUAUGAAAUUCGAAAUUUAUUGGCUUGGUACAUUGAAAUCUCUCAAAGAAAUUGAGUUCAUGGAAAAGAUAAGUAUCAGUAUUGAAAUUCAAAUUAAUAUUUGUAACUUAAAGAUUUCUUUAAGCAUUAAAGUUUAGUGUUAUAUUAUAAUAGCAACUAAAAAGACAUUUUUUUGCUCAUUUUCCCCAUUUAUUCUUUUGAAAGUAUAAAAAUAUUAAGAAAAAACUUCAAAAUAUGACAAGAUAAAAAUACUUUGAAAAAUAUAAUACGUAUAAUAUUUUUUGUGAUAUUUUGUGAUAGUAUAUAGAAUUUAAAAACAUAUUAUUAUUAAAAUUAUAAUAUAUUUAGUUUGAUUAUAUAAAAUAAAUGAUAAUAUAUGUAUAAAUAUUUUUAUUUAAAAAUAUUGAUAAUUUUAUUUUUUAUUUAAAUAUUAUACAAAAGAUACUAAUAUAGUUAAAAUUGAUUUUUAAUUUAUAAUAUAUUUAUCUAUAUAUUUGUAUUAUAUAUAGUUUAGACGUGUAAUAUAACCAAAGUAGUAGUUUGGGUGGUGCACGAUUACUGCGCCCUCAUGGGCUGGCUUUAUAUAAAGCCCAAUAGGAGAACUUUUUUAAAGUAAAAGUGAUGCUGACAUUCGGAGCGUAUUUUCAACAUUGGUGGGAUGACUUCAAGCACUCUUUGCUUUUUUCAUUUUAUAAGUCAAGAAUUUGAUGAUUAUCUUUCACUUUUUUUUUUUAUUGCUUUUCUCAUCUCUACAUUCGACAGCCAAUCUUAUUGCUUCUAGUGGUUUUCUUAAGCUUUGAUGAAAACUACCAUCCUAAGCAUCCAAAGUUCAAAGAAUCGGGAAACUCUACAUGAAUUUCACAUAAUCCCUUGAAAUUUAGAUCGUGCUAAGAAAUUGGUUUCAAGGCAUGCUACUACUAAAGUUUAAUAAACCAAGGAAAAUGAAAGACAUUUCACACUAUUUCUCGAAAUUUGGAUCCUGGUAGAAAAUUUCUAUCAAGAUAGGCCAAAAACAAAAUUGAAUAAAUCAAGGAAAUUAGCAUGAUGACAUUUCACACUAUUUAGUUACAUGAUUGCUGGGUAUUAUCCAAAAUUCAAAAGACCAAAGAAAAUUUCCUUUCUAUAGUUGGCUUUAUGUAGAAAAAGCAAACAUUGUCUCAAUUUUUAUAUUGAUGUAAUGUUUAUUUGUUGUUGUCAUGCAUUCAAUAUAUAAACUACUACAACUACUACCACGUUUCCUCUCUAUCAUUGGCUUAAGUUAAAAGAAGCAAAUCUUGUCUCAUUCUUAUACAAUCAAUAAUAUACACUACUACUACUACUAAUAGCAUACUACUAUUACUACUACUAUACUAUUUCUACUACUAGUAGUAUACAUUCUAAUUCUUUAUAGUAAUGUAAUAUUUACUACCACUAACUACACAUUCUAAUUCUUUACACUACUACUACUACUACUAAGCGUCCUACUAUAAUUACUAUUAGUAGUAUAAUGCUAUUACUACUGCUCCUACUAUUAGUAUACUACUAUUACUACUAUUAGUAGUAUAUUACUACGCCUACUACUAGUACGCAUUCUAAUUCUUAAUAAUAAUGUAAUAUUUAUUCUAAUUCUUUAUAGUAAUGUAAUAUUUAUUUAUUUUUAUCAUGCAUUCAAUAAUAUAUAUUCAAUAAUAUAUACUACUUCAUUACUACUACUAGUACUUCAUUUGACAUUUAUUUCAAAGCCUCCUCAUGCAUCCUCAAAUUAUUCCAAUAUAUAUAUAUAUAUAUAUAUAUAUAUAUAUAUAUAUAUAUAUAUAUAAAAUAAUAAAAAUUUUAUAAAAUUAAUGCGUACAAAAAUUAUAUGAAAAUAUUCAUUAUUUAAAAAAAAAAUCUCACCCCAUUUUCUUUAAUAUUUGAUGACAAAUAUAAUAUAGUUAAAAAGAGUACACUAUUGUACAAAUCAUGUAACUUUUAAAGUAUCUCUAUUUAGGCCUUGCUUGAAACCAUAGAAUAAAGCAUAGGAAUGAGUUAAUGUGCUUGGGUUGUUUUUAGAAUAAGAAUAGGAAUAAAAAAUCAUUGUUGUGGAAACCAAAUUCCAUUAUCACUAGGAUUUUGAUUCCUUUAUCUUAUCUUACAUGGGAUUAGGAUUCAUCCUAUCCUCAUUCCUAUUUUCAUGUAUCAAACGAAACCUUAGGCUAUGUUUGGCGUGUGGGAAUUGAGAUGAGAAUAAACACUUUGUUUCCAUUCUAUUUAAUCUUGAAUAAAAAUAAAUUUGAUAAUUUCAAUUCUUGUAUUUGGAUGCACUUAUAAAUGGAAUGUUGGAAUGAUCAUUUGUUUUCAUUUUAAUGUUUGAUAACAUCAUGUAUGAAAUUAAUUUUCUCAUUAGAACAACAAAAACCUUAGUUAUAGUAUAAUGAAAAGUUUAAUAAAGUUGAAAGGAGGAAAUCAAUAAAGAAAUGAUAUUUUAACUUUCUUAAGUUUUGUACACUUCUUUUUAUAUUAAAUUCAAUUUUUAAAUUUGUAAUUAUUUAACCAAAUCCAAAACAAUAUACUUAGCUUCAAUUUAUGUUUCCAACUUGUAUAUGUUAAUAUAAGACUUAGUGGUAGUAAAGUAUUUGAACCAGUAACCUAUAGAGCAAAUUUGUCUACUUAAACUAGUACAUUGACAAUCUCAUCCUUUGAAAAUUUUGGAACAAUACAAAAUAUUGCAAUACAACCCUCUAAAACUCUAAAAUUCAGAUCCUAAAGUCACUCGACCUAAUCCUUACCAAAGAUCACUCACUAUAAAUAACACCUUCUUAUAUUUCUUUUUUUUUUUGCAUGAAUAUGUCACCGCAUAACACCUUCUCCUCUUGAAUUUGAUUCCUUGUUCUUAAUUUGACAUUCUUUUUCCCUUUUAGAUUUGAAAAAAAAAAAAAUCAAAUGGAAUAGCAAAUUAAAAAAUGGUGUGAAUUCAACUUGAUAAGAGUUUAAUCAAAAUUGGAAAUUUGCUUGUAAUAUCUAACUUGCCUUAAUGAAUAAGGAUGUAUGGGUUGAUCAAUUGAGCUUUAGGCCCUUGAAUAAUCAUCUCAGCUUUCACUUUCAAUUGCUUGAGAUAUUUCAUUUGGAUAUCAAUCAAACCCAAGGUUGAGACAUUAAAUUGUACGUGUGUUAGUUUUUAUAAUAAACUAGUUUCACAAAAUGGUUGAUGCUUCAAAAGUGAUAACUUAGUUAACAAAUGCAAUGCCAUAAUUUUAUAUUUUUGCUCAUUUGAUGUAUGUGGGAACAAAAACUAACAUGGAUCUUAAAGUAUUCCAAAACAAAAUACUUGAAAUUGAAAUAUUCUUUUCCACCUAAUUUGAUUGCUCAUUCUAGAUUGGAGAUUCUAUCUCUUUACACCAAGAAUUAUAUAUAGUGCAAGAGUGUGAGUUUAAAUUGGCAUCACUUUAAUCAAAAUCUAAGAUUGGGUUGAAGUAUUUGACUUGCCUUGAUUAAUAAGGACACCCAUGGCUCAACUGAUGGAGGUUGGUGUGUACUAACUUAUCCAACAAAAUGUUUAAUCUGCAAAAAAAUUAAUACAAUCAAGCUUGUCCUAGAAAUGCCCUAAAAUGAGUCCCAAUAAAAAUAGGUUUUGAAAAAAAAAAAAAAAAAAACAAAAAUUCAGUAAAAGGAAUUUCAGCCCCUUGGAAUCAGCAAGGCAUAUAUAAUAGAAACUAAGAAAAGGAGGACGGCUUAAUUAUUACCAAAAAGUUGAGAUAAAUGUUUGGUCAACAUCAACAAUUCUCUUACUUGAAAUUAGUGUCUUGUACAGCAUAUCCAAUGAACAAAUUUGCAAAGAAGCUCCAGCCACCUGUGCAUAUGGUCCAUUUCAUGGUCUUGGGCAUCAACACCAAUACCAUCAAUCAGGGUGGUGCCAUCACAGUGUCUCUCCACAUCAGUAUUCGUAUCUUCUACAGUUGAUCUCGUGUCACAGCUUCUCUGAGAAUGAGUACUAUUGGUAUCUUGUACAGCUGAUCUAUGGCCACCCAAAUCCACAUGAGAAGAACUGCUACCUUGUACCAUUGUGAGAUUGUUCUCACAAUAAGAGAACAAUCUCAUUACUUUCAGCUGAUCAUCACAGUGUCUCAAGUGGAACAAUAAGAGAGCACAGAACAACGCCCAAGAAGUCAUCAUUUUCAUACCAACUCCAAGGAAGUUUCAUUGUUAUUUUGAACCCGCUUUUCUGAUGGCUUAUCCACUCCGGAAUCCCAUUACUUUCAGCAAUAAAAGUUGUGACAUUUCUAUAUUUACACCCCUGCACAAAAAUUACCCUCUGAAUUUUGUGUCUCCUGGAAAAGAAAGGUUAAAUGAUACAUGAAAACCAUACCUGAAUUUUGGAUUUAAAACAUUUGAAUAAAGAAGACCAGAGAAGAUUUGAUUGACUGGAUAAAUUUUCCAGGGAUGGGCAGUGAUGGGCAUCUAGACACCUUACACCUGAUGGAAGUUCUGGAAUAUGUUGAAGCAUCUUGCAGUGACUCAAGUCAAGAAAUGUUAGGUUGUAAAGUUGACUGAUCCCAUCAGGUAUGCGACUAAAGUGGUUCCCCGCCAGACAUAAUCUUUCCAGUGAUGAUAGGGAAAAAAUUUCACUGGGAAUUUCCCUUAUAUUGCAGGCAUGAAGCAUUAAUGUCCUCAAGGAGCAUAAACCGGACAAAGACGGUAAUUGAAAAUUCAUUGAAUCUAAAUGCCCAACACUAAGCUGAAGUAAAGAUUGUAGUCUCCCCAAGUUGUCUGGCAAUUUCCUGAAGUUUGGACACCUUUCGACUCUGAGUUUUCUAAGAGAUGUCAAAUUACAAAUACUAUCGGGAAGAUUCACGAGGUUUAUACAGUUUGUCAGAGUGAAAUGUUGAAGCCCUCUUAGACGUUCAAUUGAUGAUGGUAUCUCUUUUAUGGCGGUUCCAUCUAAAUAAAGGUUUCUCAAGCUCUCCAUAUCUUGCAGGAUAUCUGGAAAGCUUUCUAGUUGUGAACAGCCAGAGCAACAGAGAGUUGCAAGGGAUUUGAAAUUACAAAUGCCACUGGGCAGACUCGUAAGAUUUUUGCAACCCAACAGACAUAAUCUAUCAAGUUCUAAGGGAUUCUCGAUAAUGGGCACUUCAGUCAUGUCACUGCACCCAAAACACCGCUUUCGUCGCGCCCCAUCGCAUUGGCAUUCGUUGCAUAUUCUAACAUCUGCACCCUUUGUCUGUGUUGUUAAUGGAUGGCUUUGAUGAAGGUCUUCGGAGUAUAUAAGGUGGAAUCCACACCUGUUCACUUCCAUGGUUUUCUCAUAAUUAAAGACAGGAUCGAGAAAUAAAGACAUAUUUUCAGUCAAUUGACAAGGGUGAAACAUUUCUGGAAUAGCCGCCUUGGAAUAGCAAACCACCAACGUUUCACCUGAUACACUCUCAUUAUCUUCGUCCUUGUCUUCUUUAUAGCAAAAACAAUUGGAUUGAAAGAAGGGAAAAUCUACAAUUCCAUCUACACUUUUAUCACCAUUGAUCUGCAGAAGACAAGAAUGUGUAUGUGUAUGUUCAUUCUUACAAAAAGAUUCAGCCACAGAUUUAUCAUCUGUUUCAUUCUCCCAUGUACGAGUAGAUUCAUCCCCAGAUUUAUUGUCUGAUUCAUUCUCGGACCCAUGUGCAGAUUCCUUUUCGGGUAUGUCCUCAGAUUCAUCAACAAGUGGAACAUAAACACAGAAUAUAGCAAAUCCCAAAAACUCAUUAUUUUGGUGCCAAUUCUGAGGGAGCUCUGUUCUUUCAAAAUGUCUAUUUGUCCGAUCCAUAAUCCCUUUAGGAAUUACAUCACCUCCGGGAAGAAAAAUGCAAGUUCCCUUGCCAUGGUAGAAAGAAUCACUAAAACUAGUGCGUUUCGAAUCCUGCACCAAAGCACCAUGUAAAUAUAGAGUCUGCAUAUAACUAGUGUGUGACAUGAAAAUCAUACCUGUACUCGACUGAAGCAAUUGACCAGAGAAUGCAAUGGCAAAAACGGGGCUCUUGAUGAAGUGCGAUUUGAACCGUGUGCAUCUAAAAGCCGUAGACGUGAUGGAAGCUCUGGAAUUUGUUCAAGAUUGCUGCAGUGACUAAGGUUAAGGACUUCCAGCCUGGAAAGCUGAUUGAUGGUAGUAGGUAUGCUACUAAAAUGACCCCGUUCCAGAUUUAGUUUCUGUAAUGAUGAUAAAUGGCAAAUAUCACUAGGAAUUCCUCCUUCCAUUAUGUUGCAGUGACCUAGGUCCAAUACUUCCAAUGAUGAUAAGUGGCAAAUAUGAAUAGGGAUUUUGUGGAGCUUUGCACACUCUUGAAGUAGGAGAGUUUGAAGACCAUUUAGAUGUGUAAUUGAUGAUGGUAAGUCCAUUAUAGCUGUUCCACUCAAAUCAAGCACCCUUAGCUCUCUCAUAUUGCCCUUGAUUUCUGGAAAUCUCUCUAGCUUUGAACAGCCAUUGCAAGACAAAGUUUGAAGGUGUUUCCACUUGUAAAUGCCUCUUGGAAGACGCUCCAGGUUUACACAUCCUGCAAGAUUCAAGGGAAAAAAUAAAAAUAAAAAACAAGUUAGUUUUAGUAAUUAUAAUACUGUUGCACCAAUCUUUUAAGUACCAUGCAUUGUACAACCUUCUAGAGUUAGAAUCUCCAAGUUUGGCACACUUGAGAAGUCUGGGAUUCUGAUGAGAUGGACAGAGUAACUGAGAUCAAUAACCCUCAACUUGUCAUGAAGCUGUAACAAAAUAAUUUUUUUCAAUAGAUAAAUUUAUAUAAAUGUUAAAAAUUAAUAUAAAAUUAAACUGUAACUAAAUAAUAAUAGCAAUACCUUAUUCCCUCUCCAAAGUUGCUUUAUAUUGCUGUUCCUCAGUAAGAGUUCAACAAGGUUCUUUGCAUGAAAAUUCAAUGGCAAAGAUUCUAAAGGGUAUCGAUCCCAAUGCAGAUAUGUUAACUCAUAAGAAGAGAAUUCAAAGUCCCUUGGAAGGUGGUCUUCAAGAAAUAACUUUCUGCGAGGGUUAUGGAUUUUGAGCAAUCGAAGUCUAUUCAUCUCUUUGAAAGAUUUUGUAGUAAGCUGUGAUAGAUUAAAUUUACAUCUAUCUAGGAAUAGUCCUUCAAUUGCUCUUGUCCCCUGAAAAAUAUAAGAUGAGUAGGCAAAACAAAAGAUGCAUUAGACUUAAUUGAGUUAUAUACACGGCUAAUUUCUGAAAAAUUAAUGAUAGUAUUGAAGCUUGCAUACACACGUAUAUAAACAAGUUCAUGCAUUUGACUCUUACCGUAUUUCCUAUUAGCACGUGAUAGGCAUUAGAAUCCCACAAUCUACUCCUUCUUCCAGGGUCUUCAGGACAUUCUUGACGAAUAACCUCCCAACCCAUUAGUUGUAUUAAAUCAUGCAUAUCUAGCAUGUUUUUUGAAAUAGUUAUAAGACAUCUAUCAGCUAGAGUUGUUAUUACAUGCUCUGCAUGAGGGCCCAAUAUUCUUGAAACAAAAUCUUUGUCAUCUCCUUUGAAAAAGCAUGCUACAUCCAAAAACAUCCCCUUGUCUAUAUCAUCGAGUCCAUCAAAACUUAUUCUAAGUACAUUGUGAAUUUCCUUGUGGGGUAUUAUUUUUAGCUUACACAGUGCACUUUCCCAAUGACUUAUUUUCUUUCCAAAAAGAGAAGCACCUAUAACUUUAAGUGCUAACGGAAGGCCAUUAGCAUAAUCUAUGAUAUUGUAUGAGAGGUUUUUAUAAACUUCUUGGGGACGAUUUUGUUUAAAGGCCCACAAACUAAAGAGCUCAGUAGCUUCUUCCUUGUUUAAUUUUGAAACCUCAUAUGGUAUAUCCGCUCCAUAUUGAGCAAGCACGUGUUUGUCUCUAGUUGUAAUGAUGAUUGUACUUUUUGCAUGAAACCAAUCUUUCUCUUCAGCCAAAUAUUCUAGUUGUUUCAACUCAUCCACAUCAUCAAAAAUAACAAGAACUCUAUUGGAGGUUAGACACCUCUUUAUCAUACUAAUUCCUUCAUCAACAUUGUUUAUUUUAAAAUUUUUUCCCCUUAGGAUACCAUGAAGAAGUUCUUGCUGUAACUGAAGUAUAUCACCUUUGGAUCGCUCUCUGAUAUUUCUAAGAAAGCUCCUACCAUCAUAUUGAUCUGAGGUCUCAUUAUAAAUAGCCUUGGCAAUAGUAGUCUUGCCAACCCCACCAAUUCCAUAUAUCCCUACGACGCUAACCAUAUUUAACUUAGUGUUCAUCAACGAUUUCAAUUUUUCCAAAUGAACACCAAUUCCAACUAUGUUCCUUCCCACACUUAAAGGGUGAUGGUUUAAUCUUCUAAUGAUUGUAUCAACAAUUUCCUUGACAACCUGAGUCUCAUACCUGCAAUCAUAUAAAUUAAGUACAAUGAUGAGUUAGAAUGAGUUGCAAAAUAUAAUAAAUUUAGUUGUGUAUGGCGGUGUCCAAUAUUACUGAAUUAGUAGCAAUGGAAUGAAAAAGAAAGGGUUAAAUUUUGCAUUUCCAUAAAGGAAUCAGGAAACGAGUGAAUGUGGAGAAUUUAAUGAUUUCUUUCUUGAUUGGGAACUUAAAUAUGAUUUGCUUUAGAGAAAAUUAUAAAAGGGUUAAAUUUUGAUACUUGCAUUUUUGGACCAACACAUGGGAAAAAUGAAAGUUAGAUUUUGUUAACAAUUUCAUACUUACUGGUCAUUCACAUGGCAUCCAGAUAGAUUAGCUGCUUCUCUCAAUGCAAUCCUCCACUUUUGUAUCAUCUCCAUCUUUUCUUGAUUUGCAUCUCUUUCAUGGUAGGCAAGUGCGUCUCCGAAACUUCCCCUUUGGUUUCGUACAUCAGAUGGAUCCACAUGGUAGAAAAUUGGUAGAACCAUUGAUUCCUUUUGGCUCUUGCGUUCAAUGAUCUUUACGAGUUCAUUUAAACACCAUCUGGAGUAAGCAUAAUUUUUUGAGAAAAUAAUAAUAAAAAACCUCGAUUCUUCUAUAGCUCUGAAGAGAUCAGAUGCAAUAUCUCCUCCUUUCUCAAGUUCUUCAUCAUCUCUGAAAGUUUGAAUUCCAGAUGCAGUCAAUGUGGUAUAUAAAUGAUCAGUGAAAUUUCUGCGAGUAUCGCUACCUCUAAAACUCAAGAACACAUCAUAAUUACGAGAAAUAGAAGUAGUCGAAGAAGAGGCUCUAUGGGUGCUGGAAGAAGCCAUUUAUGGAUGGCUUGAACCAAAAUUACAAGGGAGUCUGGAAUCCAAGAAAAUCAGAGGGAGGGUCCUUGGAUGCUCAAUGACUAUUGGCUCCAGACCUCUUCACCAUGAACAAAAAUCCAAGCUGGGAGGGAGGUUCAGCUGAAAGCUUCAUCUGCAGUCGUAAAAGAAAAGAAAAACGUAUAUAAAGCCCUCUUUGAGAAAUUUCUUUGCAUAUAAAUUCUAAGAGAAACUCACACAUAUUUUACCUUUUGGUUGGGGAAGAUCCUUUCUCCAUUCCCUUUGUGUUGGAGACUGCAGUUAAGGGAUGUAGAGAAGAUGGUGGGGAAGAUGGUGUGGAGGAUGGGUAGGGGUUGAAGAAGAGGCGGUGGGCAGCAGAGGUCUCGAUGACUAGUGGAUAGAAACCUAAUUAAGACUAAAAGUAAUGCUUUUCUUUUCGGGAGAAUUUGUGUUUUGUAUCGGCCCAAAAAUUAAUAAAAGAUCCUCUAAACACCUAUAAUUAAUUACAAAGAUAUAAAAUUGAAAUAGACAAAAAUACCUCCUUUGAAUUACACCCAUUAUUUUUGUCUUUAUACCGUCACUCUUUACAUGCCCCCAUUUAUAAAAUUCUCCUUUAUUUAAUCAUUUUUUUAUUUUUCAUUAUUUUUUAAAUUCUUUUAAAAAUAAUUGAAAAAUCAACAUUAUUUUAUAUUUUUAAAUUAUAAAUAAAUAAAAAUUAUAUUAAUGAUUCAAAAAUUAUUUUGGAACAUACUUUAGAAAAAAAUAUUAUUUAAAUGAAUAAAAAUUAUUUUUUACAUUUUAGAAGUAAAUAAUUUAAUGAUUAAAACAAUAUUUAAAUUAAAUAUAUUUACUAUUUUUUUUUCUUUUAUACUAAAAAGUAUUUUAAAGUUUAUUUUUUUUUUAUUAUAAUAGAAUAAAAAGUUUAAAGUUUUUUUUAAAUUUUUUUCCUUCCAUAUUUUAAUAAUUUUUUUAACAUAGACUUUUGGCAAUAAGUUAUAUGAAUGUUCCAAAUUUGUUUAUUAAGGAAUUUUUUUAAUGAUUUGAAUUAAUUAAAAAUUUAUUGAAAUAAGAAAAAAGAAAAAGAGAGAAAGAGGAUAGAUAAAGAGUUUUUAUUUUAAAUAUCCAACAAAAAUGUUUUUGUAUUUAGAAAUGGAUUAUAUCAAUACAUAGUAUAGUAGAUAUUGAUUUUUUUCUCAUGCAAAAGGGCUAAAUGAUAUAUUUACUCAUUUUAAAUGAAAACAAGUAGUUAAAAAUUAUAUAGAUUAUGUUUGAGUUUGGUUUUAAAAUACUUUUUCUAGUUUUAUUUUUUUAUUUUUAAAAAUUAUUUUUAUUUUCUAUAUUGUCUCUUUUUGAAAAUACAUUUAAUUAAAAAAUGAAAAAUAUUUUUAAAAAUGAAAAUUGAAGACCUUGUUUAAUACUAUUUUUUUUUAUAUGAAGGUAAUAAAAAUAAUUAAAUUUCAUUUAUUGAUUAUUCUUUUUUAUUUUUAAAAUAUAAUAUGUUCACAAUUAAAUAAAGGAAUUGGUCAAUUGUAUAUUUUUUACACAAAAAUUUAAUAUGUUCAUAAAAAAAUUGGAUUGAAGUUUUUCGUCAUUUUUUUUAAUCAAACUACUAGAAUCAUGUUUAAUACACAAUAGGCAUACAUGCAUUACGGGGUUAUGAAAUUUGUGUCACUAUACAAGAGUAUUUACUAACUAUAUAAGGGAAAUGUACUGUGUACAAGCAGUGUAUAAGAUUACCAUUUAUAAAAAAUUUCAAUCUAUUUUGAACCACUCCUUUAUUUUCCUUGUCACCCACAAAUUGCAUACUCAUAUCAUGGACUUUAUUUAACUCCCACAUGGAAAUUCUGAUACUUUCCCUAGUAAUGAUGUUUGGGAAAAAAAAAACUAACCCUAGUUCAUCCAUCCUUUUAUUAGUUAAACCAUUAGAAAUAUGAUUAACACACCUACAUGGGCACAUUACUUAGGAGAGAUAUAUUGCACCAUUGUACAAUGGUAUUACACUAAUUAUACAAGAGAAAUGUGCUAAGUGUACAAGGAAAAUGUACUAAGUGUACAAGGAAAAUGUACUAAGUGUACAAGGGUGUACAAGACUACCAUCUAUAAAAAAAUUUAAUCGAUUUUGAAUCACUUCUUCUUUUUCUUUGUCACCCACAAAUUGCAUACCUAUGUCAUGCAAUUUAUUUAACUUUCACAUGAAAAUUUCGAUACUUUUCUUAGUAAUAAUGUUUGGGGAAAAAAAAUUUAAUCCUAAUUCAUCCACCAUUUUGUUAGCUAAACCAUUAGAAAUAAGAUUAAUAUACCUACGUGGACACACAAUUUAAGAAGGAUAUAUUGCACCAUUGUACAAUGAUGUUACACUAACUGUACAAAGAAAAUGUACUAAGUGUACAAAGGUGUAUAAGGCUACCAUUUGUGAAAGAUUUUAAUCGAUUUUGAAUCAUUUCUUUAUUUUCUUUGUUACACAUAAAUUGUAUAUGAAAUUGCACUAUUAUAUAAGGGUGUUACACUAAUUAUAGAAGAGUAUUACACUCGCUGUACAAGACAAAUGUACUAACUGUAUGAGGUAAAUGUACUAAUUAUACAAGGGUGCAUAAGGUUAUCCUUUAUGCAAGAUUUCAAUCAAUUCUAAAUUUUUUUCUUGUAUAAAGGCCAUCCCUUACUCCAUUCAUGCUAAAUGGAUUGAACACUUUUCCCCCACACAUUCCUUCACCUAAAAAAUGUUUUAAUUUUAAAUUUUAAAUUUCAUCAUCCAAAAUUUGUAAUUGCAUAUUUCAUUUAAGUAGUUUUAACAAUAUUUUUUCUUACUACAUUUACAUCUUAUAUAAAGAAAAAUUAACCAUAAUAUUAGGUAUUACCUUUUUUAUGAAAUCAAAGUAAUAUAAAUGGAUAACACAUUAAUGUCAUUGUUUCAAAUGAUUUAAGACAAUAUAAAUAACAUAUAAUAAUUGUUGAGAUUAUGAAUAUUUUUUACCAAACUGUGUCAUUUAGAUCUUCCCUACCAAAAUUAAAACAUAGGAAAUAAAAUUAAAAUUAACCACAUUUAAAGUGUUUAUUACAAGUAAACCGAAUGAAAUAUAUAUUUUUACUAUUUUACCUUUAUAAACAUAAUGUCAGCAGAUAUUAAAAAAAUCAUAUUUAAAUAGAAUUAAAAAGGAUAAAAAAUUGUCUUUGUAACAUUUGUAAUUUUUUUUUAUAAAAAAUCAUUAAUUUAAAAAAAAAAAUUGUUGUAAUUAUAGUUUUGAAGAUUCUAUGAUUUUUAUAUUAUUACUUUUAAUUAUUUUCUUUGAUUUUUUAUUUUAAAUUUCAUCUAAACUUGUUUUUUCUUACAUUUACAUGUUUUCUAUUAUAUCCCUAUUUAAAGUGAUUUUCAUUUAAUUUGUGUUCCAUUAUAUUCUCUUUUCAAUUUUAAUGUGUUGUUAUACCUCUUUACAUAACAAAAGAUUUUGUUAUUUUUCAUCUACAAAACUUUGUACAAAAGAUAUCAUGUACGAGGAAAAAAAAAUAAAAAAGAGAAAAUUAUGAUAUAAUUUACAUACACAUCUCUUAAUAUGAUACAUUUGCUUGACUUAAUGACAUCAUGCUUUAAUAAUUUAAAUCAUGUCAAGUCCACAUCUAUUUUAGAUUUAAAAGGGUAUUUGAAUAUUUUUCAAAUUAUUAAGUUAUAAUACAUUAUUCAAUUAAAAAUUAAGUAUCACCAUUAGUUAAAAGAUGAUUAUGUUACAAAAUAAUGUAUUAAGAUAAUAUCAAUGUAUUGUCAAUAAAAUAGAGAAAAUAUUCAAAUAAUUGUCUACAACCUUAAAGAUAUUUAUAUAUAUAUUGGAUAAAAAAGAAUAAUAAUAUUUUUUAAGGUGAUUAAAAAAUAUUUAUUAUAUAUUUAGUAAGUUUUAAAAAAAAUAUUUUAUGAGGUGUUUAAAAAAUAUUUACUUUAAAAAUAUAGUAAUAAUCAUUUUCAAUCAUUGAUUUCCAAUAUUCAAUUUAUUAGACAUGGUUUCUGGGAGAAAAAUAAUUGAUAGAAAUAGUAACACUUUCCUAGUAAGGAAUUAAUUUACAUGUCCCACCAAUUAAUAUGUGAGAGAAAAAGAUAAGGUGAAUGAUGAAAGAGAGAGGAAAAAAAAAAUGAAAGAGAAUGGGAAGUUAGUUGUUUUCUUUUUCUUUUUGACAGCAAAGGGUAUUUUUGGAAAAUUGAACUUUCCAUAUCAUUCUUCUCAAUUUAUAGACUUUCUUUAGGUGUUGGGCUUAAAUAUGGAACUUACAUGGACCAUAUCUUAAUUUUUGGACCCAGUUGAGUCCAAAACACAAUUUUCCCUUUCUUUUUUAUUAAACAUAUACUUAAUUUUUUUUCUUCAAUUUAAGUAUUUUGAUAAUAUUAUUUUUUAUGAAUAUUGAUGGCAAAAUUCUAUCAUCUUUCUAAAAUAUUUAUUAGAUUCUAGUAGGAAAUCAACGUCAAAGUAGGCCCCUAACUAAAAGUCAAGAGAGCUUUAUGACCUUUCACAUUAGAAAAUAGUUGGAUUCAUGUAGAAAAGGCAAACCUUCCUUCCACACCCAGUGUAAUAUUCCAUUGUUUUUUCUAAUUUUAUUUUUCCCUCUAGUUCCAAUAUUUGUACAACCUCAUCCUUAUUUAGUUUAGCUCCUUUUCUAUGUAAUCUUUUUUUUGGUAUUUUACAACUUGAAUUUAUAGAAUAUCUUUUGUUCAAUAAUUUUUUUAAUUAAUUUUUAUGAAAAAUAUCAAUUUUUAUAGAUAUAUCGGUAAAUCCCUUUUACGAAUAUAUUAAAAUAUAUCAGAAAAAUAUUGAUAGAUAUUUUGAAAUAAAAAUAUGAAUAAGAAAAAAAUUAUUCAAAAUUCAUAAAAAUAUUUAAAAUAAUUAUAAAAAAUAAUAUAAAAAGUAAUAAUAAAUAUCUUGAUAUUGUUUUGUUAAAGAAAUGAAUAUAUGUAUAAUAUAAUUCAUAGUAUUUAAUAAAAUAUUGAUAAUUUUAUUUGUAAAUAUAAAAAGGCAUAUAUUAAUUUAUGCACAUGUAAUAUAUAUAUAUAACGUUAUAAUAUUAACAAAGUUAGCUUGGUGGCGUGGUGCUCACUCUAUGCCUGAGGUCAUGGUUUCUCAAACCCAUCCUUCCACAAUGAUUUAAAUCCCUUUUUAAAGGUAAGAGGUGGGAUCCCACAUCGGUCAGCCACAACACUUAAAAACCUGCUCAUAGACCCUUUGGCAGGUAGCAGUGUUUGAAUGCGUGUGGUUGGCUGGGCCGACGUACACGUAAAACUUCCAAAAGGGCAAUUUAUCUCUUUGCCGAGAUAUCCACCUACCGCGCCCUGGUCGGAGUAUGGAUAUUUUGAUUCAAAUAUCAUGAAAUUAUUUAAAAUAUAUAAAAAUAUUUUAAAAAAAAGUUCAAAAAAUAAUAAUAAUAAUAAUAAUAAAGGUAAGAGGUGGGAUCCCACAUCGGUCAGCCACAACACUUAAAAACCUGCUCAUAGACCCUUUGGCAGGUAGCAGUGUUUGAAUGCGUGUGGUUGGCUGGGCCGACGUACACGUAAAAUCUUCCAAAAGGGCAAUUUAUCUCUUUGCCGAGAUAUCCACCUACCGCGCCCUGGUCGGAGUAUGGAUAUUUUGAUUCAAAUAUCAUGAAAUUAUUUAAAAUAUAUAAAAAUAUUUUAAAAAAAAGUUCAAAAAAAAAAAAUAAUAAUAAUAAUAAUAAAAAUGACUUCAUUAUUUUUUUAUUUUAUAUUUUAGUAAAUUUUUUAAUAAAUUUAUACUUUUAAUAUUUAAAAAUAAAAUAUUUAAAAUUAAAUAAAAUUAAAAUGAUAAAUAUACAAAAUUUGAAAGUAAAGGGAUUAUAAUUUUUUAAAUAGAAUUAAUGAAAUAAAUGAUUAUAUAUUUAAUAUUAAAACUAUAAUUUAUUUAAUUUAAAUGCAUUUAAUAAUGUAAAAGAAAUGAUGAUGUAUUUAUAUUUUUUAUAUUUAAUUAUCAUUAUUAAGAAAAUUAUAAUAAUAGUUUUUAUACUUUUAUUAAAUAAUUAAAAAUUUUAAAAUAAAAUAAUUAGAAUUAAUUGAUUUAUUAUUUUAAUAAUAAACUUUAAGAUAUUUAAUGUGAAUAAACAUAUCAACUAAUAUAAAUUUGGCCCAGAGGGAGCAAGGCUCAUACCCAAGCCUUUUGCUUGGGUUCGAAUCCCUUUCGCACAAGAGUUGGUAGAAAAAUUUCCUCCAUUUCGGGGAAACACUCACCUUUUGGUGUGGAGUACUUUUAUGAUUUUGUUCAAUAUAAAAUUUUCCAAAAAAGUUUUCUGUUUCUUGUUUUCCUUACUUUUCCAAUUAUUUAAUUCUUUUUAAAUAUACCUUUGAGUCACUUCAAGGCAACAAUAAUCCAUGUAAUUAUUUUUAUUUUUUGUUUUUAUAAUGUGUAUGGCGUAGAGAUGGCAAGCAUGAUAAUGAGAAAUCUUAUGUUAAAAUUAAACUAUGCUUUUUUUUAGUAAUUGAUUAUCUACUUUGCCUUUCAUUUUGAUGUUUUACUUCUAAUAUAUAUGAUAUUUUAGUUUGGUGUUCCCCUUGGACUUUAAUUAUGGAGCUAAUUCUUAUAAUUAUUGGUAGAAAAUUUCUUAUGACCAUCAAGAAAUUUAAAGCUUGUUACAAAAAUUGAUAUGAAAGUAGGCUAUUAACAAAAGGUUAAUAGACCCCAAUGUUCUUUCACAUUAAAAGAUAGUGAAAUUUACGUAGAAUAAAUAACUAAUGUUACAAAAAUUUGUAUGAAGACAAUGUUAUUUAUAAAAGGUCAAUAGAAGUACUUUCACAUUGAAAGAUAGUGAAAUUUACAUAAAAAAAAGCAACCAAGCCUCGCAUGCGAAGUUUCAUUUUCACUUUUUCUUUUCUUUUCUAUUUUUAUGUUUUCCCCUUGGACAUUAUCUAUCUAUCUAUAUACAUGUAUACACCUCAUUUCCACAACUUUUUUUGCUUAACUUUCUUUUUCUUUUGUUAUUAGUAUUUAGUAACAAUGGGUCAAAUCAUUUGACAUUCAUUCCAAAGCCUUCCUUUUUGUUCUCAAAUUAUUCAAAGGAUGAUAUCAUAUAAGGAAUUCUUAAAUAGAGCUUGUAAAAAUUACAUCAAAUUUAUAAUUCGUUAAAAAAUAUAUAUAUCAUCUCCUUUUCUUUAACAUUUAUUCUUUAAUCAUUGUUGCAUAAUGAUAAAAUUGAAGUAAGUGCAAUUAUGCUUUAUUUGAUACUCAUAAGAAUUACAAAAUCUCUUCACCUCGAGAUAUUGAAGUCUAGGUAAGAAAAUAGAUGGAUAAAAGUGCGAUAUAAAACUUUUCUUCUUUUUCCUUUUCCCAUUUGAAAGGUGUUUGUGGUUGAAGGAAAAAAAUAUCAAGUGGUAUAACAAAAAUAUUGGAUUCGGGAAAAAACUCAUAUUAAAGGUCUUUGAUGACUAUCUUUUGCAUUUUGUUUUUUGCUUUUCUCCUUUCAAGUUCUAACAUACAACAACCAAUCUUCUCUUUUAGUAGUUGUCUUGAACUUUGAUGACAAUUGCGCAAAGCCUUUUACGAAAUUUGCUUGAAGGCAUACUACCAUCCAAAGUUCAAUAAACCAAGGAAAAUUGCAUGAAAAUAUUUCAUAUCAUUUCUUGAAAUUUAGAUCUUGGUAAGAAAUUGGUUUAAAGGUAAGCUACUAUCAAAGUUUGGAAAAUAGAAUGUCUUUCAUACUAUUUUUCAUGUUUAGGUAACAUGAAAAAAAUAAAUUUUUUUUUUCAUUUUUCUUUUGUUUUUCUUCUAUUGGCAUUCAUUGGUGACUAGUUAUAUACACAUAGUAUAAUUUUUAAAAGGAUUUCCUUUAAUUUUUUUUUUCCAAAAUAAUAUUUGAGGAACCUUGAUUAUACCAUUUUAUUAUAUUUUCUUCAGAAAAAAAAAUCUUUUAUGCAUGUUGUUCAUGUUAUAUAUGAUAAUUUAAUUAAAUUUUAGUUACAACUUUGAGCCGCUUGAAGCCCACAAAAUCCAUUUAAUAAUUUAUUUUUUUCAAAAUAUUUAUGUAGCUAGAGGUGCCAAAUAUAAAAACAAGAGAUCAAUGGAUAUGAAUACAAAAAUGGCUAAAAGUAUACAAUAGUUUUCCUAUGUAUUUACUUUCUAAUUUGGUAACUCUUUUGCACUCUCAUGAAAACUUUUAUGAAUCUUUGUGUCAAAUUUGUAUGAAGAUAAUCCAUAUACAUAUGUGUAUUAUAUAUCACUUAAUGAUAGUUGGUUUCAUAUGGAAAAAGCAAAUAUUGCCUCCUAAAGUUAUUAUUAUCGUAAUGUGAUAUUUCAUCUUCCAAUUUUAUUUUCAUCCCUUGGCAUUUAAUACUAUGCUAUUUAUAAUACUCUCUUCUUUCUUAAAACAUUGUUAUCAAAUUAUUCAAAAUAUGAUAUUGAAUUUAUGAAAUAGAUGCUUGUAAAAUUUAUGUCAAAUGAUAAUAUUUUUCAAGAAAAAAAAUGUUAUUUCCUUUUCUUUAAUAUUUAUCCUUUUGUCAUUACUACAAAGUAAGUGCAAUUAUCUUCAUCAUCUCUGAAAGUUUGAAUUCCAUAUGCAGUCAAUGUGGCAUAUAGAUGAUCAGGGAAAUUUCUGCGAGUAUCGCCGCCACCUCGAAAACUCAAGAACACAUCAUAAUUACGAGAAUUAGAAGUAGUAGAAGAAGAGGCUCUAUGCAUGCUGGAAGAAGCCAUUUUUUGGAUGACUUGAACCAAAAUUACAAGGGAGUUUGGAAUCCAAGAAAAAUCAGAGAGAGGGUCCUUGGAUGCUCAAUGAAUAUUGGCUCCAAACCUUUUCACACCAUGAACAAAAAUCCAAGACGAAAAGCUUCAUCUGCAGUCGUGAAAGGAAAAAAAAAAAGACAUCUAUAAAGCCUCUUUGACAAAUUUCUUUGUAUAUAAAUUCUAAGAGAAACACACAUAUUUUACCUUUUGUUUGGGGAAGAUUCUUACUCCAUUCCCUUUGUGUUGGAGACUGCAGUUAAGGGAUGUAGAGAAGAUGAUGGGGAAGAUGGUAUGGAGGAUAGGCAGGGGUUGAAGAAGGGGCUGUGGGUAGCAGAGGUCUCUUUGAUUAGUGGAUGGAAUGGAGGUAAGGAAUUCUAAUAUUUUGAAAUGAAGUUUCAUUGAAGGUGUUGUUUAUAGUUUUUGUUUCCAUAAUAUUUGUGCGGCAGCUAACGGACAUAAUUAUGAUAAUGAGAAAUCCCAAAUUAAGACUAAGUAAAGCUUUUCUUUUUAAUUAAUCAUAUACUUAAUUUUUGUCCUUCAAUUUCAUAUUCUAAUUGUAAUUUGUUUUAUUAUUGUUUUUUUUUGUCUUGUAUUUUGAUAAUGUUAUUUUUUAUAGAUAUUGAUGGGAAAAUUCUAUCGUUUUUCUAAGAAAUUUAUUAGAUUCUGGUAGGAAAUUGUCAAAGCAGGCUUCUAACUAAAAGUCAAUAGAGCUCUAAGACCUUUCACAUUAAGAAAUAGUUGGAUUCAUGUAGAAAAGGCAAACCUUCCCUCAACACCCAAUGUAAUAUUUUAUUAUUUUUCUAAUUUUAUUUAUUUUCCUCUCUAGGUCCAAUAUUUGUACAACUUCAUUCUUCUUUAAUUCCUUUUCUUUGUAAUAUUUAUUUUGAUAUUUUUACAACUUAAAUUUAUGGAAUGUCUUUACUUAAUAAUUUUUUUCUUUUAAUUUUUAUGAAAAAUAUCAUUUUUUUUUAUAGAUAUAUCAAUAAGUUGGUUUUACAAAUAUAUUAGGAUAUAUCAGGCAAUAUCGAUGGAUAUUCUAACACAAAAUAUCGAUAAAAUGGAAAUUAAUCAAAACUCAGAGAAAUAUUUAGAAUAAUUUUAAGAAAUGAAUAUAAAAAGUAAUAAUAAACAUUUCGACGUUGUUUUGUUAUAGAAAUCGAUAUAUGUAUGAUAUAAUCUAUAAUAUUCUCUCAUAAUAUUUAGAAUUUAAAAGUAAAUUUUAUAUAAAUAUAUCUAAUUUGGAUGUAUUUAAUGAUAUAAAAGAAAUUAUGAUAAAAUUAUUAGUACUUUUUAAAAAUAUCGAUAAUUUGAUUUAUAUAUAUACAAAAAAACAUAUAUUAAUUUUUGCAUAUAUAAUAUAAUUUAUAAUAUAUAUUAUAUUUAUAAUAUGAAUAUAUAAAAAAGAGAAUCUUAAUAUAAUAUACAUAAAUAAAUAUUGUAUAUAUAAGUCAUACAUGACAAGGCCUGCACAUGGAGCUCUUGGCCAUGGAUAUGGAGAGUUGGAACCUCUUGGUGUGUGCAUGCAAGGUUUUGAACCUACUGUGCUUGAAGAUUGGCAAUUGGAAAACCAUUCAAAUGGAUGUGCAAUAUAUAGAAAUAGAUGGCAGGAGAAAUUAAUGGCUUUUGACAUUUCCAUGAGGGGCCUUCUUUGAUACAAUGGAAUUAACUUGGCUAUGCAUAGUGAAGAAGACAGGCUCAACUGAUUCACCUUUCUUCAGAUAUGACCCCUUCAAUGAUGCUCACCAUCAUGACAUAGAGGGUAAUGGUAUGAUUUGUGCAUUUGUGGACUUUCUCCCCACAGAAUUUGCAAACAUGAGGCUUUUAGCUUGUUAAGUUAAUUGAUUCCUCCCAUGAAAGAGAACCCAGUUGUGAACUUGUUACAACUGGAGAAACCAACCUCAUUCUCUCUUGACAGUGAAACUUCUCAACCACACCACCUAACCCAGCCUUAGCUCAUUUCCUUCCACUUUCCAUAUGCAUGAAUUCCUUAUGGUGUGGCCACCUUCUUGGGCUUAAGAAGAGGAGUAGAAACUUCAUUUUUCAACCAGCUUGAUAUGAGUGGCCCUUUCAUUCACCACGUGGUGCAUUACUAGUCGUUCAACUAUAUCCAUGUAGGGCUACCUUUGGCAUGCAAUCCCAAAGGCCACCCGUUUUCAUCCUCUUAAUUCUUCAUCCUUGCUUUCAAACAUCAAUUUUCAAAAGUCCGAUUUUCAAAUAAUUUAAAUUUCACAACUUUUCAUUAUUCCUUAAAGUUUUAAAUCACCAAAAAUCCAAUUUUAAUAAACAUUCGUUGCCAUUUUCCCCCCGACAAGUAUCUUUCACAAAUUUCCUUGUUUUUUUAAACAGUUUUAUGAUUUUCUUGAUUUUUAAUAAACAUGAAUGAAUUUUUAUAAUUCCAAAGUAAUGGAAUUUAUGGAAUUAAUUCAUGCUAUAUUAAAUAAGGCAUUGGUGGGGCCCACCAUAUGAGACAUUCGUCAUUCGAUUAUUGAUUCUGAUUGCUAUAUUUGAUCGAAUAUUGAUUGAUUUUUGCCUUGAUCUGUGGUAUGCAUGCAAUUAUUCUGUACUUGUCCACUAACCUUGUUUCCAUGAUAGCACAUUAUUGAUUCAUUGCUCAAGUAUGCAUCCUAUCUUCUCUUAUUUGCUUGGUCACUUUCCAUUGCUAUUUUGGCCAUAAUACAUCUUUGAUCAUUGUUUGAUAUCCACGAUUAAUCGAUCAAUUGUCACACUUGUCUUUGCUUAUUUAGUAAAGACCCAUUUUUAAGGGCUUAGAAGGGUGCUACAACUUAUUAUCAUACCUUUCCGAUAUGUAACUUAACCCUCGGGCCCAACUUGAUUUUUCAUAGACCUGUUUUUCCUUUUUAAGAGUCACACUUAGAGUUUUUUUUUUUCUUAUUUUUUUCCCUUUAAAAAUAAAACAAAAAUAAGUGGCGACUUCGAAAACAAAUUUUCAAGUGUGGAAUGCAUGUGAGAAAUGUGGGGUCUACAAAAUAGCGACUCCAUUGGGGAUCACUAGAGGGUUAAGCUUGAACUUAGGUUGAGACAAAUGUGACGUUUGAUUGGUUGAUCAGUGGGUACCCUUCUCUCUUUGUGCUUUUGUAUGCUUGAGUGUUGAUAGCACAUUAAGAGCUUUGAUAUGAUUAUCCUUGAUGCAUGUUUGGCUAUUGUGUUCAUUUGAAGCAUUGACAUGCUGAUUAUAUUGAUUGAUCCUCUUGUUUGUCCUCACAUAUUGUAUUUUCUUGUUGUAUGAUUACUCUACUCACCAUGACUUGUAUAUUCUUAUUGUUGCUUAUCUCGUUCAUUAUGGUAUCUUGAUUUUUUUUUUCUGCUAUAUACUAUCUAGAUCACCUUUGAGCAUGCUAUUCAUUUUUAUUGGAUACUCAUCUCAUCUAUCAUGUUUCUAGCUUCGCUUGCACAUAGAUUUGGAUUAUAUAUACCUGUUUUGCAUGACUGCUUGGAGCAUGAUUGCUUUUCUUCUGUGUGAUGCAUGUGUUGCUUGUUUGUGUGAGGCACACACUUAUCCUCUUAUCUCCAAUUCCCUAGUUUUGGUUGAACUUGUUUCCCUGGAUCUCGUAUUUCAUAUGACACUUCUUAUCUUGUUUGCUCUUUGAUUGAGCUAGUGAUUUGGAGUAAGGUCUAGUGAUGGACUACAUAUAUCUAUGUUUGAGAGCAUUUUGGAGAUGACCAACACAUUGAUGCCAAUUGGAGUCCGACCUUUGAAGAAUUGUAUAAGAGCUAGAUUUUAGGAUAUUUGUGUAGCUAGUGUGUUUUCUUCUUAGUUGGAUAGGAUUUUUGGAUGCAACCACACCAUUCACUGUGCCCUUUAUAUCACCAUUGAGCGCUAAGAGAUGCAAGAACCUUCAUAAUUAGGAAACCUCCUGGGAUGGGAGGUAAUGCAUGUGUGGAGGUGAUGACCACCUUGCAUCGAAGCACCCCAUCUCUUUGAAGGCGUGCAGAGGGUUGCAUACUGCAGGAGUGUAUGAUUGCUUCUGCUAGGAACCCUUUAAAGCCUACCUUUCUCUUUUUAGAGCCACCUUCACCUUAUAGGAUGAGCUUAGAUCAUUUUAUUAGGAUUCCUUAUUGACACAUGGGUGCAUUUGAGAGCCUUCAGGGCGCGUUUUAGUUACCACCUAGACCCAGUGCUUUCUUAUUUUGUUUCUAAUUGAGAGUGCUUAGAGAUUAGUACGAGUUUGAGUAUCUGUUGGAUUACCUUUUGCCUUGUUGCAUUAGAUUCUUUCUCCUAUUUGAUGAGUUUAGCUUGCUUUCUCCCUAAGGCUUUCCUCUCUCUUUCUUGGUUUGGUACAUCCUUUCACUUUGCUAUCACUUGCUUAAUGCUUUGGGAUAUGUUCGUUGAUCAUGAUCACCUUUUUACACCGUACACCUAUCAUGGGCCUAGUACCCCAUUCUUUGUUCAAUUCUUGAUUCAACUUUCAACUCGAUGUUCACAUUUUCAUUAUGGAAAGGUGAAAGGCAUGUUUUCACAUUCAUAUUUUUUUAAGGGAUUUGCCUUGAUCACCUUAUUAUUUUUCUUCGUGGAGCUUGGAUUGAAAGUUGAGUCAAGGAUACAUAGUUACAGAUGGAGUAUCAAUCUCAUGCUAGUGUGUUUUUCACACUUUUUUAUUUUUAUUUUAUUUUUUUAUCUUGGAUUAUUGAUAUGAAUUCUCUAGUCACAUUUGUAGCCAUCUCAUAGUGGAUACCUUUUUUUACUCCAAAGUUCUCGUCAUACAUCCAAAUUUUAGAUUGCCAUCACUAAACCAUGUAUACCAGGCAUGUGUCAUACUUUUGACUAUAAGAAAUCUUUCACUUAUAUAUCAUGAUCACUUAGACCUAACCCAUCAUGGAGGAUUUUGAGCUUGUUGACCUAGGACCAGGAGAUUGGCCUAAAGAGUUCAAGACUAUGACCUAUCCCACUUCCUAAUUAGAGCAGUACCAUAUCCACAUCUAUACCUUGACCUUUUGGACUUCAUGACCUAUCCAUGAUGAGUUUUGUAUAGUAUUCUUCCUUUGAUACCAUUGCAUGACCCUUUCUUCCCCAAGUAUCCUAACCUAGUACAUUCCUUCGUUGAUUCAACCAAGUAUGGUUUGAGAUGAUUAGACUUAUGGUGGGCUUUGCAUUAUGAUGAGGGAGUUAUGGCGAGAGAUCGAUUUGAUUGCUUUAUAAGUUUGUUGACCAUUCUGCGGUUGAGAUGAGUAGAGAUACCAUUACAAAGCAUCCAGAUCUUAGCCAUUGCAAAUGAUUUCAAAGAGUUGGGAUGACUAGAGAUGAUGAUUUUAUGAGAUGAUGAGUGUUUUGUGAUGAAACAUGGGUUGGUCGCUUGAUGAGAUUGUUGACUAUCCUAUGUUUGAGAUGGACAAAAAGGUUGCACAAAGCAUUUGGAGUCAAUUUUCACAUGAUUAUAAAGGGGUUGGCAUGGCUGUGUUGGAUGGAUAUUGAUAUUUAGUGUUGACCAUGUGAGAUCAUGAGGGCAAGAUGUUUGAGGUUUUGGUCAAAGGAUGGGCCAUCGUUUCAUGAUCCUAUUUACUUGAUCACCCUUAUAUAUGGAGUUACCCGUUGCAAGCCCUUUGAGUCUCACACAAAUAUUAUAACAUUUUUUGUCUCAUCACCUGAUUUACCUUUUGCGUCGGGUUAGGGGCCCUAUAGUGCUUCCAUGCUUUGAUUAGAUAUCUCAUGAGUUCUAGACUUGAUAGACAUAUUUAGUCUUCAUCUAUCACUCUUCAUUGUGAUAUUUUCCACUUUGACAUCGUCUCAUCACUUUUUUCGAUAUCACAUAUCACCACUUGUGAUGUACAUCAUCUUUCUUUUCCCUUAUCAUUGCUUAUUUUGACAUUCUCUUUGCUUAACCUAGAGUGUUGGUUUUCCACACACCAUUGCAUGGAAGACGGUCACAUCCUUCCCCUAGUUCACCUCAUGGGCAGUGGUUUAGAGAUCUUAGUUUGAGAGGUUGUCUUGUUAGUAAGGAUUCAUGUUACAUUAGUAUGUGGGGAGAGUUUGAUCAUUUGUGGUAUGCGUUUUCAUUGAAGAUUGCCCAUUAUUGAUUAGAGUAUGCAAAAAAAAAAAAAAAAAAAAAAAAUAGAGUGCAUUGUUCAUUGUACCAUUCUCCAUUGAGCACAUGUAUAGACGUGUCGGUUUACUUCAUUAGGUUCAUAUGUCAGUGAGAGUUCAUAUGUGAGCUCUUAGAGAUUUUCCUUUUACUCAAUCCUAUCUUUGCAUGUAUUUCUAGGUGAGAGUAUGAGUCGCUUAUUCGAUUUUUUUGAGAGAGUUGAGCAACCUUUCUUUAGGAUCUCUGGAUCUUUGCCCUAUUCAUCACUACAUCCAUUAUUUUAUGUGACUUGUCUCCAUGCUUUGAUGUGGAUUGAUCGGUACUCAUAUAUAUAUAUAUAUAUAUAUAUAUAUUUUCUGAUUGAUUUCAUUUUGUUACUCUCUUUGACUCUGUUAUAUUUGCUUAUUCUUUCUUUUCUUAUCUCGCUUGAUGUUGGAUUUGGAUUUAACAUUCACAUACUUUUGUUCAUCUUGUGGAUAUUGAUGUUCAUUCCUUUAUCAUGUGAGAGCCUCUAGGUCCAUCACUCAUGAGGUUUUCUAUGCAUUACAUCUUAUGCAUAAGGGAUAUGGGGAUUGUAUCAUUAGGAUUAUUUGAGCCUAGUUUCCUCUCGUUUCUUUCACCCUAUUACCUUAGCCUACGUUAUGUCUCAUGUCUUAAGACCACCUUGAGAUUAUGACUUCACACAUUGUGUUUGAUUGCUCACACAUGGAUGAUUCUUGAGUUUGGUUGGAGAUUUUUGCUUGGAGCAUGAUGGAUGAGGAGCUAUGAUAUGAUUUACAUUAGAGCAUACCCUUCUUAUCAGUGGUGGAUAUUUGGGAUGAUGUGAUCUACACUAGGGCAUACCCCACUCAUCGGUGAUAAAUUUUUUGAGAUGAUGCCUUACAUUGGGGCAUAGCCAAUUUGCAUCUUCACUUGGAUUAUGACAGAUUAGUAGUUAUGGCAUGACCCUACAUUGGGGCAUAACCAUUUCAGAGAGCACUUUUAUUAAAGAUAUACUCAUUCUACUUGAUAUUCUACAUUGGAAUACAUUUCUCUCAUCAAUGGUUGAUUUUUGAGAUGACGGUUUAUUUUGAGACAGUUGCUUGAGAGAUUGUGCAUGGUAGACAUAACCACCUUAUUUCCUUCUUGUGGAGCAUGGGGUGAUUAGGGUCUGUUGAAAUUAUAUUGGUGUAUUCAUUUUCAGCAUUGAAGGAUGAGUUUAACUUUGUUCUGAUGACCCAUACUGAGACAUAACCCUCUCAUUGGCGAUGUAGUUUGAUUUGUCUUAAAGCAUAGCCACUUCAAAUAGUUUAUAUCGAGGCCGACUACUUCAUUCAUUCUCAUGGAGUAUGUGGAUCGGAAGUCUUUGGAUCAUGUUAAGAUGUUUUCAUUUUCAGCAGUGGGAGUUGAGAUUAAUUGAUUUGUUAACAAACACUAGAACAUGGUUUCUCUUAGUAGUUGUUGAUUUGGAUACACUACUUUAUACUAGGGCAUAGCCGUGAUGGAGAGUAUUUUUCAUUAAAGCAUAGCCACCCUAUUGAAUCCUUUACAUUAGGACAUAUCCAUCUUUUGGAGCGAGAUUAGAUUGAUUCUUUAUGUUAGAGCAUCUAGAAAGUGAUAUGGAGAUAUUUGGAUUGUUCCAUGUUGUCCUCAUUGUAUAUAGGGGCAUAGCCAUAUUAGAGGACAUCAUUUUAUAUUGGGGCAUAGCCACUUUGCUGUUCGACAUUGAGAUUUGACUUUCUGUUUAUGAUUACUACUUUCGAUGGAUUAUGGAGCUAUUGACACCUUAGGUUUUUUUCUUUUCGGCAUACUUGGAUGAACUCGGAACCUACCUACCUUUCAUUUCAUACUCAGAUAUUUCACCCUUGAUACUUUCAUGUUUUACUGUCUUACUAGAGCCUAAUCAUUACCUUCUUUUGGCUCACACAUUUCACCAUGACAUAUGACCUCACACCUUACUCUCUAGAUUAGAGGAGGAUGUAGAAUAGUCCUUGACUUCUCUAGUUGAGCUCUCAUACAUAUUUUGGACUUUAAGUUCAACAUCUUACAUGAUGGUAGGACCUGACAGAUUACCGAUUUAUUAGUGAUGAUGUUUUCAUUUCUGACAGUUGACAUGUUGAGUUUUGAUUUACUUACACUAUACAUGUUAAGUAUUAGCCACCAUUAUUUUUGUCCACCAAUCAGUUUCAUUUUUUUGGUGUGGUAUCAUCAUGCAUGACCCCAUUUGGCAUUCGCAUUUGAGGUUAGACAUCUUCAUUACAUGGUUGAUGAGCAUAUUCUAGAGUACAGUAGUUUUAUGGCAUUCAUAUCUUAGUUUGUUCACUAUCACAUGCUUGGGCAUACCCCCUUCUUUGAGAUCAUCAAACUUUUCACAAGCUUCAUUGCUUUUUGAUCUAGUUGUUAACCUUGUAAGUUGCAUACUGGGAACCUUUCAUAAGCUUCAUUACCUUUUGACUUAGUUGUUGACCCUGCGAGCUGCAUACUAGGGCAUACCCCUUUCUUUGAGAUUAUCAAACCUUUAGUAGAUUGCAUUGCCUUUUGACCUGGUUGUCAAUCCUUAUGAGUUGUCAUACUGAGGCAUAUCCCCUUAUGUCGAGUUUGUUUGCAUCGUUAUCUCAAUUAUGCUUUGCUUUUAAGCCACCUGAUUAGAUCAUUAUCAUAUCAGUAUUGUUUUGCUUUGGUGUAGACCACACCCAUAUUGAUCAACCAUCUUCUUAUUAGUCUAUGGCAGUUUAUGUUGGGACUGCACCUAUAUCGAUCAAUCAUUAUCUUGCUAGUUUGAGUUUUUAGAACUGUACCUACAUUGAUCAGUCAUUCUAUGCUAGUUUGAGUUGAGAUUACACCUAUAUUGAUCAGUCAUUGUCUUAUCAGUUUUAGUUUGACUUUUUGGGUUGCACUUAUAUCGAUUGAUCAUCUUCCUAUCAGUUUGAGUUUUUGAGACCGCACUUAUAUCAAUCAGUCAUUAUAUUGUCAGUUUGAGUUUUCAAGACCACACCUAUAUUGAUCAAUCAUUGUCUUGUCAAAUUGAAUUUGAGUUUUUGGGUUGCACCUAUAUUGAUCAACCAUCUUCUUAUCAAUUUGAGUUUAGUUUGAGUUUUUGGGACCAUACAUAUAUUGAUCGCUCAUUAUCUUGUCAGUUUGAGUUUUCAAGACCACACCUAUAUCGAUUAGUCAUUGCUAUGUCAGUUUGAGUUCAAUUUGAGUUUUUGGGACCUUACCUAUAUCGAUCGAUCAUUUUCUUAUCCAUUUGAAUUUUUAGGACUGCACUUAUAUUGAUCAGUCAUUUCUAUGUCAGUUUGAGUUAGGACUAUACUUAUAUCAAUUGGUCAUUUUCUUGUCAAUUUGAGUUUGAGUUUGAGUUUUGGGGCAGCACCUAUAUCGAUUGACCAUUUUCCGAUCAGUUUAAGUUCAGUUUGAGUUUUAGGUACAUCACCUAUAUCAAUUGGUCAUUUCUAUGUCAGUUGAGUUUGAGUUGGGAUCACACCUGUAUCGAUCAGUCAGCUUAGUUUUGAGUCUUGUUCGACUUUGAGCUGCGCCUAUCCUUUCAAGUUUCUUCGGCUUUGAAUCGCGCCUUAGUUUUGAGUCUGGUCAUCCUUAAGUAACACUUUCUUCUUCCUUUGAGUUCUUUUUUUGUUUGUUGAUCACUUCUUAUCUUGGUCAUCCUUGUGUUGUUCAUUGUAUCACAAUCUGGUGCUAUUCAUUGCAUAUGCACUCCUCACAUUAUCUGUAUCUUUAUGCUGAGCUUGUUCCCCCUUAUCUGACCUCGAUCUUGAGCUUAUUGUGUUGUGUCAGGAUCAAAAUUUGAGAUCUUUUCUAUUUUUUGGUACAGUUCACUUUGUUCCAUUCAUCUCUCACGUAUUCGUAAUCCAUUCAUUACACUUAUAAUCUUUAUCGAAGAGGAACAUAUUUAUAGACUCCUGAUUUUGGAUCUUGGGAGAGGCUUUUUUUUUUUAAAACACUUUUUUUUUACCACUUUCUAAAGGCUUCCAAAAGCCAACUGGAGAGUGUGAGCUGUCAAGAAAGUGAGUGGAGUAGUGGUGGUUUUCUUGGAGCCGCAGUUUGGCUAGGACAGGGGGAUAUUCUAUAGUAUGGUGACACGUAGCAGAGGUGCAGGAGGUUGCUUUUUGGUAGCUGUUUUUAGAGAGGCUUGGAGGAGCAACGAGAGUGAGGUGGGUUUUUUGGGAAAGAGAGCGAAGGAUGUUUUGGAGAGGGGAAGGAGUACAGAAGAAAACGAGCAGAGUGUAGAGGAGUAUUCGAGGGGACUGUCUCAGGUAGCAGAGACUGUUGGUUUGAGAUUGUGAGAGAUGGUGAGCUGAGCUUAGACAAAGAGAGCUGAGAAAAAGCUGUGAAAUAGAGGAAAAACUAAGAAGAAAGGUAGGGAGCUGUAGAGGGAGGUGGGCUGGGUGAAAUACGUUUGAGGAGAGGAAUACUAAGUAAGAGGGAGUUAGAGCAAAGGAGAAGAAGCUGAGAGAGAUCUUGCUGAUUCGUGGGAAGGAAAGUAGAGCUUGAAGCCAAGCAACUCUUUGCUUGAGGAAAGCUUUCCAGGUAUGCCUACUCUGAGCUUCUUGUCUCUCAUUUUCACGCUAUUUUUCUCUUAUUUUCUGCUGUUUUUCUGGACUUCUUCUUAUUGAUUGGUGUAGACAUGAAGAGUUAUUUGAUUGUUUUUGGCUGAAUUUGAUCCUUUGUAUACAUGCUCUGUUUUGGGUUUUCUUUGCUUUCCCCUGUACAAGACUAAUGCAUGGAUUUAUUUCUGAACUUGAUAUCAUGGCUCUUGUUCCCCGAUAAUUCCACCUGUUUUUAACCCAUGGAUGCUACCUGAAAUGAGGCUCUAUACGUUCAUGUUUUGCUUGAUUUCUUAUUUGCUCUUCCCUCAGUAUUUACUCUGGCUCCUAUCCUCGCUUUUUAUUCCUCUGUUUCUGGUAAGUUGGGGUGCUGGGCAUCUAAGCUUGGGUUGUCCAUCUUGAUUGGGAUUUUUUCUGGGAGAGCCUCUUGAGGGCAAAUUCUAUACAAAUGGGUAUUUCUGGAUACCUGUGAGCCAUGUGGUCCACAUUGAAAUGCCUAAGGAUGCAAUGGAGGGAUACAGAUGAGGAUAAGUAAAUCUCUACUUGAUGCUCUGGACACGGGUAAGGCAAUCAUGUAGAAUGGGGUACUGUCGUCUAUGAAUCUUUCACUGUGGGCAUGGGUGGAAUUCCUCAUGCACUAGGGUUACAGUGCUUGCAAGUUUGUGAUAGCAAGGUGGAUAAGGGUGUUUGCAGUUAUGCAGGGAAGUUGGAUGAGGAUCUAUCAUGCAUUCAUUCUUGUUAGAGAACUCUUGAAAGAUGGGAAUUGGAAAAAUGGAAAGUUUCAUGGGGAGUGGAUUUUUGUGUCUUGGAAGAUUAUGAUAGAUAGGUAUUUCAGAAAUGGAUGUAUCAAGGAGGCAUUAACAGUUUUUGGUUUAAUGGUGAAAAUGAUGAUAGUGAUUAUUGAAAAUCUGGGGUUCUUACCCCAAGGAACCCCAGAGAAGACAAAGACCCUACUUCUGCAGAGCUUGAGCAUAAUUUUCUUGACACCAACCUUAAUCCAGCAGUUUAGAAGCGGGUUCUCCAAAUAACAACUUAGGUUUGAGCUGAAUCAAUUGAAAGAGGAAUCAAUUAUGGUUGAAUGGUGGGGAUUAUAAUUUAAAAGAAGACCUCUCAGAAACACAAGCAUGCUUACCCAAAGUUUUAUUUAGUUCCAAUGGUGAAGAUCUCAUUCUGAAGGCUAACACUCAGCUUACGAGUGAGCCACAUAUGUCGCAUGACAAUCAGAGCACAGGGUUUUCAAAUUCCAAUGCAUUCUUUCGGGUUCGGGACGGAUAAUGGGCUUUCAGAAAUUACAAGGAAAAGACAAUAUUUUAUGGACGCUCUGCCUGUUUUGCUUGGCCUAGAUCCCUCUAUUUUCGUAUUGCCGAGGGGUCUUCCUCACACACCCAUCCGAAUGGUUUUCCAAUUGCCAAUCUUUAACCAUAGUAGGUUCAAAACCUUGCAUGCAUUCACCAAGAGGUUCCGGGUCUCCAUAUCCAUGGCCAAGAGCUCCAUGUGCAGGCCCUGUCAGUAGUGAAGUUCUGAUGAUUAUGAGUCAAGUAACCCUUGCUUAGAAUCAGUCACAUGGAAGUCAUACUCUCAUGAGUGCACAUCAACAAACAAGCAUGAUCACAACUGAUUGAAGGGAGAAUCAAUCGAAAUUUUUGUCUUAACAGAUGCUUAGUUUUUGAGGAAAGGCUAAAGGUGUCAAAAGAUGAACUAUUGAUUUCUGGAAGAAAGGGUCAUUCCGGUGGUGAUAGUGAAUCCCCUGAUAGCCAGAUGGAUGUGCAACAUACAGAAAUAGAUGGCAGGAGAAAUUAAUGGCUUUUGACAAUUCCAUGAGGGUCUUUCUUUGAUACAAUGGAAUUAACCUGGCUAUGCAUAGUGAAGAAGAAAGGCUCAACUGAUUCAAAUAGACUUAUAACAAAUAGACUAAUUAGAGUAUUAUUUUUUGAAGCUUUAUCACACAGCUUUCUAUAUAACAAAAAAGGAAGUAUUUUGAAAACUUGCUACAAAGCCUCCAUCCUCAUAAUUCGAUUCGGAAGGUUUAUUGAAUUAAACUCUCCCUAAAGCGUUUCGAGUGUGCCCACAAUUUCUGACGAUCAGGAAGAUUUUCUUUGAUCACUGGAACCUGCUUAAAAUUCUGAAUCCAUGCUUGCAAUCGAGGGAACGUGGUGGAAUUCAGCAAUUUUGUGCCUACGGCUUCUUCUAUGCCCUCAAACCAGUAAGCCAGCCAACCAAAUGCUAUGUCCACCAGUCCUAUAGCUUCCCCUCCGAAAAACUUCUUAUCCCCAAGGCUUUGCUCUUCUAUGAUUUUCAGUAUUUCCACUGUUUCUUUUAUGGCCUUCUCUUGCUCUUCCCCAGCAGCAGAUUUAAAGAAUUGAAAAAAAGUGGCAUUCUAGAAGAAAUUAAGCAACAAGUAUAUAUAUUUAGAAUGAACUGUUGAAAAACAACAGUAAGGUGAUCUCAAAUAUCAAUAAAAAUUGAAGUUAAUUAUUAAAUUAAUUAAAAGAGGAAAAAAAAAGAUUUAAAAAGCCUACAAAUUCUUUUCAUUUUAAUCAUAGGUAUUAAUCGAAGAUUUCAAUUUAAUUCAUCUUUCCCCUCCUAAUUCCUUACUGCAAGACCUAGACAGGGUUAGAGAAAUUUGAUAGAGUUAAAGAAUGCUUAAAAGUAUCAUGGCUUAUUUUGUCUGAUCACUUAAAUAAAAUUCUACAUAUAGCUUAGGAAUUUAUUAGUGAAUACUUUCACAAAUGACUGAAAACAAGAAAUGGGUUAUGAAAGCUAGAUGGAGAGCUUUCAAAUAUUUCAGGUCUGUAAAAGAUUCGGAAAUUAAAUCAUAGGAAUUGAUAAUGAAAGCAAGAUUAGUGAGUUAAACCUACCUUUGAUUCUCCAAAAUUGAUCCAAAACCGAGCCAUGGCUCUCUCAUAAGCAUCUGUCGGCAGCAGUGGAUUCUCCGGCCAUGUUUCUUCAAUGUAUUCGAGGAUUACAAGGGACUCGGCUACUGCUCUGUCACCAUGAAGAAGCACCGGAACCUUCUUGUGAACUGGAUUGUGGUGUAACAACAACUGGCUCUUGCUACGAAGGUCUUCCUCAAUAUACUCAUAGUUUAUGCCCUUGAGUUUUAGGGUCCAUAUCACCCUGUAAGCAAAAGAGCUUGCCCAAAACCCUAAUAGCUUCACUCCUGCCAUUGUUUUCUAUUAUGCCAGCUCAAUUUGCUUGGGGAUGAG